UGAUUUCGAACGCUAAGGUUGAUCUACUGAAGAAUAGGCUUGGGUUCGAUGAGGCGUUCAACUAUAAAGAAGAACCUGAUUUGAAUGCAGCCUUGAUAAGGUUAGUAUAUCAGCAGAGACUAUAAAUUAAAAGACAUUCUUGUGAACCUGAAAAUCAAAUAACGUUUCCAAUUUGACAGGUGCUUUCCUGAAGGCAUCGACAUAUACUUUGAAAACGUUGGUGGGAAAAUGCUCGAUGCGGUGCUGAUCAACAUGAAAGUCGGUGGUCGAAUUGCUGUGUGCGGAAUGAUCUCCCAGUACAACCUCGACGAGCCCGAAGGCGUACACAACUUGACGCGUCUUAUCUCGAAACGGGUUCGGAUGGAAGGAUUCCUUGUAUCGGAUUACAAUCACCUCUAUCCGAAGUUUCUGGAAAUGAUCAUCCCUCACAUCAAGGGGGGAAAGAUUGUAUACGUUGAAGACACGGCUGAAGGUCUUGAGAGCGCUCCGGCAGCUCUCGUCGGUCUGUUCUCUGGCCGGAAUCUUGGGAAACAGGUGGUUGCAGUUGCUUCUGAAUGAAGAAGGAUUUGUUUAUUUGCAUCAUGUUUCUACUCUUUGAGUCUUGAGUCUUGUCCAUUUAUUUAAUAAAAUGGUUACCCUCGUGAAUUGAGUGUAACUUUUAUUAUAUUUGAUAAACUCGAUGUGGAGAGCGGUUGCUUGCUGGGUUGAUAAUGCUAAAAGUGCUGACCAAUUUACUGCUAAGGGCGGUCUAUAUCUAUAUAUAUAUAUAUAUAUAUAUAUAUACAUGAUUAGUUUAAGAGAGAUAUUUAGGAAAAUAAAAAAUUAAAAAAAAAUGAAAAACAAUUUUUAGAGACUGUGGGCUUAGAAUGUAAAUUGAACUCAACCCAUAUAUGGAUGUGGUGGGCUAGGUUUGAAUCCAAAAUAAGCCCAAUUCAUUGGGUCGGCCCAUUUUUGGCUUCUAACGUAACAAUUUAAUCAGACGUACCUACAUAAUACAUCAAAUUAUUAUAUUCAAAUAUUCUUGCAGGGAGUAAGUAGUUAUGAAAAAAAGAAAUGAUCCAGUAGCUCGCGUUGUCACCUCAAAAAUUAGUAAUUACGGCAGAGUCAUUAAUGCUAAUAGUACAUUGGUGGAUAAUUAUUUUUAAUUAAGUAAAUUAAUAUCUGGUUUAAUUGUUGUCUUUGUCAACAAUAUGUUAAUUUUUCUUUUAUUUAAAUGUUACUGAUAAUUUUUCUUUGCAUUUGAGUUACUUUUUAAUUUUGUGGGAUCGAUAUUGUUUUUAUUUCAAAAACAUAAUCUUUCCUAUUAUUAAAAAAGUUUUAUUUAGAAUUGGAUUAAUGAAAUACCUUAAAUACUCUUUGAAUUUCAAUAUUUUAUCGAGUGAUAAUACAUGCACGAACUCUUGUAUAAAUUUAUCUUAUGCAAAUUAAUUUGACAUUAAUUUAUUGGUUGAAUGAAAAUACAAAAUCAUAAAAAUAGAUCAUGUGGCCAAGAAAUAUUUAAUUUAACCAAUUUUAUCGUAUCACAUCAGUUUGUACAAAAUAAAUUUGUAUAAGAGUUUGUGGUUAUAUUAUUACUCAUUUCAUUAACGGCAUUAACAAUUUGAUUUUAAAUUGGUGUGAAGUACAACAUUGAUUGAAAAAAAAAUAACUGUUAAAAUUCCUUGAAGGUGAAGUGAUAUAUUAAGAGAUUGUACACAACUUAAAGCAUAUAGGGUGAGUUUGGCACACUGUAUUAUAUUAUGUUGUAUUGCAUUACCACUAUAUUAUAACAAUACUGUACAAUAUUUGGUACUACACUGUACUGUAUUUAUUUUUUUGUGAUUAAUUUAAAUUACAUAUUAUAUUAUAUUAAAAUAUUUAAAUUGUAUUAAUAUUUUAUAUUAUUAUUAAUUUUAAAUUAAUAUUAUUCAUAUUUAAAUAUUUAUUAUUAGUUCUAAUAAAUUAUAAAUUUAUUAAUAAAUUAUAAUGUAAAAAUAAAAAUAUUAUACAAUAUCAUAUUAAAUUAAAAAAUAAUAUUUAUUUAUUUUUUAUUAUUAUAAAGAAAAAGUCAAAAGAAAAAAAAAGAAAAAAAAAUCAAUGAACAUGCUCUUAAUUGCAAAUCAGCUAGCUGUAUUUACUCAAUAUUAACAUAGCUGAAGGCCACGAGAAUGCUCUGGCAUCCCUUUUGGAACUCUUUUUAAAAAGAAAAAAAAAAAUCAUGCUACAAAAAUCUAAAAACGUCAAUACAUUUCAAAACUAAUAAUUCAAACAUAAAAUUCAAAUCCAAUAAAGAAACAAGUUCACAAAUAAAACACAUUUAUAAUCAAACUUUCCAGAAAAAUGCUAUUUACAGACAAAUGGUUGUACAACAUUACACAAAACAAAGGUACGGUGCCGUUUAGAAGUCACUUAAUUAAAUGGGACCAAAUAAAAAAAUUAAAAUCCAAAUUAAAUCCUUAUCCAUCUAUUAAGAAGCUUAAACGAAAUCAAGAAUAACAACUAAGUUUUUCAAUUCCUGCUUCUCAUUUUCAAUUAUAAUUCUAGAAAAUAAAGUCAAAUAAGCCCCGUACUCAAGUUAAGGUAUUUUUAAUGCUAAAAGUCUAAACACAAAGGCCAUGUUUGAAUGUUAGGAUUAAGUAUGGGAUUGGACUAAUUUUGGAAUUAAAUUUUUAUCACAUAUUUGGCAAGCUUAGGGUGCGUUUGGGAUUGAAGUUGGGCAGCUGUAGCUUAAAAGCUUCAGCACUAAAGUGUUUGGUAAACACUAACUACUGUAGCUUUUAAGCUAUGUUGAUAUGAUUUUUCACUUGUAUAAAUAAAAUUUAUUAUAUCUUUAAUAAUUUUAUCAAAAUUAUUAUUUAAAAUUUAUAUUUACUAUAUAUUAUUAACUUUUGUUUCAUAAUUACAGCUUUAUUUUCACAGCAAAAGUUACAGCAUCUCAAUCCCAAACGCACCCUUAGUUGGAUUGGAUUAAGGGGGACUAAAUUUGAAUUUAAUCCUAAAAUCAUGGGAUUAAUUAUCCUAAUUUACACAUGAGUUUAGUUAGAAUAAGAUUAAAGAAAAAAGUUGUCCAUUUAUGAGAUUUUUAUUUGUAUCUUUUCUUUUUUUUUUAUUUACACCUAAUAUUGAUUGAUUGAUUAAUUUUUUUUAUUAUGAUUUACUUAAAAUUUAUUUUUAUUUAUUAUCUAUGAACUAAUUGAAUUGGUAAUUUUACUUCUACUGACUCUUGAGAUUAAAUUUUCAUUACUUGUAUAUUUAAUAAUUAAUCGAUAAAAUUAAAUGUUUAAUUAUUUAUUGUAUUAUUUGAUUGUAUUAAAUUUAAUAAUCACUAAUAUAAUAUUAAAAAUGAUCAUGAAAUUUAAUAAUUCCAUUAAUUAAUUGAUUUUAUAUAUUAUUUUAAAAUAUUUGAUAAAAAUUAAUUAAAUAUUUAAUUUGUUUAUUAUAUUAUGACUACCCAAUAACUUAUUUGCAAUAUAUUUAAUUUUCCUAGUAAUUGCUUUUUAAAUUUAUUUUAAUUAUGAUUAUAAAAUUUCAUGGAUAUUGAUAUUUAUAUUAAAAUAUCAACUUAAAUGCUAUUUAAUAUUAUUUAAAUAUAAUUUAAUAUAAUCUAAUCCGAUAUUGUACUAAACAAAAAAUUAUAAACUAUAAUCUAACUUAAUCUAAUUUAAUUUAAUCCAGUCAAAUCUUAAUAAUUUAAUCUAAUUCAAUCUUGCGUGCUAAAUAUAACCAAAUUAUACAACAAUUUUCAACUGUUUAUAAAGCCAAAAAAAUCAUCCGAUUACAUAGAUUCUCAAAAAGUGACUUUAGAGAAAGGCCAUCAAGCCACCUUCCACGCUAUAAUUGUGUCAGCUACUACUAGGGGUGUUCGCAGAUCGGAUUUUACGGAUUUGACAUCAAUCCAUAUCCGAUCCAUGAUUUUGCGGAUUAUAAUUUUUCAAUCCAAUCCAAUCCACGGAUUGAUAAAAUUCAAUCCAAAUCCAAAUCCAAAUCCAAUCCAUACGUCUGCGGAUCGGAUGCGGAUUUGACUCAAUCCAUAUGCAAUCCACCAUUUUACGCAUUAGUUUUCGAAUUAAAAAUUUUUAGUUCUCUCCAACUAAUGAAAUAAAAAAAUCUAAUAUAAAAAUAAUUUUGCUACCAAUUAAAUUUAAAAUUGAAUAAAAUUUAAAUAAAUUAAUUGUUUAAAUAAAGCUAAAAUAAUACAUUUGAAGUUUCAAAAUAUAACACAUCGAGACUAAGUAUUCAAAUAAAGCUACAAUAAUAUGUUCAAAGUUUCAAAAUAUAACACACCAAGCUUAAUUGUUCAAAUAAAGUUACAAUAAUAAGUUAAUAUAACACCGAAAUUAAUUGUUCAAAUAAAGCCACAAUUAAUUGAAAUAACGAAGUUUUGGAAACCAAACACAGUCUGAUCCUGCACCAGGACUGUUGCGCCUGUCGAAAAGUGAUGAUUACGGAGCCAUCCACGAUGGGAACCAAUAGAAGCCGUACGGGUGGCGAUCUUGAAGGUUGUGAUAGUGAAAUUGUUCAACUGGAACCAGUGAAUGUGAAGUGGCUCGAUAGACUUGGGAAAGAAGAUGGCUUGCUCUCGCCGGAAUCGCGCGACCGAUAUCCUUUAAAUCCGUGUCGAGAGUGUAUCCAACCAGUAUUGAGUAUUGCUAGUAUGUGUCACGGCGGGGAAGCUUAGGAUUUUUUGUUGGCAAAUUGUUGGUGACUUGACAUUAUUUUACUUUGCUUUUGCUAGUGUGUGUGACUUUGCUUUUAUUUUGGUUUACAAUUUUUACAAGUUAUAUUUGUAUAUUUAAUUAUUUUUCAUUUUAUAUUAUUAUUGGGUAAUGGCUAAGAAAUGUUAUAGUGCUUAGUAACUAUGCAAUGUCACAUUUAUAAUUUUUUAAUUAUAUAUAUAUAUAUAUUUAUUUAUUUAUAUUUUGCGGAUUCAUGGAUUUCUGCAGAUUUACAGAAGUAAAUUCGUAUCCAAUCUAUCGAAUGCGGAUUUUUAAAUUUUCAAUCCAUAUCAAAUUCAUCAAUCCACGGAUAGGAUUUAUAUGGAUCAGAUUCAGCGGAUCGGACGGAUUGAGCGGAUCAGAUUGGAUUCUGAACACCCCUAGCUACUACAAAAUACAAAUAAAUAUCUUAUGCUCCCAAUUUCUGGAUUUUAAAUUCCAAAAAUAAUAUUCAUAUUCACAGCACAUUCACGAAUCCAACCUGGGCUUGGAGAUUUAAUUGAUCUUAUAGAUUAAUUUUACCCAAUAAUAUUUAGUAAAAAGAAUAUAGCAGAGGUUAAUUACCUUAAUGGGUUCUCCUCCAAGGCCUAAUUUUGAUUUUCAAUUUUUUUUUGUAUUUAGUCCCACUUAAGUGGCUUCUAACGUUACCGCAUCGUUAUUCUGUGUACAGAACUCAACUUUUAAUAUCCACAAAUCAUGAGUUCAUUUUUUAAUUCUUUCAUAUGUUCUAACAUUCAUACAAAUAUACAGAAUAAAUUCAUAAUUUAGUCCAAGUUAAUGAAAAAUUCUAGGCCUGCUCCUAAAUAUCCAUCACACUAAUAAUACGAAGUGGUCGGCAUAAAUUUAAAACAGUUAGGACAAAACUCAUCGAAAGAUCAGAUAACGUCUAUUUUUUGUUUUAUUAUUUAUCUUCAUUUGCAUAGUUUCUAUCCUAUUACUUUAAAACAAUUACCCCUUGAAAUUUUCUUUUAUCUGAUGAAUUUUAGUAUUUUUAGUUUUUUACUAUUCAUGGGUAAAGAAAAAUAGUAAUAAAAAAUACGGCGUCAUUGGUUGGUUCAAUACAUAGAAUGAUGAUCAAUACAGCGAGGAUCGGAUUGUUUGACAAAUUUUUAUAUUAAAUAUAAUAUAUGCUAACAUUUAUUAUCUAUGGAAAAAUAUCUUUCUCACUUGACUCUGUGACAAAAUGAAAGAAUAUAUAGGUAUAACAUAUAUGCUAAUAUUUUUUAUUUAUAGAAAAAAUAUCAAUCCAUUUAGAACUUGGCCCACUAGAAAAGGAAAAAAAGAAAUCCCCUCAAAAUGAAAAAAGAACAAAAUUUGAUUUUGCAGAUCUUGCUUUGUAUAGUGUGACAUGACAAGGCCUGCUUGAAAUUUAAGGCCAGCCCACCACGCACAUUGGAGAAUUCACAGAGCCUCUUUUUAGCCUCGUCACCAUCGAAUGCUUUUAACAGUUCUUUCAAUUCCAAUUGCUUCGGUUUCAUCCCAUAAACAAACAAAACUCACCUCUAUGCAUCUACUUUGCUUUGCUAGAUAGAGUUCCUCUGCGUUUCCCUUUAGCCAAAAGAGACGGGAAGAGAAAGGGACCAAGAAAUGCCUGUAAUGGUGAGGAACAAGCAAGUGAUAUUGAAAGACUAUGUGUCUGGUUUCCCAAAAGAAACAGACAUGUACAUGACCAAAAGUUCCAUAGAACUGCAGGUGCCAAAAGGUUCAAAUGGGGUUCUUUUAAAGAACCUGUACUUGUCUUGUGAUCCAUACAUGCGACCAAGAAUGACCAACAUCAAAGGAUCUUAUGUUGAAUCCUUUAAACCCGGCAUGGUUAGUGCACUCUCAAAGCCACUCUCGUGCAAUGAUAAUAUAAGAUGUCUAGAGUUUUAACUCUGCUUAGAUUAGGGUUCAAGAGAGUUAACUUACAUGAUUUUCGAAAUUCUAGAUGUGUACCAAUGAAUUUAAUUUCAUGGGUUAAACUUAUAUUUUGAUCAUACUCUAACAUUAGACAGGAAAAUUAUAGUUUUCUUUUUGUUCUUUUACUUGGAGUAUGUUGCGUGAGGUACUUGUGCUUGAAAUUGAAUUGGUGACACUGAAAUUUUGAUGAAUGCAUGCAGCCCAUCAGUGGAUAUGGGGUGGCUAAGGUUUUGGAUUCGGAGAAUCCAGAGUUCAAGAAAGGAGACUUGGUCUGGGGAAUGACUGGGUGGGAAGAGUAUAGUCUUGUUACCGCUCCACAGUUGUUUAAAAUUCAACAUACAGAUGUGCCUCUUUCUUACUAUACUGGAAUCCUUGGUAAACUUUUUGUUUGCAGCAAUUUAUGUAAGCCAGUUAUGUUUUUUUGUUCAUCUGAAAUGUUUUUGAUAUCUCAAUGUGAAGUAGAACAUUGUGUUUGGAGUUUUUGCAUGUCUUAUGGAAACAUAGAAUUGUACCUGAAUUUUUGGGACCCUUUUCUUUUGAACACUUGAAUGUACUAACUCUUUUUUUCCCCCUUUUUUAUGGAUAUGUUGCUAAAUUGGCAAAUUUAUUCAUUACAAAACUUUGCUAUGAGAGUUUAAUCCUUGCAAAUGUUAAUACUGUAAAUAGAGUGUACCUUUGUUCAGUUUAAUAGGCGUGUCUCCUUCUGCCUAGUCCAAAAUUUCAGCAUUUUCGCCAUAUUCUGAGCAACACACUCCAGCUAGUUAGUUCUUGUCGCGUUUUCUGGUUCUGUGAGUAAGCCAAGAAUUACAUUUUUUACCUGGAAAUUGGCGAUGUCUUUUGCUUUGAUGGCUUGUGAGUUGAGAGUGUUAAUUGGAGAGUCACAAAGAGCGCAAUGCCCACUUGAGCACCUAGAAUACUUGGAGGUCUGUUGCCUCAGCAAACAAGACCUCUGUUUUAUGGACUCCAAAAAGUUAUUUGUUACAAAGAACAAAACAGAGUCCAUACUAUAUUUUUCUCUUUGUUAUAGAAGUGUGAAACAAGAUUCUAUAUUUAAUAUUCUAAAUGAUUGAGCCAUUUAGUUAUGACAUUCGGCUGUACUGGGGUCAAUGAUCAAAGUCGGUUCAAAGUGAUAUAAAUUUAUAAAUUGAUAGGUAUGCCUGGUAUGACUGCUUAUGCUGGAUUUUAUGAGGUCUGCUCCCCUAAGCAAGGAGAGUGUGUCUUCAUAUCAGCAGCAUCUGGUGCAGUUGGUCAGCUUGUUGGUCAGUUUGCGAAGUUGUUGGGCUGUUAUGUCGUCGGAAGUGCUGGAAGCAAAGACAAGGUAUGUAAUCUAUGAGAAGUACUUGAUUGUUUCCUAUGUUACUUUCAAACAUUUAACUUAAAAAUGAAUUUUUCAUGAUCUUGCCUUUUUCUAUGGUUUUCAACACCUAGAUUGAUCUACUGAAGAACAAGUUUGGGUUCGACGAGGCAUUCAACUAUAAAGAAGAACCUGAUUUGAAUGAAGCAUUGAAAAGGUUAGUAUCAAUAAAUGCGUUAGCUUGAUGCAGCUUUGAUGAAGGAUGAGAUUCAUUUUUUCACCAAUAUGGUAUGUUCUCUGAUCAUUUACUUGAAAUAUCUUGGUCUUUAAAUCCCAUGCCAAUGCUUUAACAUUUUGACAGGUACUUUCCUGAAGGCAUUGAUAUAUAUUUUGAAAACGUUGGCGGAAAAAUGCUUGAUGCAGUGCUACUCAACAUGAAAAUCCAUGGUCGCAUUGCUGUAUGCGGAAUGAUCUCACAGUACAAUCUUGACAGGCCUGAAGGUGUACACAACUUGAUGUAUCUUGUUACGAAACGGGUUCGAAUGGAAGGAUUUCUUGUUCGCGAUUACUAUCACCUCUAUCCAAAGUUUCUGGAAAUGAUCAUUCCUCACAUCAAAGAAGGGAAGAUUGUAUAUGUCGAAGACAUGGCUGAAGGUCUCGAGAGUGCUCCGGCUGCUCUCAUCGGUCUAUUCUCUGGCCGGAAUGUUGGGAAACAGGUGGUUGCAGUUGCUCCUGAAUGAAGAAUAAGUUAGUGUUGCAUGUUCUUUUACCCUUGGACACAAAACUUCAAUGUGAAAGAGAGAAUGCUGCUCAUACUGCUUUAUAAAACAAUCAAAUGAGUGCAAGUUCCAUGGUGUUUGCUGAAUCAAAUAUUGGAAAUUAAGCAGCUAGCCUAUCUCCUUCUUGUAGUUGCAGUUUGAAUGACGCUGCUGCACAACUGCUGCCAAAAGAAUCCUUAAUGGAUGAUUAGCAAGGUUUCAAAAAUAUAAAUAAAUGUUAGUGCAAUGUGCUGAAUAUGACAGCCACAAAGAAAGAGCAUACAAAUUGAUUGGUUUUAUGUCCUCUCUAGGAGAAAGGUACAAUACAAGAAAUUGUAUUGAUGGAGACAUGGAACCAAAUUUCUUAUUUAAAACGUUUAAUUUUUUUUUAUUAAAUUACUUAUGUUAUUAUGGUUUAUAUUUUAGAAAUUCUUUUGAAAUUAAUACAGAACUAGAAGUAAGUUGAGAAAUCAAACAAAUCUUUUUACUGAAUGGUCAAGAUUUGAUUAUGUUUAUUGAAUUAAAUUUACAAUCAUCAUUUUGAUAAAUUGUGGUCAAAGAAUUUGAUUCAUGACAGGUUUAAGUAACUAAAUGUGUUAAAAAAAAGCUUAGGCACUGUUUGAUAUUCAUGACAGGUUUGAUAUCAUUUUCCUUUUAAUUCCACCUGUGCAGCACGUGAGCAUUCUCUUUAUCCUUCUAUUUGAGCAAGCGUGGACCAUAACACUCCGCUCAGAACUUACUCGGGUUUUUUAUUUAAAUAUCCUCAAUUUACCCUUAAAUGCCAAAUUUAUACCCUAUUACAUACAUAUACCUCAUGAAGAUAGGAAAAGUAAAAAAUAACCUUAAAAAAACUAAGAAUUCACAUCUUUCUUCCCCCCAUGGCUUCUAUUUUUCGGACUUCUCUCACCAUUCUCUAUUUUUCUUCUCAACAUUUCCCUCUUUAUUUUAUUCUCUUCUCACCAUUUUCCCUCUUUGACAGUUUCCUUCUAUCUCUCCAUUUCAUUAUUUGACAGUUUCCUUACUUGACUUUAGCUCCAAUACAAAGGUUUUUGAUAAAAAUAAACAGUUAAGAAGGUGCAUUAUCAAGGUAUGUUUGAAAUACAUUCUAUUUAUAUGGUUAGGUUUUGAUUUCAUUUCAUUAUAAGUGUACUUGCUAAUGAUUUAUGAAUUUUAGUAGUACAUUAUUCAUUUUUUGUGCUUGCACACACACUAUUUCAUAGAAUGUAGGGAUUUAAGAUUACGUUUAAGUUAUGAGUGAUUGAAGAAUCAGUGCAGGAAGAAGUCGGGUAAAUCGAGAAUUUAGUCGAGUAAGAAUUGGAGAUAAGUAAGUCGAGUAUAUGGUCGGGUAAGAAGUCGAGUAAGAAUAUUAAAUGAGUCGAGUAAGCAUAUUAAAUAAGUCGAGUAUAUGGUCGGGUAAGAAGUCGAGUAAGAAUAUUAAAUGAGUAGAGUAAGCAUAUUAACUAAGUCGAGUAUAUGGUCGGGUAAGAAGUCGAGUAAGAAUAUCAAAUGAGUCGAGUAAGCAUAUUAAAUAAGUCGGGUAUAUGGUCGGGUAAGAAGUCGAGUAAGAAUAUUAAAUAAGUCGAGUAAGAAUAUUAAAUGAGUCGAGUAUAUGGUCCAGUAAGAAGUCGAAUAAGAAUAUUAAAUAAGUCGAGUAUAUGGUCCGGUAAAAAGUCGAGUAAGAAUAUUAAAUGAGUCGAGUAAACAUAUUAAAUAAGUCGAGUAUAUGGUCGGGUAAGAAGUGGAGUAAGAAUAUCAAAUGAGUCGAGUAAGCAUAUUAAAUAAGUCGGGUAUAUGGUCGGGUAAGAAGUCGAGUAAGAAUAUUAAAUGAGUCGAGUAAGCAUAUUAACUAAGUCGAAUAUAUAGUCCGGUAAGAAGUCGAGUAAGAAUAUUAAAUUAGUCGAGUAAAGUAUAUUAAAUAAGUUGAGUAUAUGGUCCAGUAAGAAGUCGAGUAAGAAUAUUAAAUUAGUCGAGUAAAGUAUAUUAAAUAAGUUGAGUAUAUGGUCCAGUAAUGAGUCGAGUAAGUAUAUUAAAUAAGUCGAGUAUAUGGUCGGGUAAGAAGUCGAGUAAGAAUAUCAAAUGAGUUGAGUAAGCAUAUUAAAUAAGUCGGGUAUAUGGUCGGGUAAGAAGUCGAGUAAGAAUAUUAAAUAAGUUGAGUAAUGUUUUAAAUAAGUCAGGUAAAUGUCAAGUAAGUUUUUUAACACGUCGGGUAAGAGCUACGUAAUAAUGUUGAGUAAAAAUUCACAUAAUAAAGUCAAGUAAGUGUAUUGAAUAAGUCAAGUAUUAAGUCGAGUAAAUGUCAAGUAAGUUAUUUAACACAUUGGGUAAGAGGUGAGUAAUAAUGUUCAACAAAAAGUCACUUGAUCAAGUUGAAUAUGUCAAGUAUUAAGUCGAGUAAUAUUUAUAACAAAUCAAAUAAAAGUUGAGUAAUUUAUUACAAUUAAAGUAAAAGUUAUGUAAAUUUUUAAAGAAGUCGAGUUAGAAGUCGGGUAAGUCGAGUAUUUUGAUGAGUAAAAAAUGAGUUGAGUAAGUCAAGUAAGAAGUCGAGUUAGUGUGUUGAAUGUCAAGUAUUAAGUCGAGUAAUUUUUAAAAAUAAGUCGAGUAAACGUCAAGUUAUGAACAAGUUGAGUCAUAAGGUCGAGUAAGUCACUUAAUCCAUUUUUUUUUUUACUAAAAUUUUUACAAUGAUGGCAGUGUCUUCACUCGUUAAUGGCAACUGUACGUGUUCCUAUAUUGUAUAAUGGUGAAUGGACUCAGGAAAAUGGUGAAUAUAGAUUUACCGGUACUCAGAUACGGGGUAUUAAAGUGCCACAUUCAACUACACUUGAGCAACUUGUCGAAAAAGUGGCAGAAGUGAUUUCUAUUGACCUUUCUGAAUUUGUUAUUAGCAUGAAGUUCAAGUUCAAAACAUCGUCAGAGCCUUUGCCACCUAUGGAAAUUUUGAAUGAUUGUGAUGUAGAAUUUUUUUUGGAAGAAACUAAUAGCGGUUUCAGAAAUCCUCUCUGCAUCACUUAUGAACGUAGGGUAAAUAUUAUCGAGCCUAAUGGCGAUAUAAGGGCAGAGAAUAGUCCACCUACAAGACACCUUUCUUGGGAGGAGAGUCACUAUUAUCCAACCGUUGAUUUAUCAGCUUCCCAACCUGAAGUUGACAGAGUUAGAAUAAAAGAUGAUAGUUUUAUUCCUCAUCCAACCGAGGUCCAUCUUGAUGUCGAAGACAGAAUGGUACCGGAUAUUGAAGCACGAACUGUCCAUCUUGAAGCCGAAGACAUGACACUACCGAAUAUUGAAGUAAGAACUGAUAGUCCACCGGUGUUGACCAUAAUUCAGCCACGGUGUAGUAACAACUAUUUGCCGAGACUUGGUUUGCUGGCUAGUAGUAAUUCAAUAAGCACAAAUGAUUCGUUUCUUAGUGUUGAUAAUUUAGUAUCAAAUGAAAUUGGUGAUGAUAGCGAUGGAUUUAUGGAAAGACAACAAUUUUCCUCCAAAGAGGUCUUGCAAGGCAAGCUCAGUGCAUAUGCUAUAACAAGAAAUUUUGAAUAUAAAACAUUUAUGUCUGGUAAGAAUCUACUUGUUGUCACUUGCGUGGAUAAAAACUAUAAAUGGCGUCUUCGUGCUGUUAAGGUCAAUAAUUGUGGUAUGUUCGAAAUUAGGAAGUAUUGCCAUGUACAUUCUUGUUCCCAUGAUGUCUUGAUGAAAGAUCAUCGCCAAGCUUCUGCGAAACUAAUUGCCCAAAAUAUUCAGUUUAAGUAUGAUGGUUCAUCUUCUUCAUAUAGGGCUGCAGACAUUAGACAAGAUUUUCAGCAACAAUAUAAUUAUGAUAUAAGUUAUCACAAAGCAUGGAGAGCAAGGGAAUGUGCAAUGCAAAUUGUUCGAGGUUCACCUGAAGAGUCUUACAAAUUGCUUCCACAAUAUAUGGCAAUGCUUGAGAAAAAGAAUAUUGGGACUCAAACUUUUCUUGAGGUUGAUGACACAAAUCACUUCAAGUACUUCUUCAUGGCAAUAAGUAGUUCUUUAAGGGGAUUUUCUUCUUCCAUUAGACCAGUUAUUGCAGUUGAUGGUACCUUUUUCAAAGGAAAAUAUAAAGGAACUAUGUUCAUUGCCACAUGCAAGGAUGGUAACAAUCAAAUUUAUCCAUUAACUUUCGGUGUCGGUGAUAGUGAGAACGAUGCAUCUUGGUUGUGGUUUUUCACAAAGUUGAGGGAAUCAAUUGGGGAAGUUGAAAAUUUAGUUUUCAUUUCUGACCGCCAUCCAAGUAUUAAAAAAUCUGUAUCUACUGUGUUCCCGAAUGCAACCUAUGGAGUUUGUACAUAUCACUUAAAGCAAAACCUUAGGGCUCACUUUAAAGAUGUUGAUGUUGGUGGUAUAUUUAAAGCGGCUUCAAAAGCUUAUCGACUAACACACUUCAUAUAUUAUAUGAAUGAGAUAUAUAAGGUCAGCGAAACAGUUGGAAAGUAUCUUGAGGAGGCAGGGAUUGAUAAGUGGGCACGUUCGCACUUCGACGGACGACGUUACAGUAUUAUGAAUACCAACAUUGCUGAAUGCAUGAAUGAGAUUUUAAAAUAUGAUCGAUUGUUACCUAUUCAUAAACUAAUGGAUGGGAUAAUUGACAAACUACGAGAGUCGUUUUGUAAGCGUCGUGAAGAGGCUGCGGCUACAAAUAGUCGACUGACAAAAUGGGCAGAUAAGGUAGUGAGAAAUAGACAAAUUGUCUCUCAAAAUUUUCGAGUGAUCAACUUAAAUCUAUAUGAAUUUAUUGUCAAAGAUGGUGAUCUUGAUGGGCAUGUGAAUAUGUUAGAAAAAACUUGCACUUGUCAGAAAUUCCAACUUGAACAAUUACCAUGUGUACAUGAUGUGGCAGUGUGUAGGCAUCGAGAUUUUUCAAUCUAUGAUUACUGCUCCUAUUACUAUUCAAGUGAUGCAUGGGUGUUAGCAUAUUCUGAGACUAUUUAUCAUGUUGGUCCUCAAGAGGGGUGGGAUGUUUGUGGUGACGUAUGUGCCCGCGAAGUACAUCCUUCUCUAGAAAAGCGGUCAAGUGGGCGUCCAAAAAAUAAUAGAAUACCAUCUAGGGGUGAGGAAAAGGUGCCUCGUAAAUGCAGUCGGUGUGGUGGUCGUGGACACAAUCGACUCAAAUGCAUGACGCCAAUGUCAUUACAUGAGUGGUACCUUGUUUUAAAUUUAUAUGCAAUGUAAGUGUCUCAAUUCUUGGUAUUCAUUUAUGUUUUAUUUAUUUCGUUAAUGCUGUUUAAAUAUGUACUAAAUUUAACAUUAUGUGUACAGGGCUUGACGGAGGAUUUAGCUUGUAUGUUGUCUUUAAAUGGUGGCAUCAUAGAUUUUUGGGUUAUGGCUUGAGUUCUUGGAGCAAUUAAAGGACUAUGCUAAGUCAUUGUAUAAGGAUUUUCGUAUUGAAAUUGCAUAAGGAUGAAUUUACUAGUUGCUAUUUAAUGUUUCCUGGAUAAGGAUCAAUUUACUAGUUGCUAUUUACUAGUUGAAAUUGUAUAAGGAUGAAAUAGAAUUGUAUUUAAUGUUUCCUGGAUAAUUUAAAGUUGUUGCAGAAAAAAGUCGAGUGUUUCCUGUUAUUUACCCGACUACACUGAAAAAGUCAAGUAUUUCCCGUUAUUUACUUGACUUCGAUGAAAAUAAUUUACAUUUACUGAACUUCGAGGAGAUGAGAAUUUUUGUUCAAUAUUUUGCAAGGUCACAUCAAAGUCGAGUAUUCUCGACCUCAUACCCGACUUGGAUGUCGAGAAUUUUCGUUUAAUCUGACGCAAUGUUACAUUAAAGCCGAGUAUUUUUGACCUCAUACCCGACUUUGGUGAGAGGAGAAUUUUCGUUCAAUGUUAGAGAAGAUUGCAAUAUAAGUCAAGUUUUCUCGACUGUUUACCUGACUUCGAUGUGGAGAAAUUUUAUUUAAUGUUAGGCAAUAUUACAUUAAAAGUCGAGUUUUCCCGACUGUUGACCCAACUUCGAUGAGGAGAAAUUUGUUUAAUGUUAGGCAAUAUUACACUAAAAAUUGAGUUUUCUCGACUGUUUAAACUGUUUACCCGACUUCGAUGAGGAGAAAUUUUUUUCAAUGUUAGGCAAGAUUACAUUCAAAGCCGAGUAUUCCCGACUAUUUUCCUAACUUUGCUGAAGGAAGUCGAGAGUUAAGUCAAUCAGAGGAGAAUUUUUUAGGCAAGCGUACAUUGAAGUAUGAGAAUCAAAAUACCAGACUUUGAUGAAAUAAGUUGAGUAUACUCGACUCUUUACCCGACCUACAUAAAAAAGUAUAAAAUUUUUUAGAAGACUUAAUGCUGACUAAAUAAUAACAAAAACUAAAAUAUUUUACUUAUUCACACAUUUACAACAAUACAAGUCAGUUCAUAAGGUUUUGAUUAACAUUAUCCCAAAAGUUAAACUACAAACUAAUACGAAGUCGAGUAUUCUUGAUUAUCCAAAACAAUGAACUUCUUGUCAUCAUCAAUCGCACUCCUCUAUCAACUUCUUGUCAGAAAACAACCUUGUUGCCACUUGUUUUCGGUAUGAGUUAAUGCCUGCUUGUGUACGAACGUCAUAUGAAAUGUCUAGACCAUAUACAAGUGCCUCCAAAUAAAACAUAACAAAAGCCCCACAAUCAUUGCUGCAAGAGAUAAAUAGAAAGUGAUAGUUAUUUGAUAUUACAUAACUCAAUGGAUAAUAUAAGAGGGGCAACAAUAUUUCUUACUUGUUUUUUUGUUGUGGGAUGUCUGAAACUCGCACAGCCUUCCACUUACGAGUUAGAGAAUUAUUAUCAGAAUGUGAAGUAUAACAUGAGAUCCUAUCUAGAAUCAAUGGCAUCAUAACUACAAACGGCAACAAUUCCUUCUCAAAUGAACUAUCAUUCAUAUAAUCUAACAUGGAGUCAUACACAAAAAUUAUCUCCUUUUGAAGGUCAAAUUGUGCUAGUGCCCAAUGAUCUUGCUUAGGAUGAAGCGAAAUAUAUACCUACAGAAAAAACUAUGUAAACCACCAAAUGGAGAAAAAAAACUAUAGUCAACAUGUCAAAUAAAUAUAAGCAACUUACUUUGGAAACAUCUUUCCAAUGAGCAGCACAUUUAAGUUUUUCACCCUUGGCAUAAUCAACGACAUAAUUAGUAGCAUUAUUUGUCCAUACUUUUUCAGGGUUGAUCAUGUAAACUGAAUACAGAUGCUCUAACUUUUGCUAUCAUUACAGAAAAUAAAAGUGUAAGUGUCUUAUAUAUUUUAUAUUUUCCUAUAUGUUUUAUAAAUGUAAUAAAAAACUCACUUGAUAUAUAGUGUCCAUUAUGGCACAAGAUGGGGAGUUGACCAAGCUGUGUCGUACAGCAUAAAAAAAAGAGUCCAAGUGAUGUAGAUAAUAAACAAUAGUUAUUAUAUGCAUUGUUUAACAUAUUCAUUAAAGUAUCUAACAAAAAUUAUUACUACGCUAGAUAUCCAUGAUCUUGGUUUGCAUAAUAGACGGAAAAAGUCUUUAUCUGCGUCGUGGACGGGCCACCUUAUUAUCAAACUACCAUAAAAAAUAAGAAAUAUUAUUACAUAACAACUUGAAUAAAUAUAAUUAACCCUAAAAUAAGAAUAAAAGAAGAAAUAAAUAUAAUUAACUCUAAAACAAAAAAAAAAGAAUAAAAGAAACUUACGGCUCCAUAUUGCCAUUACGCAUCCAAUCAUCAAAGUUUAUUGGAUCUUUUGAUUCAGUUACUGCAUCCUUUCGUGACUUCUUAUAAGGGUCAGUGUAAGGUGUGCUAUCAUAUACUGAUUUUUUUCUCUUUUUUCUCAGAUAAUGUUGUUCCAAUGGAACACAAUCUUGUUCUUUGCAUCUUUUUUUGUUGUGAGAUUUGCUAGAAAUUUCAUUAGUAAUGUUAAUUACACCAUGUACAGGUGGCUGUAUUACAGGUAAAUAAAACAUAAUUUAGAAUUUUGUACAUAAUUGCUAGUAACUAAAUUCGACACGAACUAAAUUUAAAUUUACCAACCUCAACAUCAAUUUUAUCGGCAUCUACAUGAGCAGCCCCUGCGGUUUGAUGAUCUUGUGCAGAUGGCUGUAUUACCGAUAAAUACAAUCAAAUUUAGAAUUUUGUACAUAAUUGCUAGUAACUAAAUUCAACACGAACUAAAUUUAAAUUUACCAACCUCAACAUCAAUUUUAUCGGCAUCAACAUGAGCAGUCCCUGCGGUUUGAUGAUCAUGCGCAAGUGGCUGUAUUACGGAUAAAUACAAUCAAAUUUAGAAUUUUGUACAUAAUUGCUGGCAAGUAAAUUCAACACAAAAUGAAUUUAAUAUUACUAACCUGAUCAUCUAUUUUAUCAUGGUCUACAUGAGAAGCCACUGAGGUAGGAGGAUCAUGUGCAGGUGGCUGUAUUAUGAAUAAAUAUAACAAAAUUUAGAAUUCGCUCGUAAUUAUUGUCAACUAAAUUUAAUUUCAAUUUUGUCUAAGCCACUGAAGUAAAUGUAAAAAUAUGUAAAAAAUAAAAAUCGCUUCUAAAAGUAUUUAAAAUGUUGCAAACCUGAUCAGUGAGACUAUCUUUGGCUGCAUUAAAAGAUGCUAGAAACUCCUCGAGUAACUUCGUCGUUCUCCAAAAGUCUUUUGUAAUGUUGUCAAGCUUUGCUUCCAACACACCAAUCUUUUGCACCUUUUCCUCGAUUUUGCUUAAUCUGCCAUAAAUUUUCUGAAAUGUUGGAGCAACAUGAUCGCCUAUGGAGACACGACAAGACGGAGUGACCUACGAACAUGUUUUAAGAUAUACUGCUAAGUUAAUUUCAUAAAUUAAAAAUCUCAAAAUGUCUUUAAACAAAUCAACUAACUUACAUUUUUGCUUGUUUUUUUCGUGGAACGGUGUUGUCCUCUUAAUAGUAGGUGCAUUACGUGGCGAAGGAAAAAAUCUUGGGGAAGGUUGAAUGGUGUGUGUGAAAUAUCAUCAGUGAUGGUUGCAUGCCUAUCAUCCAUAACAACAUCAACUUGAGGCUGCAUUUGCACAUUUGAAUGUGCAGAAUUUGGUUCGUUGUUAGGCUCAUCACCACUCAUAGCAUUGAGUUCACCAAGCUCUUGCUUCCACUCAAUUUCCGAAGCCAAGAACCAUUGCAUGUAAUGUUGUGCAAUCUCAUUACUUCCACCACUUCCGGUGGCAUGCAAUGUUGUCGCUACAAUAAACUAUAUAAUAUAGAUGAUAAUUAAAUUAUACCAAGAAUGUACUAAUGCUUUAACUAAAUAACUCAAGUUAAACUAAAUAAUUCAUGUUAAUGGUUCGCACUUAAAUAAGAAUGAAACACUUACGGUGUCUUCCUCUUUCAAGGCUUUAUUAAUUACAUCAGCCAUAAUCUUGUUCUUACAGAACCACUUAAGAAUUCUUGGAACCUUUAAAUCACCCUUUUCGGUUGCAAAUUUUUGGCCGAAUUCAGAAAGGACCUCGUAUGUCCACACCUGCAAUAUUACAACACUACAUCAAUAUCAUAUAAAAUUCAUGUAUUUAUUAUAAAAAUAAAUAAAUAAGCAUUCUCACCUGAAACACGUAUGGAAAACCAUAAAGGCUGUAUUUCUCUUCUAUGUUUGGAUCUAAUGGACCAAUUCUUUUGCUUCUCCUUGUAACUGUGUUCUUCAAGCUUAACAUUGUUGCCUCGAAUGACAAGCGACCCCAUGGAUAAUUAUUAAAUUCUUUAAAGUUGUCUAAUAGACGAAUAUGGAGGCCAUCAAUCUUAUUCUUGGGCUCCUUUCCUAGCAACACAGACUCCAAGAAAUAUAGCAUGGCGAACUUGACCAUCAAGUUAUCAUCAUUGGACUGGGCUGUUGAAAAAGCUUUCUGUAAUUGUUUUUGAGUAAAUUCAUGAUUGCCCCCCAUGAACACAUCACAUAUACUAUCAGUAUUGUCUUUCUCAUGUACUAAAAUAUCAUGUUCUUUAUGGCAUUUCAAUCCCGUAAUUAAGGCAAACUCAAGCAUAGAAAAUCUGCACUCUUUUUGUCCUAUUUUGAAGUACAUUACCUUAUCAGUUGAUCUCACAUACUGUAAUAAUAAUGCAUGAACAAUUUGGCCAGCGAAUUUUAGAUCUUGAAGGUGCACAAAAUGACCAAAGCAUGUUUCCUUAAACACUUCAUAUUAUUGCUCUGUGAGACGUUGCUUUAUAAGUGAAAGUGCCUUUAGUGAUGACAUAUUAGACACUUUUACUAAAACCGCCUUCUGAUCGUCGUUAUCUAAAUUAUCAUCAGAUGGCAUGGUUUUUUUUGGUAUACAGUCCAGAACUUACAGGAUCAAGUAAAAAGUUUUAUCUAGAGGUUAAAUGGGUUAUAAACUAAUCAUUUGAAGCCUGAUAGUAAACAAUUCAAAUGUUGUUAGGCUAAUAACAUGCCAACAACUAUUUUCCAGCUCAUAAUUAAACUCUAACCCUGAUUUUAGAACACAACACAUAUAGAUUCUUACACUACAAUCCUUAAUUUCAUAAAUUUACAGAACAAUAUGUUUAUAACAAAAUUCAAAACAAUAAUCAAUAAAAGGCAAAUCCAAUGAACACAAUCAAAUAACCUUUAAAAUUGAAUCAUAAUGUUUCACAACUAAACACAUCAUUUCUCCAACCGCAAAGCAAAAAUUGGGAAAACUAACCCACAUGAUUCUUUAAUCAACUUUUCUUUAACCACAUUGUUGCCAAAUCUUAAUUGUUGCACUCAAACAAAAAAAAGAAUACAAAAUCCAUAGAGGAAAUAAAAUAAAUUUGAAGUUCUUCAAAUAAAAAUAUGUUGUCUAACAUUUGUUUUUGUAUGUCUCUUCGUGAUAUAUUGUAUUACAUUGUUCAUGUUAUACUUCUAAUUCUUUCCAUUUUCAGUAAUCUCAUAAAUUAUACUUAAUUCACUAAAUCACUUACUAUUUUCAAGCAAAACCCUAAAAUUUUUCUUUGAAUAUUUGUAGGAGAAAGAAGAAAAUGAAAAUUACUUACCUAGUAAUCAAUGACGGAGGCAAGACAAGGUGGUGGUGACACAGCUGAGGCGAUGGUGAUAGCUGAAGUGCAGAAUGGGUAGAGAGCCGUUUGUUCUUCAAGGAGUUUUCUCUCUUAUUUUGUUUACUCGACUUUGUGAUUUUGGGUUGGAAUCGAUUCUGUUUUGUUGGCUUUUAUUAAGGUUAUUUUUGUAUUUUCCCCGAUCUUUUUAAGUAUAUAUGUGUAAAGCUAGCAAUUUUAAUAUAUGGAGGUAUAUUUUGGGUAUUUUGAGGGAAACUAGGUAUAUCCCACGCAAUUCGCUCAACUUACAAUCUGCAGACUGCAAAUUGUAAACUGCAAAACCUCAAGUACAGAGCUUCCAAGCUGCAAAACGCCAACUGGUUCGUGAAAAUUGACUGCUGAACUUUUACAUUCAAGAAUUUGGCAGCAAGAAAACAUUAGAAGCACGAAAUUUUUACUGGCUUAAAGCCAUGAGAUGCUUCUUGGAUGUUGUCCAUUUUUUCUUCCCCUGCUUUUCUUUCAACUGGAUCACUGUCAAUAGAAAAGAACAAAUAUGAUAUAAAUGAAACACAACAAACUUCAUUAUACAAAGUUAACUUCAUUAUACGUUAAUCUUUUGAGUUCAUUUACUGCUGUUAUACAUAGUGCAACACACAUUCCAGAAGAAUUGUUAGCCCUUUUUAGCCCUUUUCAAUGAUCCAUUAAUAACACAAUAGAAGAGAACACACUUACAACUAAAAAAGAAGAGUUAUUUUGAAGCUUUUCCUUGUUAAGAGCAUUGAAACCAGUUUAGGACUAAUCAGUAUAGUUGGAUAGAUGCACGGGAAUGAAGGAACAGAAUCAAAGAGGCAAAUCAUCUAACACACAUGUUAAUAUUUAAAUGCAAAUAUUAGGAACAAACUUUUAUUAUUAAGAUUUAAGAGUUGAACACAAGUGAUUAAUACAAAAAGGAAUAAGAAACACACAUGGGUACCAAUGCAAAGAUUAACAAAUAAACAAUGCUCUUGUUGAAAUUCUUUAAUAUUACAAGGGAAGAGAAAUUUGUUCAGGAAACUCUAAGAGGAGGGCUUCAUCUCUAACUUAAUGGCUGCAACCAAUUGAUCGUAAGCUUCAGAUCAGGCACUCUUCAUUUCUGGUGACCAUAUCUCUGGUACUGCUUCCUUUAUUGUUUCUAGUAGUGCAAAUUUUGUGACCUCAAAAUGUUCAUUAACAACACCAGAUUUGAAGUGGACAGCUCCUAAUUUCUUUAGAGUUGAUUCUCUUACUGUCACUUUGCCUGCUUUCCUCAGUUGCUCUGUUGAUCCAAGAAACAACCGGGUCGGUUUCCGGAUCCUCCACCAUCUCAUAUAUUUUCCUCAAAAACGGCAGUAGACCCACCUCGUUUAAUCCUUCCAUUGGCUUUGGCAACGAUCCGCCACCGACAAGUUCAUCAUCAACAACGCCUUCCUCUUUUUCUUCUUCUUCUUUGAUUGUGGCUAAAGUCGGCAUGGAUGAAGAAGACGAGGAUGGCCCACCGCCGUUGCUGUUCUCAUAUAGUGACGCUUCUUUCUCUUCCUCUUUGUCUAAUCAAGCGUAUCUCAUUCUCUGUUUCAACUGUUUCUUUUAUUGUUUCCAUUGCCACAUCUUGGCCAGAUUUAGGUUUUGGAAAAAGAUUUGAAGAACAAAUUAAAAAAAAAACUAGAGCUGCGGGCGGCGGUGGCCAUUUUGUUGGUCAUUGUGUUUAGUUGUUUACUUAGUCUGAUUUCAAUGGGUGACAAAAGAACUGAGAUUUUCUUGAGCGAAUUGCUGUGGGAUAUACAUGUUUUCCUUCAAAAUACCCAAAAUAUACCUCCAUAUAUUAAAAUUACUAGCUUUACACAUAUACUUAAAAAGAUCAGGGAAAAUACAAAAAUAACCUUAAUAAAAAUAUUCGACUUAUUUAAUAUGUUUACUCGACUCAUUUAAUAUUCUUACUCGACUUCUUACCGGACCAUAUACUCGACUUAGUUAAUAUGCUUACUCGACUUAUUUAAUAUUCUUACUCGACUUCUUACCCGACCAUAUACUCGAUUUAUUUAAUAUACUUACUCGACUCAUUUAAUAUUUUUACUCGACUUCUUACCCGACCAUAUACUCAACUUAUUUAAUAUGCUUACUCGACUCAUUUAAUAUUCUUACUCGACUUCUUACCGGACCAUAUACUCGACUUAUUUAAUAUGCUUACUCGACUCAUUUAAUAUUCUUACUCGAUUUCUUACCGGACCAUAUACUCGACUUAUUUAAUAUGCUUACUCGACUCAUUUAAUAUUCUUACUCGACUUCUUACCCGACCAUAUACUCGACUUAUUUAAUAUGCUUACUCGACUCAUUUAAUAUUCUUACUCGACUUCUUACCCGACCAUAUACUCGACUUAGUUAAUAUUCUUACUCGACUCAUUUAAUUUUCUUACUCGACUUCGUACCCGACCAUAUACUCGACUUAUUUAAUAUGCUUACUGGACUCAUUUAAUAUUCUUACUCGACUUCUUACCCGACUAUAUACUCGACUUACUUAUCUCUAAUUCUUACUCGACUAAAUUCUCGAUUUACCCGACUUCGUACCCGACUUCUUCCUGCACUGAUUCUUCAAUCACUCAUAACUUAAAUGUAGUCUUAAAUCCCUACAUUGAAAUAGUGUGUGUGUGCAAGCACAAAAAAUCAAGUAAGGAAACUGUCAAAUAAUGAAAUGGAGAGAUAGAAGGAAACUGUCAAAGAGGGAAAAUGGUGAGAAGAGAAGAAAAUAAAGAGGGAAAUGUUGAGAAGAAAAAUAGAGAAUGGUGAGAGAAGCCCGAAAAAGAAAAGCCAUGGGGGGAAGAAAGAUGUGAAUUCUUAGUUUUUUUAAGGUUAUUUUUGACUUUUCCUAUCUUCAUGAGGUAUAUGUAUGUAAUAGGAUAUAAAUUUGACAUUUAAGGAUAAAUUGAGGAUAUUUAAAUAAAAAACCCGAUUUUCUUAGCCUUUAUAUGCAAACAGAGAGACACUGACUUGUCACGUAACAGCGGCAGCAAAGCUAGAAGGAAGCGGGAGCUGUUCUCAUAUGGUGACGUGUUAAACGCACCGUUUUUAAUUUAAUUAAAACGGUGCGUUUUAAAUUCGGGGCGCGGGAUUUAAAAUCGGGUUAAGUAACAACGUUCUAUAAUAAAUAUAAUUUUUAAAUAAUAAUUUUAAUAAAAUAAUAAAUUUAUUAUGAGUUUUUCAUAUAUAUUAAAUAAUUUUAAUUUUUAAAUCACAAUAAUAAAUAUUUUCGAAACACUAUAAUACCGUAAUUUUUAAAUUAUAUCUAUACAAUCUAAAUGGCAAGAGGCCUUAAUAUGAAAAAAAAAAACAUUACAGUUAAGUUUUAAAACUGUUAAUGAUAUUCAUAAAAACUGUGGAACAAUAAUACAAAAGGUGUCGUCAUGUAAAAACACAUGGGACCCAACCAAUAAAUGCUUAUGAUCCUCAACUUUCCUCCUCACUGUCCCAGUGUCCCUGCAAACAAUUCUGAUUUUCCUGCCAGAGAAAAAAAACUGAGAAACAAUGGCGGCUGAACAAGAAGCUGUGAGCAAUAAGCGAGUGAUUCUGAGCAACUAUGUGACAGGUUUUCCAAAAGAAUCAGACAUGAAGAUAACAAGUGGAUCAAUAAAGCUGAAGGUAGCAGAGGGUUCAAAAGACACAGUGCUUUUGAAGAAUCUUUAUCUUUCUUGUGAUCCUUACAUGCGAUGGCGUAUGAGCAAGCUUGAUAGACCUUCUUUUGUUGAUUCAUUCCAUCCUGGUGAGGUUAGUUCAUCACGACCCAUCUCUUGAUUUUUCCAUUUGGUUUAAGUUUUGGUGAGUUUCUGAGUUCAUUUUUACGGUUUUGGAAUGUGAACACAAUUUUGGUGCUGUAACUGUCAUUAAUGAUAUGUAGUAAUUCAAUCAGAAUUUGGAUUUAUUGCUGAUAUAAGCUCUGCUCAUUUUUUAAAAUCUGGUGUCCACAUGCAUGUUUAUAAUCUUUUUGGUUGAGAUUGUAUGUAGAUUCAUACAGUAUUCUUGUCUAACAAUUACUAACCACAACCUUAUAAGACGAUCGAAACUAAGCUCAGAUCAAUAAUCCAAUCAAGAGAGGAUCCUAACUCAAGCUUGUCAUGUAUGGGAAUAUUUCGGUUAAAUUGUAAUCAUGAUCAUGAAUCAUGCAGGAAAAAGGGAAGUUGAGGUCAAUUUAUGCACUUGAUGGAAUUAAAGAACCAAUAUUUGGUUUACAUUAUUUCUUAGUAAUGGUGACUGUGCCUUCUAGCAGAAUUUUACAUGCUUUAUGUUCUAACUAAGCAUCAAUAUUUGAUCGUGAUCAUUAGCGAGGUCAAUAAUUUUUUUUGACUAUUUUUUCAACAUAAGGUCGAUUUGUUGAAGAACAAGUUUGGAUUUGAUGAUGCUUUUAACUACAAGGAAGAGCCAGACUUGGAUGCAGCACUCAAAAGGUCAGCUGCAACAAACGUUUCAACUCUAAUAUUUCAUUUUAAUAUUACAGAGCUUUGGUUGAAGUGUGUGAGUUGAUCCCAAAAACGUAACUUCAUCAGUGUCUCUGUUUUCAAAAAACAGGACAAAUAGAAAUCUGAUUUUGCUUUAAAAAUUUCCUAGAUGCUUCCCUCAAGGAAUCGACAUAUAUUUCGAAAACGUUGGGGGAAAGAUGCUGGACGCAGUGCUACUCAACAUGAGGCUCCGGGGCCGCAUUGCGGUAUGCGGUAUGAUCUCGCAGUACAACCUGGAAAAACCUGAAGGCGUACACAACUUAGAGCAACUAAUCGGGAAACGGAUUCGCCUGGAAGGAUUUCUAGCUGGUGAUUACUAUCACCUCUAUCCAAAAUUCUUGGAACUGGUCAUUCCUGCAAUCAGAGAAGGAAAGAUGGUGUAUGUGGAAGACAUAGCCGAAGGACUCGAGAAUGCUCCCGCAGCCCUUGUCGGGCUCUUCACUGGCCGGAACGUCGGCAAGCAGCUAGUUGCAGUUGCUUAAUACAAAAGCCAAUAUGGAUGAGCUGAGAAUAUGUGACUGAAUCCAUUGUCCGGUUAAAAAUGUUUGCAUGUGUUAAUAUGAACUAUCCUCGUUUAGUAAUGGGAUUGGAUUGUCCUGUCAUUACUUAAUUUUGUUGAGCUAGGGCAUCUGUGUGUAAAGUGUCAAAUAAUUUGGAUUCAGACAAGAACUUAGUGGAUGCAUUGAAGGAUUUUUUUUUUCUUUUUUUUUCUUUUCCAAGAUAUUGAGAUAAUGAUUGGAACAUUUGAGGGAUAAGAUCAAAGUAUCUUUUAGGAUACCUCAUUGGUAAGUAUUAAAAUAUCAAUUGCGUCUUUAUAAGGACAGGUGGUCCAGGAUCAAGAUUAAUGAAGAACAAAUUACAGCCAUUAGAUUAAAGUGAAAUUAAAGCUGUGAAUAGUACACACUUGUUGUGUGAAAAACUUAAAGGAGACAUUCCUCUGUACAAAAUUAACUUAAUAAUAUGUCCUUAUUCAUUCAUUUGAUUCUUCCUUCUCAAUCGUCAUUAAUAAAUUAAUAAUACAAAUAAGUCCCCGUUAAAGGUUAAGUCCCCGAUUGGCUUUACCGUCACGCUCAUGCAUGAUCAAAUUUCAGUUAAUGCUGACGUGAUCGAUGAUGAUUUCAUUGGGAGCUUCCUUUGUCGUGGCACUCUCAUGUUCACAUUUAUUUUUAGGGUUAAUAAUAAUAAUAGCUUCUAGAAACGCUUUGUUUUAAUGAGAUUUUAUUUUUCAAUUAGUGUAAAAAAAAAAUAACAAAAAUUAAUAAAAACUGAUUAUUUAAUGAUGUUCGGCCCUCGAGACAGUUUAUACUCGUAAUUUAUUGUUUGAAAAUUAUUUCAACAUAUGAAAAACAAAAUUUCCCAAAUUUACAACGAAUUUUAAAACAAAAUUUCGAAAUUUCAAAGAAAAUUACAAAUUUGACUAGAUUGACUGGAAAAAAUAAAAUAAAUAAAAUCGUCAAAAAUCCUGGGACCGACCAUUUCAAAAGUCUGGCUCUUUUCCAGGCUUUCCUUCCAAAUUUUCACACACAAAAUUUCUCGUAACUGCUACACAUUAAACGCGUUUCACAUUUUCACUCUCUCUCUAUAAAUAAAUACGCACAUAAAAUUUCUCACCAUCCAAAAACAAAAUCUACAUAAAAAAUGGCGGGUGAAGAAGCAGUGAGCAACAAGCAGGUGAUUCUGAGCAACUACGUGACAGGGUUUCCCAAGGAAUCAGACAUGAAGAUAAUAACAGGCUCAAUAAACCUGAAGGUGCCAGAGGGCUCAAAAGACACAGUGCUUUUGAAGAAUCUUUAUCUUUCCUGUGAUCCUUACAUGAGAGGACGUAUGAGUAAGCUUGAUAAGCCUUCGUUUGUUGCCUCCUUCAACCCUGGCGAGGUCAGUUUCUUCAAUUCCCACCUCUUGGUUUCAUAAUCUUUUAUGGUCUUAGAGGUGUUUUAGGGAAACAUUAUGGUUUUGGUUUGUGGGCAUGAAUCCUUGAAGAGAGUAUGAUGUGUCGGACUAUGUAUGCAAUAAUAAGUAUAGGGGAUCUUGUUAAGAGAAGAUUCUCUUAAUGAGAUUAAAACUUUUGUCUUAUCAAAACAUAUGUUUAGUUAUGAUAUCAUGUUAGCAUUGUUUCUGAGGAUUUGAUUGCUUGCUUUGGGAAAGGGAUGUUGAGGUUACAUUAUUCAGUAAUGAUUUUUUUUUUUUUUCAAAUGUUCAAAUUAUGCAGCCUUUGAGCGGAUAUGGAGUGUCCAAAGUGUUGGAUUCCACACAUCCAAAUUAUAAGAAAGAUGACUUGGUCUGGGGCUUAACCAGUUGGGAGGAGUACAGUCUCAUCCAAUCACCACAACAUCUGAUUAAAAUUCUGGAUACAAAUGUGCCUCUGUCAUACUAUACUGGGAUUCUUGGUAAGUUGUUACUAAAUUUAUCGAUGUCCAGUUUGCAUGAGCCGAAAAUCGUGUUUUAUUCAAUGCAAUGAGAUAGGGAUAUAUAAUAUGCCUGCUUGAACGUCUAGCAUUUUGAAUUUUCAACAAUUGGUCCGUCUGUAUGGGCAUGUAACUGAAGGAUUUCAUUUGAGGAAUUUACUAUUGUUGCUGAUUAUUGGGUAUUUUUCUGUUGAUUCUAGGUAUGCCUGGUUUGACUGCAUAUGGUGGUUUAUAUGAGCUUUGCUCUCCUAAGAAAGGAGAGUAUGUCUAUGUAUCUGCAGCAUCUGGAGCUGUUGGUCAGCUAGUUGGGCAAUUUGCAAAGUUGGUUGGUUGCUAUGUUGUUGGAAGUGCAGGAAGCAAAGAAAAGGUGAGUUUGCACUCUUGACCCUUAAGCUCCAAAUAAAAACAUAAUAACUUCCAAAAGAAUUGUGCAUGUCACAGUAUUUGUGUUCUAACUGAUCAUGGAUAUUUGAUCAGUAGUCUAGUAGAAACAGACCUAUUAAUACAUAGUUGAUUCGUCCUCAAGAAAAUUUAGUUGAUAUAUGCUUGAAAUUAUAUUCUGUUUUUUAUGCCAGAUUAUAUUAUUAGAUGACUAUAUUAACCAGAUUCUUUUUCUUUGUGCUGUUUCUCAUUUGAUUACGUUUUCAACAUUAGGUCAAUCUGUUGAAGAACAAGUUUGGGUUUGAUGAUGCUUUUAACUAUAAGGAAGAGCCAGACUUGGAUGCAGCUCUUAAGAGGUUAGCACGAAUGAAUGCUUUAACCACUUUUCUCACUUCAUUAUUACAAUGCGCUGAUUGAUGUUAUCUGCGUUGGUCCUGUAAAUGUAAAACAGGACAAACAGAGAUCACUGAUCUCAUUUGUUACAUUGAUAUUUUCUACCAUUGCCAUACAUAGUAUAAACUUGGAAUGAAGAUAGAUAUUCAAUUCAGAGGGAAAUUUUCACUUGCAGCUAACAGAAUCAUGUUUGUGAUGUAUGUUUAUUUAGGAAAUGAAAAGAUUCGUUGCAUUAUUUUAUUCCAAGUUUGCUGAAAUCAUAUUUGUUUUCCCAGGUGCUUUCCUGAAGGCAUCGACAUCUAUUUCGAAAAUGUUGGGGGUAAGAUGCUUGAUGCAGUCCUACUCAACAUGAGAAUUCAUGGCCGCAUCGCCGUAUGCGGAAUGAUCUCACAGUACAACCUUGAGAAGCCUGAAGGCGUACACAACUUGAUGCAAGUAGUUGGAAAACGAAUUCGCAUGGAAGGGUUUCUUGCCGGUGAUUUCUACCACCAAUAUCCGAAAUUCUUGGAACUGGUUAUGCCGGCAAUCAAAGAAGGAAAGUUAGUAUAUGUCGAGGACAUAGCUGAAGGCCUGGAGAAAGCUCCAUCAGCCCUAGUUGGGAUAUUCACUGGGCAGAAUGUUGGAAAACAACUGGUUGUAGUUGCUCCUGAAUGAUAUGAUUACAAUAUGCUUUAAAAGUGGACUGUGCCAUGCACUUUAAAAGCUUAGUGAAGAUGCCUCUGUCUUAUUUUUGAUACAUGUUAUGUUUGUUUGAUCAAGUUGUACUCAGCUAUAAAUGAAAGAUUCAGAACAUGUGUAUGGUACUGGUUUCUAAAUCAAUGAACGCUUUGAAAUGUUAGUGUUUUCACUGGAGAAUGCAGUUUAAUUCAUCAACAAUGUCCCAACAAGACCCUCAAGAGUGGUAGCUUGCAAAGUUAAUUACUAUAUUUUUUUCUUUCCGAUAUAUUGUUCAUUUCAUAGAAAGUUUACAUUAAUUAAAGUCUCAUGUUUCUUUGAAAGGUAAGCAAGUGUGAAUGUUUCUAUCUAGAGCUGGAAAAUGCAUUUCCGUGCAACUUACUUGAUGAAUGAAGUUUUCAUCUCUGACCUUGAUGUUUCCCAGAGCUGCAUUCAUUUCAGCUGAUCUAUUUCAUUUCGUUUGCAAAGGAGUGACACAAAACCUCCUUUGUUAAGGGGAGAAUUUAGAGUGGCUUCAACGGUUAACAAAUAGCCUAAUGUAAGACUUAAUCAAUUUCCUGCCCGGUUGCUUACCACUACUUAUCACUUUAACGUAUGAAACCUAAUCAAGAUUCCUUUGAUGAUUUUUCUAUUUGCUAAUUGAUUGAUAAGCUCUUCAGUGAAGAUAUAGUGUCCGCAAGCCAUAUGUUGAUAGAGUUAGAGUUUGCAGAAGCUACUGUACCAUAUGUUGUUAGAGGCGGUAAAAACGGAGGCAGAUCAACACACAUUUAAAUUUCAAUGACAAUUUACUGGAAAUAAAUUUCCUAUGACCCUACAUGUGACUAAUUGAUGAGAACUUGACAAUGACAAAAGAAAGUGUAUGAGCUUUGCAGGCUGGCUUGCCAAUAUUGACUGUAUGGCACCAUCCGCAAGUAAGUAUCAUUACUGUUUAAUCAACUUGGUGGAGUCCACUGGGACCACCCCACAUGGUCAGUCUUAUCUCUACUCCUAAAUUUUCAAUAUUCCAUACAUCAAACCAAUUGCAGUUUUGAUAUCAAAUUCAAUUUUAUUGUUGGUGACGAUUCUGAUUCCUUUCAUUCUCACAAAACGGAACCAUGGUUGCUGUUGGAGAGAUCUUACUCAACGCCUUCCUUGAGGUGUUGUUUGACAGGUUGGCUUCUCGUAAUUUGCUCCGCUUUGUGCGUCAACUCCAAGGCGGGGUUGAUUCGGAGCUCAAGAAGUGGGAGAAAAAGCUGAAGAUGAUUCAGGCUGUGCUCUGCGAUGCAGAGGAGAAACAACUGACCGAUGAGGCUGUGAAGAUGUGGCUGGACGAACUCCAAGACUUAGCUUAUGACGCUGAGGACAUUCUUGAUGAGUUUGCUACUCAAGCUUUGGAAAGCAAGUUGAUGGCGCAAAACCAGGAUAGCUCUGGCCAGGUUCUCAGUCUCAUCCCGGCUAGUUUGAAUCCGAAUGCUAUUAUGUUCAAUUAUAGCAUGGGGUCCAAGAUUAAAGAUAUGACUAGCCGGCUGGAGCAACUCUGCCAAGAAAGAAUUGAACUUGGACUGCAACGGCUUACUGGAGGGGCGUCAUCAACCGCUGCUGCUGCACACCGGAGGCCACCCAGUUCGAGUGUCCGAACAGAACGUGAAGUAUUUGGAAGAGAAGAAGAUAAGGCCAAAAUUCUUGAUAUGGUCAAUACCCCAAGUGAUCACGCCAACUUUGUUGUAAUACCUAUUGUUGGAAUGGGCGGGAUAGGAAAAACAACUCUUGCUCGGGAGGUCUACAAUGACAAGGCAGUUGAGGAUUCCAAGUUUGACGUAAAAGCAUGGGUUUGUGUCUCCGACAACUUUGAUGUUUUCAACAUUUCAAAGGCACUUCUCGAGUCAAUCACCUCCGCAGCUAGUGAUCUCAAGACUUUAAAUGAAGUGCAGGUUCAACUGAAAAAAGCAGUGGACGGAAAAAGAUUCUUGCUGGUCUUAGAUGAUGUUUGGAACGAGGACUACAGCUUGUGGGUAGACUUAAAAGCUCCGUUCCUGGGUGCUGCACCAAACAGUAAGAUGAUCGUCACCACACGCAAUUUAAACGUUGCAUCAACAAUGGGACCAAUUGAACAUUAUAAUCUCAAGAGUCUGUUAGAUGAUGAUUGCUGGUCCAUUUUCAUACAGCAUGCAUUUGAAGGUAGAGAUCUUAACGCAUAUCAAAUUUCAGAAUCAUUCAGCAAGAAAGUUGUUGGCAAGUGUGGGGGCUUGCCUCUGGCAGCAAAAACGCUCGGGGGCCUUCUGCGCACAACAAGGCAUGAUGCGUGGGACGAUAUAUUGGAUAGCAAAAUAUGGGAUUUACAUCAACAAAGCAGCAUUCUCCCUGUGUUAAGAUUGAGUUACCAUCAUCUUCCGUCUCAUUUGAAAAGAUGUUUUGCUUUUUGUGCCAUCUUUCCAAAAGAUUAUGAAUUCACUGAGAAGGGGCUAACUUUCUUGUGGAUGGCUGGAGGUAUUAUUCGACAGUCAAGAAACAGUGAGCAGCUGGAAGAUUUGGGCAGCAAGUGCUUUCAUGAUCUAGUGUCAAGGUCUAUUUUUCAACAAACCAGCUCUGGUAGUUCUAAAUUUGUAAUGCACGACCUUAUCCAUGAUUUUGCUGAAUUGGUUUCUGGAGAGACCAUUUUAAGGUUAGAGGAAUCCACCAACUUGUCGUCAAGGAGAUUUGAAAGAGUUCGCCAUUCUUCCUAUGCCCGUGGUUGGCUUGAUGGUAAAAAUAAGUUUGAGGUUUUCUAUGAAAUUGAACAUCUGCGAACAUUCUUGCCAUUCUGCAUAAGAGGUGGCCCUAAUACUAGUUACGUAACUAGUUUACUUCUAUAUGAUUUGUUGCCGAAGUUUAAAAAGUUGAGGAUGCUAUCUUUAGAAGGAUACCAGAUUGGUGAGUUACCAAUUCCAUUUGAAGAUUUGAGACCUUUAAGGUUCCUCAACCUUGCCGACACUGACAUAAGAAGUUUACCCGAGUCAACAUGCAAAUUGCUGAACUUGGAAAUUUUGAUAUUACGAAAUUGUUCCCGUUUGAUAAAGCUUCCGCCCAAAAUGAGGAAUUUGAUCAAUUUACGCCAUCUCGAUAUAAAAGGUGCAAAGCUGCUGAAGGAGAUGCCAUUGGGAAUGAAAGCGUUGAGGAGUCUUCAAACAUUGUCCAAUUUUAUUGUAGGCAAGGGUGAAUCUGCAUCUGGUUUGGAAGAUUUAAAAAGUUUAAACUUUCUUUGUGAUGAACUCUGCAUUGCUGGAUUAGAGAGUGUGAAUAGUCCACAGAAUGCAAGAGAAACCGCAUUAUGCGAGAAGCACAAUCUUGAAGCAUUGACUCUAGAAUGGGGGUCUCAAUCUAACAGUCCUCGGGAUGCAGUACUAGAGGAGAAUGUACUUGACACUCUACAGCCUCAUAAACGUAUAAAAGAGCUGGCAAUCAGGCACUAUGGUGGUGCAAGAUUUCCACUUUGGAUCGGACAUCCUUCGUUCUCCGAGAUGAAGGUCCUUAAAUUGGAGAACUGUGACAAGUGUGUAUCUCUGCCAUCGCUUGGCCUGAUGAAUUCACUUAAGCACCUUGCUGUUAAAGGGCUGAAGAAACUAAAAAGCAUAGAGUCUGCGGUCUUUCCAUCAUUGGAGAUUCUAAGUUUUGAGAAUUUGCCAGAAUGGGAGCAUUGGGACACCAAUAUCAAUGGAAAUGUGCACGUUGAAAUAUUUCCUCAUCUCCAAGAACUUUCCAUUGCAGAAUGUCCCAAACUCUCUGGAGAACUGCCUGAGCUCCUGCCCUCCUUGGAGACACUUGUCGUUAGUAAAUGUGAACAGUUGGCAGUUCCAUUGUCUUGCUAUCCGAUGCUCUGCAGAUUAGAAGUUGAUGAGUGCAAAGAACUCGUGUGCGGGACUCCAAUUAAUUUUAAGUUGGUAAAGUCUUUGACCAUUUCAAAUAGUUCAUUAGACAUGAAUGGAUGCAAUGGGAUGCUAUACCAUGGUCCAGCUGGCUCUUCACUGUCUAAACGCAUGACUAUUACAAAUGUUUUGGAGUUUGGAAAAUUAUUGAAGCCUGGAUUUCAGAUAUUAGAAUAUUUGGUAAUUGGCAAUUCUGAACAGCUCAAGUCAUGGAGGCGGGCCAGGAGACCUAGACGUUUUAAUGAACCAGAACACGGGCUAAAAAUUCUCGCUUCCCCUGAAGAGGUAACAAUUGAAGAAAGUUGCGUAAAUCUUGUUUUGUUUGCAGAGAUCAAUUUCUUUCCCAGAAAUCUGCGCUCUCUUCUAAUUUUCAAUAACAUACCUUUAAAAUCCUUACCCGAGGAAAUGAUGGACAACAAUUCACAACUGGAAAGCUUGUGCAUCAGAAAUUGCGAUUCUCUAACAUUCAUCACAAGACACAAGCUACCUUCAUCUCUAAAAAGUAUAGCAAUUAAGAAUUGUGAGAAAUUGCAACGUCCGUUCGAUGAUGAAGAGGAUGCUUCUUCUUCUUCUUCUCCUUCAUCCUCGUCUUCCCCAGUGAUGCUGCAAUGCCUGACUAUAGAGAACUGCCCAGAGCUCACCAGUUUAUCAUCGGGAAUCCAAUUCCUUGAGGCGCUUGAAGUACUCGAGCUAAGGGAUUGUCGAAAGCUGGAGUCAUUACCGGAUGGCCUGCAAAAUCUUAACUGUUUACAGAGCAUUCAUAUAGAUGGAUGUCCAAGUCUUGUUUCCUUCCCAGAAAGAGGGCUUCCCAACACCAUUUCGAGAGUUUACAUUCGUGGUUGUGAGAAGCUUGAAGCCCUGCCCAACGACAUGCACAAACUCAACUCUCUCGAAACUUUAAACAUACGGAAAUGUCCAAAUCUUGUAUCGUUUCCAGAGGAAGGUUUUCCUACCAGUCUAGUAUCACUUACAAUUGGAUAUGUCAAAAUGUAUAAGACACUCGUCCAGUGGGGGUUGCAUAGGCUUACCUCUCUUACACACCUCGAGAUUAUUGGAUGUGAUGAUGAAGCAGAGUGUUUUCCAGACGAGGAGAUAGGAAUGAUGCUGCCCACCUCUCUCACUCAUCUGCAACUUUCGGAAUUCAAAAAAUUGAUAUCUCUCUCUUCGACGGGUUUUCAGAGCCUCAACUCUCUUCAAUCUUUGUGGAUAUUGGGUUGCCCAAAUCUCACAUCAUUCCCAGAGGUGGGCCUUCCAUCCUCACUUUUGGAAUUACACAUUGUCAAGUGUCCAAAGCUUAAAGAAGUUUGCAAAAGAGACCAAGGAGAAGAGUGGCCCAAAAUUGCUCACAUCCCUUGUUUUGAGAUAGACUGGAAAUUCAUAUACGAUCCAGAAUCAGAGGAGUAGAUUCUCCUAUUAAGGUCAGUUGAUUUUUUAUUAUCCGUUAUAACAAGCUCCUCCUUUUUUAUUUUUUUAAUAAUAAUUUAGCAGUUCUAUAUAAUUAUAAAUCCUCCGCCCUUAAUUGAAAAUGUCACUCAUUUGAUUCCAUUUUCACAAGUCAGAUCGUAUGUUGAGGUUAUUUGCAUUUUAUCGGUGUUUAUUAAGGUAAUUAGUGCGUUAUAGGUUGAUUACUCACAGAUUAAGUUAUAACAUUUAUCUUAAAAUUUAAUGUCAUAGACAGAGAUGAUUUUUUAAUCCAAAGUUUUCUUGAUUCACUUCAAUUAGCAUUUUCUUUUCCCCAGAUCAGGCACGCGGAGAGUUCCAAUCAAGAAUUGGAGCAUGUGAAUGGGAUUUUUGUGAAAACAUAAUGAUGCAGGAACUGGGAUCUCAAAGUCAACAGAAUUUUAUUUACUCAUUGACUUUUCAACUCCUGUGGUUAUUUAUGGGUGAAAGAAAGAUAAGGGCAAUUUCAAGAAAUUUGCAAACUCUGUCAAUUUCUUUUAAUUGUACCAAUUUGUCGUUUAUGCUUUGGUUUUAUUUUUUCAGUUUUGUUUAUUGCUUAGAUGGUAGCAUACUUGAAAUGAUACAUAGCCUUCACCGGCAGAAUUCUAGUCUUGGCUUUCACCUCUCUAACUCAUCUCAUCUGUUCCUAUUGGGAUUCCAGAAAUUGAAAUUUCUGUCAUCAAUGGGUUUCAAAGCCUCACCGCUCUCCGAUUUUUGUGGAUCGGGAAUUGCACAAAUCUCACAUCAUUUCCAGAGGUGGGCCUUCCAUCCUUGCUUUUUGGAAUUACAAAUUGGAAAAUGCUACUUUCCCCGGGUCAAAUCCCAGGUCAAACCCCGAAUUAAACCAAAACGACACCGUUUUGGUUUCUUUUUUUUGUCCUUUUUGCUUCCAUGAAACGUGGUCGUUUCAGCCAAACAAAAGCAAAUGUCUUCGUUUUUUACUUCCUCUCCUCUUCGAUUCUCCUCUUCGUUUUACCAACAGACCAACAGAGCACAAAUUGCAGAAGUCACUUGCACAUCAAUUCAUCACAAAAUGCAGAGUUUUACUAAAGAAAAAAACGAUGCCGUUUUUCUUGCCAAAUAUUUUCCAUUUCCUUCGUUCAUGGAGCUCCUGCCACCGCCAAAGCCAAAUAUUUCCCCUUUCAUUUCCUUCGUCAAUCAAGCUCCAGCCACUUGCUUCGUCGAUCGAGCUCUAGCCACAGCCAUUCGCAAAUCGCAGUCCACAAUCCGCGCCUGAAAUUGUCAUUCACAAUCCACAACUCACAACCAUGACUUCACACAGAGAACGACUCCCACAGCCUUCACGCGACAGCGAGAUCGAGCUCUUUAACAUUCGAAGAACAUAUCUGGUUGCGAAAGUUGAUUUUUAAUUUGCUUGCGAGCUGAGAUGCUUCGAAUUCUCUGUUUUUUUUUUUUUUUUGUAAAUUACUAAGCCAAAAGCUUUGCAUAAGCUUCUGCUUCGGUUUUGAAGAUUGUGAAGCUGGAAAUGUUUUUUCCCUUUUUAUAAAUGGAUAAUUGAAAGUUUGAACUUUACCUUCGUACUUUCUUUUUCAUAAAUUGCUCAUGGUGCAGUCUCAUUUUGCUAGUUGAAGAAACAGUUAAGGGGGUCUGUAGUUGGGAAGAAAGAGGAAACGAAAAUGAAAAGAAAAAGCUUAAGUCUCGGUGCGUUCAAGUAGCAUUUUUUCAAUUAAAAAAUUUAAUUCUCAAAACGGCGUCGUUUUCUAAAGUUUCGGGGUUUGACCCGGGAUUUGACCCGGGGUAAAUAGCAGAACUCUUACAAAUUUACAGUUGUCAGAAGCUUGAAAAAGUGUGUAAAAGAGAUCAAAAUUCUUGUCUUGGCUUUCACGUAGGGAUGGCAAAAAUCCCCACGGGGACGGGUACCCUCGGGGAUUUUCCCCAUUCGGGGAGGGUAUGGGGAUAAUUUCAUACCCAAUUUCUUAUUCGGGGAGGGGACGGGGAAAUUUUGUUACCCAAUUUCUUAUUCGGGGAGGGGACGGGGAUGAGGUGGAAUCCCCAUCCCCUACCCAUUUCCCCAUUUUAAUUUUUAAUUUUAUUUUAAUUUUUUAAAAUUACUAGUAAAUAAAUAAUAAAAUUUAAAUUAUAAAAUUAUAAAUAUUGGUAAAAAUAAAAAAUAUCAAAAUAUUUAUAUUAUUAAACUUUUAGGCUUAAUUAACUAAUUAAAGUCCUAAAUUUUUAUUUAGGACAUUAAAAAGACCGAGUAGAUUCUAUUAGCCCAAAAGUUUUUUAUUUUUAAUAUUCUUUAAAUAUUUUAAACUUAAAUCUAUUUUUUAUUUAUUUUUAGAUGUUAUAAUUGCCCACAUCGAAUCACAAUUUUAAUAUCUAAUCUAAUCUAAUCUAAUCUAAUAUUUACUCUUGAUUUGCUCCGAUUUAACUAUUGUGUUGUAAAGGGAAUAGUCCACAUUUAUAAAGUGCCCACGCCACCAUUAAAAAAGUUAAUUUUGAAUCUAAAUUCGAUUUUAUUUGUAACAAUUUUGUAUUAAACUAUUAAUUUGUUCAUGAUAGUUUGUAAAAGAAGUUUGUAUCCCUUGCAUGCUGUGUUACUUACUAAUUUAAUGUAUGUGACUUUUGUAAUGGAUAUUAAUGUAAGAUAUAUUUCAAAUUUUACUUUUAUUUGAAUUUUUUAUUUUAAUAUGAUUAACUCAAAAUCGAAAAAAAAAUAUUAGUUAUUCGGGGAUCGGGGACCCUCGGGGAUCCCCUGUUAUUAUUCGGGGAGGGGAUGGAGAUUCGCUCAAGUAAUUCUGACGGGAACGGGGAGGGGACGGGGACAUACGCAAAAUAUCGGGGAUGGGUACGGAGAGAUUGGUCCCCUCCCCUCCCCUCCCCAUUGCCAUCCCUACUUUCACGGAUAGUUUUUAUCACGUAACCACGUGAGGAAGCAUGUGCUGGAGCCUGAAUUCAGUUAGUUAAAGUUUGUUAACCACGUGUCAACAAACUGUAUAAUCUGGAAAAUAAGCUAGCUAUUGAAACAGGGUAUAAAGGCUGGUUUUUCAGGGACUAUCGAGAGCUGAUUCUAGAGUCUUGUAGAAAGAGGUUUGUGAGAGAGAAAGUGUCAUCUUGUUCUCUGUAAAAUCCGAUAUAGGGCUCUGUAACGAUCUCCAUUGUUGAAUCAAUAAAACUCAUCUAGAAGCUUCUCUCGUGGACGUAUUCUGAGCAAUCAAUGCACAGCUGAACCACGUAAUAUCUUGGUUUCUGUGGGUUCUUGUUUUGGUUCUUGAUAAAUUCUUGUUGUUGUAUUGAGGUGUGAUUUGAUCUGUCUAAACUUGUAUCUGUGCAACUUGAAUUGAUUUGAUGAUAAGAAUCUUGGGCAGUGAUCAGAUUCGUUUAGUUUAAAGAACAAGCUGAUUACUACCGUACCUAUGCAUGGACCUGCAACCUGUGCUGACAAAACUGAAACUGUGAGUUUGAGGUAAAAAGGUCCUGGACCCUCACAGUUUAACUUUGACUUGUUGCUUUCUGGAUAAACAUAUUUUAGAAAUUUGCAAUUUGUUGUUAAUUAUGGUAUGUGAUUUUCUUCUUUGUUUUCGCUUUUGUAGAAUCUACCGUAUUACAUAUUGGCAGUUGUAUCUGAGGUACCUUUUUUGCAUUUAACUUGCCUUUAUCUGUUUUGCCUGUUACUUAACAACACAAACACAUCAUUUCCCAAACAUUUGGAGAAGCAUCUCAAGAUGCUUAACAAACUUGACAAACUUCAAGAUGCUCCCAAGCCUUGAUUCUUCACAAUGGAAGACCUGUGAGUACACUUAUGCCCGCAAUUAUUGUGAAGUGAUUGCAACUUUGAUGCAGCGAAAUGGUUUGCUGAUGCAAAGCUUUAAAACUGUUAAGAAUUACCCUGCAGGCUUGUUGGAUGUUGUAUACUCCAAAAGCCACCAACACCAAGAACUAUAACAGCAAGACUAGGUUUGCAUUAAUUCAAUUAGCUGAAAUAAUGAUGCAAAUGGCACUAUCCAGCUCGACUUAGAGACUAGUCAGGUCAAUCAUCCAUUUCAUCAACAGUUAAUGUCAGGAUGGUGGCUAGCAGAGGAAACAAAGGAUAUGUUGGAAUCAAUAAGAACAGUGAGAAGCAUGAGAGGAGCUUUGAUUAUAAGUAGGCUCAAUGAACUAGUGUUGGUAAGUGGUAAUUAGAGCAAUUUGUGAGCUUAGUAGAGUUUCAAUAUUUUCUGUUUGGGAUAUAGUUGAUAAGUUGAUACUCUGAUUAAGAAGGCUGAUUAUAGUAGCUGACUAUAUUAACCGGGUUCUCUUUUUUGGUUUGCUGUUGUUUUUUCUUUCAAUAUCUUUUUCAACAUUAGGUUUAGCUGUUGAAGAACAAGCUUGGGUUUGAUUAUCAGGUAAGAACAAAUGAAUGCUUUAACCAUGUUUCUCACUUAUCACAAUGCACGGAUUGAAGGCGUCUGAGUUGAUCCUGAAAAUUUGAUGGAAACACUUCUCUGUUUUCAUAAAACAGGACAACCAGAAAUAUCUGAUCAUGCCUGAGAAUUCGUCGCAUUGAAAUUUUCUACCAUUGCCAAACAUAGAAUAAACCAGGGAUACAUUAGCUUAAGACUCAAUUUUGAGAAGGAAGUUUGUACUUGCAGACUAUAAAAUCAUGUCUACCUUGUAUGUUUCUGUGGGGAAUGAAAGAUUCUGUGUGUUCUUUUACUUCGGGUUUGCUGAAAUCACAUUUGUUUUCUCAGAUGCUUUCCGGAAGGUAACAACGUCAAUUUCAAAAAUGUUGGGGUAAGAUGCAUCAUGCAGUGCUGCUCAACAUGAGAAUUCCUGGCCGCAUUACCCGUAUGUGGAAUGAUCUCACACUACAACCUUGAGAAGGUUGUAAGGAGUACACAACUAGAUGCGAGUAGUUUCAAAAUGAAUUCACAUGGAAUUAUAUGUUGCCGCUUAUUACUAUCACGUCUAUCCGAAAAUUCUUGGAAUUUGUCACCGGCAUUGAAGGAUUGUAUACGUGAAGACAUAGCUGAUGGCCUUGCGAAAGCUCCAUCAGCACUUAUAUCGGAAACAGCUGGUUGUAGUUGCUCCUGAGUGAUAUGAUUAAUAGAUACUGUAAAAAUGAACUGUGCCACUCAUAUCGAAAACCAGCUGUUAUGAUGUGUUGGUAAUGUGUUUGAUGCUUGUUUGAUUUAUGUUGUAUUCGGCUAUAAAUCAAAGAUCAGAACAUGGGUGUGUUACUGGUUUCCAAAUCAAAAAAUGCCUUGUGAUGUUAGUGUUCACUGUUUUCACAGGAGACCAGGUUCCUUGUUAAUGAGUCAAGAAGAAGACAAGUGAAUCCAUGUCUGAGUUCAAAUGUGUCUUUUCUAUUUCUUUUACCGACACAUUUAUUUUGAUUUCUUUGACUAGAUGACUAAAGAGUAAAGAUAGAAGAAAUCAAAACAAAUGAGUCAGGUCCCACCUGGCCCAUUGGCCCAUCUCUCUUCCAGCCCAAAUCACUCUCAUUCGCUAUUUUGCCACCUUCAUUUCACUGCCCUCAUAGCUCCCCGUUCUCACGGUGGCUGCCAUCUUUCUGCUCACGCAUCUUUCAAAUUUCAAACCUAACAGCAUUCUGUUGCUCUGUCGUGGGUACUUCAACUUCUGUCACCUUCGGUAAGCUUAUCUCUGCCCCUCUGUGGCUGUCUCUCUCUUUACAAUGUUGUUUCUUAUUCAAUUUACAGAAUUGAAUUCACUGUUCAGUUUAUGGGUUAGAUUUUUAUUCAAAAUAAUAUUAAACCCACCUCAGAUUUUAUCCCGUAGUAUGUAAAGUUCAUGUAAAGUUUCCACCUUUACGACCGUCCGAUGUUUAAAGUUCUAAUUUUGUUCCGGGGUUUUAUCAGUGUAUUUAGAAAUUAUGUCCAUUGUUUUUAUGAAAAUGGAACUAUUUUCAUUUGUUUAUUUCUCUAUGGAUGAGAAAACCGGUCUUUAAGCUUUAUAAUCUUUAUUUGAUUAUUAGAUUUCUCUUUUGUUAUUCAGAUGAGUUCAGUUUUCCAAUUCUGUGCAAUUGUUUUGUUGCAUUUUUCAAUUUUAUCUUUUUCCAAUGCGACGUUUAUGUUUGUAUUUUCUUAAAAGUGGACAUGAAUUUUGAUUUGUUGUUGCUUUGUUGUGAUUGAGUAGCCAAUUUUAAGUCCAUAUUAAACUUUCUCAAUUAUUAGUUGAAUUAUUUGGAUUUGAAAUUUUAAGUUCUUAAAACCGCCAUUUUAACUUGUUUGUUAAUGGCUCUGUUGAGCUUCAACAUUUGUUUUCAAGAACAAAAUUGAUGGAACUAUAAACCUUCGUUUCUCACAUGCGGGCAACAUGUUAUGUUAGACAGAGUGAAAUCGACAGAAGAAACCAAAACAUUGGAAACAGAGACACAGAGAGAGAUCAGCAGAAAUGGCUUGGUGCAGAGUACGCUCAGCUUCAUCGACACUCUUCAUUAGGCUUCUCUGCCCUUUCAUUCUCAACAAUAACACUACUUAACGCUAUCAGUCCUGUGGUACUCUUGUUUCUAUACUUGUGGAAUCUCUUUUUUAAUCCUCAAAGUUUGAAUUAAAUUAUAUUGCCUCUGUAUUUCUGCAGAAACGGAAUCAGUUGGUGAUGACAUUAAUUCUCAAGUUGGAAGUUGCAUGCCACUUUCUUGUAUGCAUGUUGGGACCAUCAUCAACAACAUUGAGGUAAACUCAGCCAAGAUUUUGAAAAAGAAUCCACUUCAAGGUACUGCUUAGUUUCUGGAAAUGAGAAAUUGAUUGACACUAGACGUCAACCCACCAUUGAUACAGCGUCUAACCCCAGCCAUGAAGCUAAGAUGCUUAGGAAGGCUGGUCAGAGCCAUUGGUUGGGCCAAAGACCUGUGAUUAGAGGAGUACCCAUGAAUCCAGUUGAUCAUCCUCGUGGUCGAGGUGAGGGACAAGGCAAAAGUAGUGGUAAGCAUGGAAGGUGUUCACUUACACCUUGGGGCAAGCCUUGUAAGUGGUGUAAAACUGCAUCUCGUAAGAAGAAAAGGAAAUUUAGCCGUCUGAUAAUAUUGUCCUUCUGUGCUAUUUAGCCUUUUUAAUAUUGUUACAUUGUUUGUUAUAUCUUUGAUGUUAGUUUUGGACCAGCUUUUAACUGAUCCAUAAUGAAACUGAAGUUUAAUUUUCGAUUGAACUUUUACUGGUUUUACUCCUGUCAUUUCAAUUUAGCUUUGAUUUAAGAUGCUGAAUUCUGUGAUUGGAGUAUGUAGAUUGGAAAGAGAGAUAUUAUGGGAUAGAAUAUAGAUUUUGUGUUUUGGUUUCUCAUGUUUAGAGAUAUUCUGUUCUUUUUCAUUUAUUCAAUUUGGUUAGUGGUGAUCUCUUAAAGAGUUAAUGCAUGUGUGUUUAUGUACUUUUCUUUUGGCCUUGAUUCUAUUUCUUGGGGAGUUUAUACAGAUUCCUCUUUUAUGCUUCACAUGCCACAUGCCACAUGAAAGAUGAAAGCCUUUUGUGUGAUUAGAAUUGACUUGCAUCAUAGUAACUUUGAACCACUGUAACAUUUUUAUAAUAGCAGUCUGCGAUCUCCUUGAAGGAUUCAAAGCAUUUUUUUUGUUAGUCUUGGCUUGCAUUAAAAUCCUUUAUACCGAUUGGUUGGUCUCCUUUAAAGCAAUUCCUGUUUUAAGUAAUCAAAAUCUUGAUUCGGAAGUGUGUUUUAGCACUACUAAAGGUUCUUUUAAAUACUAAAUUGAUUGUGAGUCUUCUAUAUCAUCUGAUUGAAAUACAUGAAAGCGAUAUUGGCUACAAAAGUACACUUGGGGUUGUUUAUAAAGUCUUCAACAGGAUUUUUUUUUCCCCUUCCUCAUGGUUUAUUUUUUAGUUGUUGUUUAACAAAACACUUAAAAGGUUCUCUUUAUAGGUUUCUGAAAAUAAUUUUAACAUAACCAUUUUUCAGAAGCACUUUAGAUACCUGUGGCAUUUAGAAAAUUUUGUUCCAGCAUUCACAUAAUAUACAUAGAAAUUUGAAUUUAUUUAAUUAUGAGCAUGUGCUAGUGCCUAUUGGCAUCCACUUGUAUAUACAAAUGUAUUAUACAAUACAAUAUUAGCUUGACUGUAGCAUAGAGGAGAAUAGGGUCGGAAUUGGUCUGAAUUCUGAUCUUUGAAUAAAUAUAAUAGCUGAUUGAAGCUGCUCAUGUGACUCCAUUGUCAGCAGCUUACACAAGGUCUUUUAGCUUUUUAAAAAGUUUUGUGAUAUUUCAUAGUUCACAUGGAUUGCUACAGUAUAGAAUACCCAAUUAGGGCAUUUUUAAUUCCUAUGCAUAGGAGUCUUCCUUCAUGCGCACGCGCGUACACACAUAUAUUUCCCACUUCCGUUCACUCCAAAAGUGAAAAUUGCGGGCAAUUUUUAUCUUCAGUAAAAUUGGAGUAGAUGUUGUUCUUAUUGGCGCAAAUUUGCGUACCAUGUUUGUGGGACCCUUAACCUUGCGCCUUUGUUACAAUCAUAUGCAUUCAGGCUUUUGGUAGACCCUUGGAUAGUAUGAUCAGUGUAUUAGAAUUUAGAAUUCGUGUUUAUAAGGGUCAGUUUGGUAAUGUUAUAAUUUUUAAAAUAAUUACUGUUAGCUAUACUAUAGAAAUAAUCAGUUGUGAAUAAAAUCAGUUAAACAGUUGAUAAAUUUUGUUUUUAAGGUGUUGUGAGUUUUAAACAAUUUGUAUGUAUUUAGUAAAUCUCGCUUUUAAAGUAUUAUAAGAAUGCAAAGACUUAAAUAGAUAGAAAUCUAUAAAAUUUAUUUACAUGUGCAUUUAUACAAUAAUAUUUUAUGCAUGUAUAUAAUAAUUAAUAACAGAAAUAAAUAUUUUUAUUUUAUUAAUUAUAUAUUUUUCUUAUUAUCUCAAUAUAAUUGGUAAUAAUAAUCUUUUUAAUAGUACAUUUAUUAAUCAGUAAUCGAAAUGGGCUGGAAUCGGAAUGGGGAAUGAAAAUCAUAAUAAUUUGUUUACUUUAGCUGUAGGAAUCAAAAUCACAUGGAGCUAUAUUAUCAUUAAUAUAUUUAUUUUGUCUUGGAAUCGAAAUAGAUUGUUACAAAUUACUAAACUGAUUUUAUUAUUAUCAAUAUUAUUAUUAAACAAGGUAAAGGGAAUUUUUAAUUUUCACUAGGUGUAGAAAUGUCGAUUCACUUCUCAUUCUCAUUCUCUGUUCUCAUUCCCCCUCCUCAUAGGAUUACCAUUUCACAUUCUCAAAAAUUUAUAAUUGACUCACAUUUCAUUCUCAUUCCUCCUUAUUUUGGAAGUAAAUAAGUUAAAGAAUCAUAUUCCUUUAUUCUUGUUUUUCAUUCACAUUCCUUCUCCUUAUUUUGGAAGUAAAUAACUUAAAGAAUCAUAUUCCCUUAUUCUUGUUCUCGUUCUCGUUCUCAUUCUCAAUUAGUAAGCACACUACAAAUGCAAUGAUUUUGUUUCCUAAUUAAACAAGGAUAAUUUUUAGAUUUUUAUAAUAUAUGUUAAGAUAUAUGUAGAAUUGUAUUAAAUAUGAAACUGACUCCCAAAAUCAUAUUUUAAAAAACUAUUUUUUUCUUAUUUUUUGAAAUUUAUUGUAGGCUAGGGUGAUUUUAUCAAAGUAAUUUUUUUAAAAAUUUUCGGACCCAUUUGGGAUUGUUUUUGGAAGACUCAAAAAGGAUUUUGAAUAGCUAAAAUCUAAGUUUGGUGUUUUAUAAUUUUUUUUUAAAAAAAUUACUUCUGAUAAAAUUAUCUUAUCCACGUUAAAUUUUAAAAAGAAAGGAAAAAGUAAUUUUUUAAAAUCUGAUUUUAAGAAUCAUUUUUAUACUUAAUACAAUUUCAUAAAUAUCCUGAUAUAUAUCAUAAAAAUUCAAAAUUAUCUUUAUUAGUUAGGAAAUAAAAUCAAUAAUUUUAAAAAGAUUAUUAUUAUUUCUAAUUAUAUUGAGCUAACAAAAAGAAAUAAAAUUACUAAUAUAAAAUUUAUUUUAACUAUUAAUUAUUAUAUUUACCAAUAAAAAACAUUUUAUAUACACGUUUAUAAAUAUUUAAAUAAAAUUUAUUCAUGUCGAGUUCAACCAUUUAUAUUAUUACAGCAAUUUAACAACUGGUUGUCGUUGCUCGGGAAUUAUAGAAUUACCAUAUGUUGUAAAAAUGCACUAAGCCAUGCCAUGUGUUUGAUACAGGUUAUGCUUGUUCGAUUAAAUUGUACUCACCUAUAAAUCAAAGAUUCAGUACAUGUGCAUGUUAGUGGUCUUCAGAAUCCAGAAUAAUAAAUGCCUUGAAAUGCUUGAGUUCAAUGAUUUCGCAGAAGACCAAGUUCCUUGUUAAUGAGUCAGCAUGACUGAAUCCUUCACUAAGCCAAAUUUGUUUUCACUUUUAGUUUAGAAAUUGUCAUUAAUUAAGAAAGUGUUUGAUAAAAUGCUUUGGAAGGCACUGUUCGUUGGACGUUUGCCCAGAAUUUAUGAAAUCAUUGGUGUUUCAUCCUACUUGUAACACUCUUCUUUAUUUUCUAUUCUAACGAAGAAAUCUUUUAUUAGAAAAGUGACAAGAUUGCACCUUUCAUUUGUAUGUUAAGGAGGUGUAAAAUUUUCUCGUUAAAAUCCCAUCAUGAAAAAAACUCACGGGCAAAAACCUACUGCAAAUUAAAGAAAGAAGAGUAAAUCAUGAUAAAUACACUCUCUUUUACAAUGCAAGCGGAUGCUUCAAUGAGUGGAUCAUGCGCCAAACUUGUAUAUCGUUGUUGGUAGUGCUUUGUUGAAUCAAUAUGAUAGAUUUUCACUUUUCUUUUUUUUCUUUUCUUUUUUUUUUCCUUGUGGAUACGAAAAUGAUUUGGGUUAAACUAUACUUAAUGCCGGUUUGGUACGACUUCUCUACUAAUUAAAAGAGUUUUUUUUCUUAAAUGUUCAAAAAGAUUUUUUAUUAUAAAUUGUAAUUUGAGUGGAUUUCUUGGGAUUAAACAAGUUACAUUUUUGUCUCUAUAAAGAAGUUCAAGUUAUAGAUUUUGGCAAUAGAGAUGUAGAGGUUUUUUUUUUUUCAGAGAACUAAAUUGUGGAGACUAUCUUUAUUUGGUUAUACAACUUUUUUUUUUUUAAUUUCAUAACAUAAUUUUAAAAGACUUAUUUAAUAAAUUUGAUAUUUUUUUGUAAAAAUUAUCAUUCACGUCCAAACUACUGAAGAUUUUUUUGUUAAACGCACUACUUAAAAGUUAUAUUAAUUAUAAACUUUCUAAAAAAAAAAAACAAUUCAAAGAGUUAUAGCAAACAAAGUGCUAGUUAACUUCAGUCGAUAAUAAUCUUCUAAUCCGUCCUACAAAUGACUUUCGACAAGAGUGGUGCUACUCACAUCUCUUCAAAACCCAUUUGACACCCCGUUUUCUUUAUUUAAAAUUUUAUACAUUUGAAAAUUAUUUUUUCUUUUACUUGACACUCUUCAAAUUCUAAAACUAAGCUUCAAAGAACCUUCGUCAUUAAAUCUCAUUGCCUUCCUUUAUUCUUGUUACUUGAGAAGAAGAAUGAGAGUCUGGAAGAAUGAAAGAAAAUUCAGCGAGAUAGAAAUCUAGUAAUUUCAUACCAUGAUUCAGAAUUUUUUUUUUCUCAAAAGAAUCUACUAUUCUUCUAUAUUUUAUAUAAAAAAAAGAGGAAAAGAGGAAACUGAGAGACUCUUUGUUUAAUGCUUGAAAGUUAGAAAGAAAAGGUCAGGAAGCUGCCUGGUAAUGAGAGUGAUGCAUCAGCACUAAUUUCUAUCUCGAUAGCUACCAAUUACCACCCCUAGAAAGGCUGUUGAUCAACAAGCCAUAUCUACUGGUUUCCUUUCUUUAAAAGUUCUAAUGGUCCCCUUAAAAAUCUCUAUAUGCUCAGUCUUCUCAUGAUAUAUCUGAUUUUCGCUGAGAAUUAUAGCAAGCGCUUCAGAUAUCAUAAUACUUUGUGACUGACUACUGUGCAUGCUUAAUUAUAAGAUUAUUCCUUGUGGCCAAAUAAAAUGACCCCCUUUAGAGCCUCUGUAUUUGAAAAAGCAAGACAAUGAGCUUAAUUAUUGUCAAGGUCUCCAGUAGGAUACUCCUAAAUCCAUAUACCCACCCACCAGAACUCCAAUCUUGAAACUUAUAGAUCAAACCAUAACUUAAUGUGCCUGGCAACCAGGGAUAUGUCAGGCCUUUAAAAAACCACUACAUACAUUUGAGUCUGAAAUUGCUCCAAUUAGUAUUAUGAUUAUUAUUUUAAAAAACUCAACCUAAGCAAAGUGCCUCAGCAUACAAUAUUUAUUGACAACUAAAAAGUAAUAGUGGGUGGGGGUUGCCCUGGGUUUUGUUUAAAAAUUGAAGUAAAAAAUUUUCAAAUUUCAAAUUUCUAGUACAAAGAAAAUUGAUGACUAAAUUAAAUUCUGCAAAUUAAUUUCUAAUAUUACAUGAAAAUAUAUCAAGUUAAUUGGUAACAUUGUUAAUCACUUAAUCCUCAAUCUAAUACGUUAUGUAUUUGUUACUCUGUCUUAAAUCAAAAGUGGCGGUGAUUUAUUUUUAUUUUCACUAAUAAGAAAGGCAUGUUAGAGCUUUUAUUUUGUUGAAAAUGAACCAAAAAACUCCGAUUGGGAGAUUAUAAAUGUAUUUAACAAUAAUUUAACUUCCAUUUUGAAAGUCAUUAUAUUGUUUAUUCAGGAGAAGCGUUCUUUUAUAUUUUAUAGAUAUAAUGUUUGCUAAUCCUAAUUUAAGCUAAAGCAUAUGCAUUUCCUAAUUAAUUCUAAUUUAAGCUUAUUCAACUGCAUUCAAUUAAUGUUCGAUAAUACAAAUUCUAAAUACUAUAUACUCUAAGAAUUUUAAUCGUAAUGACAAGGUGAUCAUUUAAUUAUUACCGUUAAAUUAUAUAUGUAUGGUGGAGACGAGUCCACACGGUUUUGACGAGAAAUUAAAGACAAUAUUUAGUUAAGCUAGUAGUAUUUGUUCUGUUUAGUACGUCGUUUUACCAGCAAGCAUCCCGGCAAUGCACGCAUUAAUAAAAAAAUUUAUCUGUUUGGACUGAUUGGUAGUGAAAAAUUCCACAUACUUUAAAUUAAGAAAAUGCUAAGUAUCUUAAAGAAAACAAUUAAAAUAUUGUCACUUGAUGCUUGAAUCAUUAUUGUUAAAUAUCUCCGUUGAGUUGUAUUCCCCAGCUGUGAGUAUCAUUAUUGUCUUUGCUAUCUAAUCAAUUCAAUUUUCUUUCUGGAGACAAGAUUUUGAUUCCUUUCAUCGUUACAAAAACGGAACCAUGGUUGAUGUGGGAGAGAUCUUACUCAACGCCUUCUUUCAGGUGUUGUUCGACAGGUUGGCUUCCCGUGAUUUGCUCAGCUUUGUCCGUCAACUUGGAGGGGGGGUCGAUUCCGAGCUCAAGAAGUGGGAAAGAAAGCUGAAGAUGAUUCAGGCGGUGCUCAACGAUGCAGAGGAGAAGCAACUGACUGAUGAGGCUGUGAAGAUGUGGCUGGACGAUCUCCAAGACUUGGCUUAUGACGCUGAGGACAUUCUUGAUGAGUUUGCUACUCAAGCUUUGGAAAGCAAGUUGAUGGAGCAAAAUCAGGAUAGCUCUGGCCAGGUUCUCAGUUUCAUCCCGGCUAGUUUGAAUCCGAAUGCUAUUAUGUUCAAUUAUAGCAUGGGGUCCAAGAUUAAAGAUAUUACUAGCCGGCUGGAGCAACUCUGCCAAGAAAGAAUUGAACUUGGACUGCAGCGGAUUACUGGAGGGGCAUCAUCAACUGCUGCUGCUACACAGCAGAGGCCGCCCAGUUCGAGUGUCCCAACAGAACGUGAAGUAUUUGGAAGAGCAAAAGAUAAGGCCAAAAUUCUUGAUAUGGUAUUGGCCGAUACCCCAAGUGAUCAUGCCGACUUUGUUGUAAUACCCAUUGUUGGCAUGGGCGGGAUAGGAAAAACAACUCUCGCUCGGGAGGUUUACAAUGACAAGGCCGUUGGCGGUUCCAAGUUUGAUGUAAAAGCAUGGGUUUGCGUAUCUGACGUCUUUGAUGUUUUGGGCAUCUCAAAGGCACUUCUCGAGUCAAUCACCCGCAGGCCAUGUCUUCUAAACAGUUUAAAUGAAGUGCAGGUUGAAUUGAAAGUAGCUGUGGAUAAAAAAAGAUUCUUGCUGGUCUUAGAUGAUGUUUGGAACGAGGAGUACAGCUUGUGGGUAGACUUAAAAGCUCCGUUCCUGGUUGCUGCACCAAACAGUAAGAUGAUCGUCACCACACGCAAUUCAAAUGUUGCAUCAACAAUGGGGCCAGUUGAACAUUACAAUCUCAGGAGUCUAUCGGAUGAUGAUUGCUGGUCCAUUUUCAUAAAGCAUGCAUUUGAAUCUAGAGAUCUUAACGCACAUCAAAUUUCAGAAUCAUUCCGCAAGAAAGUUGUUGCCAAGUGUGGAGGCUUGGCCCUGGCAGCAAAAACACUCGGAGGCCUUCUGCGUACGACGAGGCAUGAUGCGUGGGAUGAUAUAUUAGAGAGCAAAAUAUGGGAUUUACCACGACAAAGUGGGGUUCUCCCAGUAUUAAGAUUGAGUUACCAUCAUCUUCCUUCUCAUUUGAAAAUGUGUUUUGCUUUCUGUGCAAUCUUUCCAAAAGAUUAUGAAUUCAAAGAGAAGGAGCUGACUUUUUUAUGGAUGGCCGGAGGAAUUAUUCGACAGUCAAGAAGCAAAGAGCGGCUAGAAGAUUUGGGCAGCAAGUGCUUCCAUGAUCUGGUGUCAAGGUCAAUUUUUCAGAAAUCAGCAAUCUCUGCUAGUUCUAAAUUUGUAAUCCAUGACCUUAUCCAUGAUCUUGCUGAAUUGGUCUCUGGAGAAACCAUAUUUAGGUUAGAGGAGGCCAAUACUCUGUCAAGAAGAUUUGAAAGGGUUCGCCAUUCCUCCUAUGCUUGUGGUGGAUAUGAUGGUAAAAAUAUGUUCGAUGUUUUCAAUGAAAUUGAACAUCUACGAACAUUCUUGCCAUUACGCUUACGCAUAAGAGGUGGCUUUAGUUCUGGUUACAUAAGUCGAACGGUCCUAUCUGACUUGCUGCCAAAGUUCAAAAGGUUGAGAAUGCUAUCUUUAGAAGGAUACUGUAUUGGCGAGUUACCAAUUCCAUUUGAAGAUUUGAGACUUUUAAGGUUUCUCAACCUUGCUGACACUGACAUAAGAAGUUUACCCGAGUCAACAUGCAAAUUGCUGAACUUGGAAAUUUUUAUAUUAAGAAAUUGUUCCCGUUUGAUAAAGCUUCCAGCCAAAAUGAGGAAUUUGAUCAAUUUACGCCAUCUGGAUAUAAGAGGUGCGAAGUUGCUGAAGGAGAUGCCAGUCGGAAUGAAAGAGCUGAAGAAGCUUCAAACAUUGUACAAUUUCAUUGUGGGCAAGGGUGAAACUGCAUCCGGUUUGGAAGAAUUAAAAAGUUUAAACUUUCUUUGUGAUGAACUUUGCAUUGCUGGAUUAGAGAAUGUGAAUAAUCCACAGAAUGCAAGAGAAGCGGCAUUAUGCGAGAAGCACAAUCUUGAAGCACUGACUCUAGAUUGGGGGUCUCAAUUUGACAAUUCUCGAGAUGGAGUAGUAGAAGAGCAUGUACUGGAAAUUCUACAGCCUCAUAAACGUAUAAAAAAGGUGGCAAUCAGGAACUAUAGAGGUGCAAGAUUUCCACAUUGGAUAGGAGAUCCUUUGUUCUCCAAAAUAGAGUUCCUUGAAUUGGAGAACUGUGACAAUUGUGUAUCUUUGCCAUCGCUUGGCCGUUUGAGUUCACUUAAACACCUUGCUGUUAAAGGGCUGAAGAAACUAAAAAGCAUAGAGUCUAAGGUUUAUGGGGAGGGUUUCUCAAUGCCUUUUCCAUCAUUGGAGAUUCUAAGUUUCGAGAAUUUGCCAGAAUGGGAGCAUUGGGACACCGAUAUCAAAGGAAAUGUACUUGUUGAAAUAUUUCCUCGUCUCCAUAAACUUUCCAUUGUGGAAUGUCCCAAACUCUCCGGAGAACUGCCUGAUCUCCUGCCCUCCUUGGAGACACUUGUUGUUAGUAAAUGUGAAAAGUUGGUAGUUCCAUUGUCUUGCUAUCCGAUGCUCUGCAGAUUAGAAGUUGAUGAGUGCAAGGAACUAGCGUGCGCGACUCCAAUUGAUUUUAAGUUGAUAAAGUCUGUGACUAUUUCAAAUUGUUCACUAGACAUGUAUGGAUGCAAGGGGAUGCUAUACAAUGGUCCAGCUGGCUCUUCACUGCCGAAAUCCAUGACUAUUACAAAUGUUUUGGCGUUUGGAAAAUUAUUGAAGCCUGAAUUUCAGAUAUUAGAAACUUUGGUAAUUGACAAUUCUGAACAGCUCAUGUCAUGGAGGCAGCGUGGGAAUUUCCGAGAAGAAUAUUUGGCCGUUCGCCGAAGGCUUAUCAAACCAUUACAAGGGCUAAAUAUGCUCGCUUCCCCAGAAGAGGUAACAAUUGAAGAAAGUUGUGUGAGUUUUGUUUUAUUUUCAGAGAUCAAUUUCUUUCCCAGAAAUCUGCGCUCUCUUCUAAUUUGCAGCAGCACAGCUUUAAAAUCCUUACCCGAUGAAAUGAUGGACAACAGUUCACAACUCAAAAGGUUGUAUAUCAGAGAUUGCGAUUCUCUAACAUUCAUCACAAGACGCAAGCUACCUUCAUCUCUAAAAAGUAUAGAGAUUCAGAAUUGUGAGAAACUGCGACAUUUGUUCGAUGAUAAAGAGGAUGCUUCUUCUUCUUCUCCUCCUUCAUCCUCGCCCUCCCCAGUGAUGCUGAAACACCUGAGUAUAAAUAAUUGCCCAGAGCUCACCAGUUUAUCAACAGGAAUCCAAUUACUUGAGGCGCUUGAACACCUCGACAUACGGGAUUGUCGAAAGCUGGAGUCAUUACCAGAUGGCCUUCACAAUCUUAACUGUUUACAGGAGAUUACUCUAAACAGUUGUCCAAGUCUUCUUAGAGGGCUUCCCAACACGAUUUCAAGGGUUGACAUUUACAGCUGUCCAAGUCUUGUUUCCUUCCCAGAAAGAGGACUUCCCAACACGAUUUCAAAGGUUGACAUUUUUAAUUGUGAGAAGCUCGAAGCCCUGCCCAAUGACAUGCACAAACUCAACUCUCUUCGAGAUUUAAGCAUAUUGGGGUGUCGAAAUCUUGUAUCCUUUCCAGAAGAAGGUUUUCCUACCAGUCUAACAUCACUUAGAAUUGGAGAUUUCAAAAUGUAUAAGACACUCAUCCAGUGGGGGUUGCACAGGCUUACCUCUCUUAGACGCCUCUAUAUCGUUGAUUGUGAUGACGAAGCAGAGUGUUUUCCAGACGAGGAGAUAGGAACGAUGCUGCCUACCUCCCUAACUCAUCUAUCCUUUCGGGGAUUCCGAAAUUUGAUAUCUCUGUCUUCGACGGGUUUUCAGAGCCUCAACUCUCUUCAAUACUUGUGGAUCAGGGAUUGCCCGAAUCUCACAUCAUUCCCAGAGGUGGGCCUUCCAUCCUCACUUUUGGCAUUAUGCAUUAUCGAUUGUCCAAAGCUUAAAAAAGCGUGCAAAAGAGAUCAAGGAAAAGAGUGGUCCAAAAUUGCUCACAUCCCUCGCAUUGACAUAGACAGGAAAUUCAUAUACGAUCCAGAAUCAGAGGAGUAGAUUCUACUAUUAAGGUCAGUUGAUUUGUAUUAUCCGCCAUAACAAGCUCCUCCUUUUUUUUUAAAUAAUAAUAAUAAUUCUUACCAAUUAAUGAUGGUAAGAUGUGUACUUAUUCUUUCUUCCGGACAACCUUGCCUUCUUUCUUCGGUAGCAUAUCUAAUGAAUAUUUCUCUGUUUAGUUAAGGAUGAAUGCUUGGAGUGGAGUAUUUGGUAACAUUUCUGCCGUAGAUGAAACCUUGAAGAAAUGCCUGCACUUCCUGAGACCAAAUACAGGUCUGAUUCACAACAACACCUGUCCCAGAAAAUAUGAUACAAGCCAAAGCCAUGUUCUGAAGCAGAAAUAACGCAUUUCAAUUUUUAUCUGGUAAAAAUACACAGCCCUCGCCUACAAAAUUCUUAUCUUGGCUUUCACGGAUAUUUUUAUCACGUAACCACGUGAGGAAGCAUGUGCUGGAGCCUGAAUUCAGUUAGUUAAAGUUUGUUAACCACGUGUCAACAAACUGUAUAAUCUGGAAAAUACGCUAGCUAUUGAAACAGGGUAUAAAGGCUGGUUUUUCAGGGACUAUCGAGAGCUGAUUCUAGAGUCUUGUAGAAAGAGGUUUGUGAGAGAGAAAGUGUCAUCUUGUUCUCUGUAAAAUCCGAUAUAGGGCUCUGUAACGAUCUCCAUUGUUGAAUCAAUAAAACUCAUCUAGAAGCUUCUCCCGUGGACGUAUUCUGAGCAUUCAAUGCACAGCUGAACCACGUAAUAUCUUGGUUUCAGUGGGUUCUUGUUUUGGUUCUUGAUAAAUUCUUGUUGUUGUAUUGAGGUGUGAUUUGAUGUGUCUAAACUUGCAUCUGUGCAACUUGAAUUGAUUUGAUGAUAAUAAUCUUGGGCAGUGAUCAGAUUCGUUUAGUUUAAAGAACAAGCUGAUUACUACCGUACCUAUGCAUGGACCUGUAACCUGUGCUGACAAAACUGAAACUAUGAGUUUGAGGUAAAAAGGUCCUGGACCCUCACAGUUUAACUUGGACUUGUAGCUUUCUGGAUAAACACAUUUUAGAAGUUUGCAAUUUGUUGUUAAUUACGGUAUGUGAUUUUCUUUUUUGUUUUCGCUUUUGUAGAAUCUACCGUAUUACAUAUUGGCAGUUGUAUCUGAGGUACCAUUUUUGCAUUUAACUUGCCUUUAUCUGUUUUGCCUGUUACUUAACAACACAUCAUUUCCCAAAGAUUUGGAGAAGCAUCUCAAGAUGCUUAACAAACUUGACAAACUUCAAGAUGCUCCCAAGCCUUGAUUCUUCACAAAGGAAGACCUGUGAGUACACUUAUGCCCGCAAUUAUUGUGAAGUGAUUGCAACUUUGAUGCAGCGAAACGGUUUGCUGGUGCAAAGCUUUAAAACUGUUAAGAAUUACCCUGCAGGCUUGUUGGAUGUUGUAUACUCCGAAAGCCACCAACACCAAGAACUAUAACAGCAAGACUAGGUUUGCAUUAAUUCAAUUAGCUGAAAUAAUGAUGCAAAUGGCACUAUCCAGCUCGACUUAGAGACUAGUCAGGUCAAUCAUCCAUUUCAUCAACAGUUAAUGUCAGGAUGGUGGCUAGCAGAGGAAACAAAGGAUAUGUUGGAAUCAAUAAGAACAGUGAGAAGCAUGAGAGGAGCUUUGAUUAUAAGUAGGCUCAAUGAACUAGUGUUGGUAAGUGGUAAUUAGAGCAAUUUGUGAGCUUAGUAGAGUUUCAAUAUUUUCUGUUUGGGAUAUAGUUGAUAAGUUGAUACUCUGAUAAAGAAGGCUGAUUAUAGUAGCUGACUAUAUUAACCGGGUUCUCUUUUUUGGUUUGCUGUUGUUUUUUCUUUCAAUAUCUUUUUCAACAUUAGGUUUAAGAACAAGCUUGGGUUUGAUUAUCAGGUAAGAACAAAUGAAUGCUUUAACCAUGUUUCUCACUUAUCACAAUGCACGGAUUGAAGGCGUCUGAGUUGAUCCUGAAACGUGCCUCAGCAAGUAUUAUGAUUAUUAUUUUAAAAAACUCAACCUAAGCAACGUGCCUCAGCAUACAAUAUUUAUUGACAACUAAAAAGUAAUAGUGGGUGGGGGUUGCCCUGGGUUUUGUUUAAAAAUUGAAGUAAAAAAUUUUCAAAUUUCAAAUUUCUAGUACAAAGAAAAUUGAUGACUAAAUUAAAUUCUGCAAAUUAAUUUCUAAUAUUACAUGAAAAUAUUAUCAAGUUAACUGGUAACAUCGUUAAUCACUUAAUUCUCAGUCUAAUACGUUAUGUAUUUGUUACUCUGUCUUAAAUCAAAAGUGGCGGUGAUUUAUUUUUAUUUUCACUAAUCAGAAAGGCAUGUUAGAGCUUUUAUUUUGUCGAAAAUGAACCAAAAAAACUCCGAUUGGGAGAUUAUAAAUGUAAUUAACAAUAAUUUAACUUCCAUUUUGAAAGUCAUUAUAUUGUUUAUUCAGGAGAAGCGUUCUUUUAUAUUUUAUAGAUAUAAUGUUUGCUAAUCCUAAUUUAAGCUAAAGCAUAUGCAUUUCCUAAUUAAUUCUAAUUUAAGCUUAUUCAACUGCAUUCAAUUAAUGUUCGAUAAUACAAAUUCUAAAUACUAUAUACUCUAAGAAUUUUAAUCGUAAUGACAAGGUGAUCAUUUAAUUAUUACCGUUAAAUUAUAUAUGUAUGGUGGAGACGAGUCCACACGGUUUUGACGAGAAAUUAAAGACAAUAUUUAGUUAAGCUAGUAGUAUUUGUUCUGUUUAGUACGUCGUUUUACCAGCAAGCAUCCCGGCAAUGCACGCAUUAAUAAAAACAUUUAUCUGUUUGGACUGACUGGUAGUGAAAAAUUCCACAUACUUUAAAUCAAGAAAAUGCUAAGCAUCUUAAAGAAAACAAUUAAAAUAUUGUCACUUGAUGCUUGAAUCAUUAUUGUUAAAUAUCUCCGUUGAGUUGUAUUCCCCAGUUGUGAGUAUCAUUAUUGUUGUUUGUGCGAUAUGUUUCGACGAAGACCAGCAGUGAUGAGCAGGCGUCUGGUAGCAGGGUUCCUCGAACAGGUAUAUCUUGCAAGAGUCUGGUAGCAGGGGGAGCAAGAGCAGGAGUAUCCUGCUCGUCCACGAGUACGUCAUCCACGAGGCCGGUCUCCUGUUGGGAGCGUAAAGCCAUUCCUGCUAUAUUCCUGCUAGCGGUUGAGUCGAGGAGACCCGGUCAACGACAGUUGACGAGACAUGCUCUCCAGUCCGAGAAUCAAGGCGCGAAGGCCACGCAACCACCCACGACUACGGAAAUGGAGCAUCCACUUUCGAGAAGUGGGAGGAUGACAAGCGCAAAGGGAGGAAAUGCAUGGGCUCAGAAGUGGCCUAUAAAAAGGUAACCAACGAAGGUAAAAGGGUUAGCAAUUUUGAGAUUAUAACAGAGACUAAGGAAAUUCUAAAGAAGAGAAAACUAUUAAAAAGCCAUAAGAUCUGUGGCAAGCGUUCCCAGAGCCUUCAUAUCUGACUUGAGCGUCGGAGGGUUUACGCCGGGAAAACAACCGGCGUGCUCUGACUUGUUUCUGUGGACGCAGGAAUACUUGGAGAAGAAAGCAUACAAGGAGAGAUCCUGGUCGAGGUGAGGUUGAUUGAGCAGAUAUCCUGGUCGUAGGAAGAGCGUAACCAGAAUCUCGCAUCAAUAUUUUGGCGCCGUCUGUGGGGAGCUGAGCAAAAAGUUUCUGUUGAUAGCAAAGAAGAGGAGUGAAGCAAGUGAAAAGCAAUGGAGACAGGAGGAAGUAGUGCACAAGGGGGUGAUAUGAGGCUUAACGAUUCCGUGACGCUGAGGGAGAUAGCCAGUGAAGCACGGGAAAAAGCCAUGUUCGACCGGAUGGAACGGAUGGAAAAGCAGAUGGAGACCUUGACAACCAUCCUACAUGAGCUGCGGAGCGAACGAAGGGUAACCCAGGAGGAAAGGGUGAGAGGUGGUGGAGUGGCACCAGGUCCCGAUAGUGCGAGGAGAAGUCAAACCACCGGGAGAUUUGGUGGUGAGAGAGGUAACAUACCUCUGCAGGGAAAUUGCAUAGAGAGGAAGAGCAGUCCCCGGCAAGACAGAUUUUUGACGAGGACGACGGGGUGGCGAAUGCAGAGGAAGCAGAGUUGAGGCAAUACUUGCAUGAUGUAGUGCAAGAGCGGGAUCAAGUCGCAGCACGUGACCCUGGUCGUGCAGAGCAGCUGGAGGAGGAAGUGUGCAGGCUAGCGCAGAUAAUUGACGACAUACAAGGAAGGAGCAGAGCUCCUGGUUGGAGGAUAAUGCUGGACGGAGAAUCACCGCUCGCAGCAGAGAUCAUGAGGGCAGUUAUUCCAAGAGAUUUCCGCCUCCCAGACCUUAGAUAUUCGGGAUGAACUGAUCCGCUGGUGCACAUAGAGCGCUUCAACGACAUAACUGGGGUACAAGGAUUAUCUCAAUCCUAAAGGUGCAGGGUGUUCCCACUAUCCCUUGAGGGACGCGCACGAGAGUGGUACAGGAAACUUCCUCGGGGGAGCAUUAAAACCUUCGAGCAGAUGUGCCAGGAAUUUGCAGAACAGUUCCGUGGGGCAAUGGCACCAGAAGAUGACAUGAUGGAGUUGAAAAACAUGAAGCAGGGGGAACAAGAAACACUUCGGGAAUUCAUCAAGAGGUUUCACCGUGCUGUCCUCGACUUGGGAGCCUUCAACCACCCUCAAACGUUAAGGGGAUUGAAAGAAGGGGUGAAGAUAGGAAGGCUGUGGUACAACUUGAGAAGCCCAGUUAUUCAGACGUAUGCGGCCGCAUACGAGCAGGCUAAGAGAGACAUUGAGAUUGAAGAGGAGAAGGCAGCACAGAUUAAGACAGACCAGUUAGAAGGGUGGGGGAGGAAAGAGAAGAAAGCAUUACCGGGGAAUGGGCCGAUCAGGAGGAGGAACCACCAGGCCUCGAGUAGUGGAGCAGAAGGUCGGGUAACUGCUUACCAGCCUCAUCAGAGGCCACUACAGUAUCAGCACAGCAGGGCGCAACCUCCUCGUUCCCCAGCUGGGGAGCCUUGGAGAAGGCAUGACUCGGCGUAUGGUGGUCUUCAUCAACACUCCCACGGUAGUAGAAGGGGCAGACCAGAAGCGCUGCCACCGCCUCCAACUCAGAACGGAGCAAAUAGAGAAAGGGCAGUGCACCUGAUCGACCAGAACCAGGACUAUGGGCGAUAUACUUCCUUGAAGAUGUCCCUGGCCGAGGUGUACGAGGCCAUAAAGGAUCGAGGGUCGUUAUACCUCCCUGCCCCAAUAACAAAGCUACCCAGCAGGAGGGAUAGGGGACGCUAUUGUAAGUUCCAUGGCACUCAUGGCCACACCACAGCAGAUUACAGGGAUCUCAAGACCCAGGUUGAAGAUUUGGUGAGAAAUCGGUAUCUGGACGAGUUUAUAGAUGGGACCUUCCCAAUGGUAGCCUCGACCAGCGAAUGGGAGCAGAGUGACAGGAACUUGAGGCGCGAGCAGCCUGCAGUAAGGGUGAUAGCUGGGGGCCCAACAUUGGCCGGAGAUUCCAACAGGUUGAGGAAGAAUUACGCUAGAUACGCCAUGACCAGCAAAGAUGUAUUCUUCACCACCCCAGCAGCCAAACGUGCAAGAGUCAGGCAAGUGCCAAUUAUGUGGACAGAUGAGGAUGAAGAAGGGAUUCUAUACCCCCACGAGGAUGCUUUGGUCAUCAAGGCCACUGUUGCCAGCAAGAAGUUUGACAGGAUACUGGUUGACACAGGGAGCUCAGUUGAUGUGUUGUUUAAGUCAACCCUGGAGGAGAUGGGAAUAGCAGACCUGAAGUUGGAUUACACCAAUACCUCCUUGAAGGGGUUUGGAGGAGGAAAGUUGGUCCCUCUGGGCGUGGUCGAGCUGCCUAUCACGAUUGGGAGCUCCCCGACAGAAGGGACAAUGAUACUGGACUUUGUGGUAGUGGAUGAGGAAGGUCCUUAUCAGAUGAUCCUAGGCCGGCCAUUUCUGACGAUGAGCAAAGCGGUGCUGUCCAGCCAUUAUCUGGCUCUCAAGUACCGGGUGAAUGGGGUAGUUGGAGUGGUACGAGGAGACCAGAGGAUCGCAAGAAGCUGCUACUCCUCGGCAGCAAAGGAAGCAAUGCAGAUAACAUCCCUUGAUACCCGAGUGGAAGCCAGGAAUGGCAGCUAGUUGGACCCGGAGUUUACAAGCUGGUUCGCACGGAUGGCCACAAGGUGAAACGCCCAUGGAGCGCGACACACCUCAGGAAAUAUUUCUAGUAAGACUUACUCAUCUUUUAAAGUUAUUUCUGUUCGUGCCCGUUGUUUUCUAUUUUUCAUUUCUUAUUUCAAAGCAAUCUCAUGUAAGCCGAAUUCAAUAAUAAAUGAAUCAAUGAGGAGUUUCAGUCAACUACACUGUUCAAGAAAUUAUCAAAGGCAUGCAAAGGCUAGUCAAGUCUCAAAGCCUGUUUAUGGCGAGACCAGAAGCCAAGCGUGCCAGGAUCUGCUCGACCACGAGAAGGCGAGCAGAGUCCCAAGCUUUCAAGAAAUUAUCAAUGGCAUGCAAAGGCUCACCAAGUCUCAAAGCCUGUUUAUGGCGAGACCAGAAGCCAAGCGUACCAGGAUCUGCUUGACCACGAGAAGGCGAGCAGAGUCCCAAGCUUUCAAGAAAUUAUCAAAGGCAUGCAAAGGCUCACCAAGUCUCAAAGCCGGUUUAUGACGAGACCAGAAGCCAAGCGUUCCAGGAUCUGCUCGACCACGAGAAGGCGAGCAGAGUCCCAAGCUUUCAAGAAAUUAUCAAAGGCAUGCAAAGGCUCACCAAGUUUCAAAGCCUGUUUAUGACGAGACCAGAAGCCAAGCGUGCCAGGAUCUGCUCGACCACGAGAAGGCGAGCAGAGUCCCAAGCUUUCAAGAAAUUAUCAAAGGCAUGCAAAGGCUCACCAAGUCUCAAAGCCUGUUUAUGGCGAGACCAGAAGCCAAACGUGCCAGGAUCUGCUUGACCACGAGAAGGCGAGCAGAGUCCCAAGCUUUCAAGAAAUUAUCUAAGGCAUGCAAAGGCUCGCCAAGUCUCAAAGCCUGUUUUAUGGCGAGAUAGAAGCCAAGCGUACCAGGAUCUGCUCGACCACGUGAAGGUGAGCAGAAUCCCCAAGCAUCGGAAUAUUUUCCAAGGCAUGCAAAGGCUCGCCAAGUCUCAAAGCCUGUUUUAUGGCGAGACAGAAGCCAAGCAUGCCAGGAUCUGCUCGACCGCGCGAAGGCGAGCAGAAUCUCAAGCAUUGAAGAAUUUUCCAAGGCAUGUGGCAAAACCAUAUGCCGAGCCAGAACCUGCUAAACUAGACGAAGACGAGCAGAUUCUCAGACGAAAAAUAACUCAUGAUUACAACACAAGAAAGUAAUCAAAAACAUUUUUAUUAAUUUGUUAAUAAUUAACAGAGGAGAUAAUCUUCACAAACAUUGUUCAUUACAAUACAAGAAAUAUAUUAAGAGGACGGUGGAUCCGUAAGCCGAGCAGCCUCAGUCGGUUGGUCCACCUCAGGUGCUGGGGGAGUAUCACCGGUCGCGUCCGGGGGGGUGCUUGCCUCACCCACAUCAACAGGAACGGCACGAGGAGGAGAGUUUUCCUCAACUACGAUUGGUUCCACCGUUUCGGCAUCUUCCUUUGCAGCCUCCUCGUCCAUAUGUUGGGCGACACCAGUUGCAAGGUCGUCCAUCUUCAGAUCAGGAUGCUGCUUCCCGAGGACGACCAUGAUGCAACGAUAGGAAUGCCGAAGCCCCUAGUCGUACUGGUUGUCGGCCUCCCUCUCCAAGUUCUCGACCUGAGCUCGGUGGGAAUCGCGGAGAGAUUCGAGCUGAGCCUCAUAUAUAGCCUUCUGCCUUUGCAGAUCCUCCUCGACCUUGGUCAGCUCCUCCUCGAGGGUAAUGGCUUUUGCUUGAGCAAGAGAUUCUUGCUCUAUCAGCUUGAGGUUCUCAACAUUCAGCUCCCCUGCUUUCUUCUCGGCAGCGUCAGCUCUGGUCGUCGCCGAUUGAAUGUCCUCCUUAAUCUUGCGGUCGUAGCGGCCAACCUUCGCCUUGUAAUAGGUGGUCAUGCAGCUGAGGUAGAAAGCGCUAUACUGCAUGGCCCCCACCAGCUCACCCAAGGUGCAGCCGUCAAAGUCCUCCAGGUCCUUCUUGCUCACGAGUUUAGAUAACUCAUUGAGGUAGGGGACCAAGUGUUCUGCUUGGCUGUCAGGUAAGCGAGAUCGAGGCCCGACAGGAGGAGAAGAGGAAGCAGGAUCCGUGGCUGCUCCACUAGUUUCCCCAACUUUGGCAGGAGCAGGAGGUAAAGUCUUCAAGGGAGAGACUUGCUGUACGAUGUUGGCCUGCUUUGCAGAAGGGGCGUCCUUGUUCUGGUCCCUCUUCGUGGCUUGAGGUUGAGAACGUUUCCUGUUCAGAGCCCCAAUCACAGCGUCCUCCAUCUUAUGGCCAGGGAGUACCAAGCGAGACUCGAGCAAGUUGUAAACAGUUAUCAAUUCUCGGCUCGGGCAAGAGUUGGCUAGUAUAGCCUCGACCCGUUUGAGCUGAUCAGGUUGGAGCGAGAAGUGAACACCCCAAGAACCUGCAACACAAACAAACAUUUGAUUAGAGACAAACCAGUAAAGUGCAAACAACAAGGGAGACAAGACAUCUAAUACGAGCAGGCAACCUGGGACCAUGAAACGGGGUGGGACGCGACAAUCCUUCCCGUCUAUUUGUGCAACUUGACCCCAAGGACCCCCAGCAAAAAAGAAUUUCCUCUUCCAAGUCCCACCACCACCAGUUGGAAGAUCAGUUAUGGGUUUCUUGCUCUUGGUACUAGAUUGGAAGUAGUACCAGCCGGCAUCUUUGGGGCUGCUCUUUAGCUGGUACAGGUGCUUCACCUCAUCAACCGUGGGCUCGCUUUGGCAACAUCUGUCCCACAAUAUGAACAGACCAGAGAGCACCCUCCACCCAUUGGGGUUCAGUUGACCAGGAGCUAGAUUGAGCCCGUGGAGUAUGCGAGCAAAAUAGGGUUGCAAGGGGCACCUUAACCCGUACUUAAAACUCUCCUGGAACAAGGUGACAUAUCCCCUAGGAGGCCUGCUAGGACUAUCUUUUUUUCCUGGGAUCCUAAGGAGUACUUCACCAGGAAUAUGAUACCUGAGCCAGAGGUCAUCCAGCUCGUUGAAUGUGGUCGUGCAGGUCAUGUAAUCAAUAGCAUAAUCCCGCAACAAGGCUCUACCUCCUACUGUACUACGCCCUUCUGGUCGCAGUGUUCCCGGUGAAGAUCCCUCACCAGAGUCACCUCCUUGAUCCUCACUUAGGGUGUCUUCCGAGCCAGAAGGUCCUUCCUCGCCACUACUUCCGCUCGUGGAGGUUGUUUGGGGGGACAUCCUCCUAGCGCUAGUCCCGACACUAGACCUAGUGGGCUCUAAGGGGAUCCCGGGGUCAAAAGCAGAAUCAGUGAGCAGACUAGGCAAGAAACCUAGUUCGUCGUCAUCAGUCUCAAUGACUUUCUCCUUACCCUUCGACAUUCCCUAAGUUCUAACCAAAACACCACCACCGACUACAACCCCAAGUAAAGCAAAGAGAAAAGAAAUUAUCUACAACUAUCCGAGACCGAGGAGAUAGAAGUAAUACCUGAAGUAAUGGUUCAGUUAGAGAAAGGCAGGGGAGGAGACUUUUAUGCCGAGACUUCUUUGCCGGAGAGACAGAGACAGAGAUGGAGUAAAUGACGAAUUUUCCCUUUGAGAGGUUUUGGGUUUUCCUAAUGGAGAAUGAACUUUUGGAUUGCCAGCAUUUAAUAGCAUCGAAUCCCAAGGGUCUCGUAACCGUCGGUUUAAAAUUCAAAUAGAUGGGUAGAUUUCUGCCACAUCACCUGGUCCACAAUUAAAUGCGACACGACUCUUGGCAGCCUUUUCCUAUCCCGCGCGAGCAAGAACUGUCGAGUUUCUACUGUUGGCUCACUACGCUACCCAACACAAGAAACUGGGGGACUGGUGUUUGUGCGAUAUGUUUCGACGAAGACUAGCAGUGAUGAGCAGGCGUCUGGUAGCAGGGUUCCUCGAACAGGUAUAUCUUGCAAGAGUCUGGUAGCCGGGGGAGCAAGAGCAGGAGUAUCCUGCUCGUCCACGAGUACGUCAUCCACGAGGCCGGUCUCCUGUUGGGAGCGUAAAGCCAUUCCUGCUAUAUUUCUGCUAGCGGUUGAGUCGAGGAGACCCGGUCAACGACAGUUGAUGAGACAUGCUCUUCAGUUCGAGAAUCAAGGCGCGAAGGCCACGCAACCACCCACGACUACGGAAAUGGAGCAUCCACUUUCGAGAAGUGGGAGGAUGACAAGCGCAAAGGGAGGAAAUGCAUGGGCUCAGAAGUGGCCUAUAAAAAGGUAACCAACGAAGGUAAAAGGGUUAGCAAUUUUGAGAUUAUAACAGAGACUAAGGAAAUUCUAAAGAAGAGAAAACUAUUAAAAAGCCAUAAGAUCUGUGGCAAGCGUUCCCAGAGCCUUCAUAUCUGACUUGAGCGUCGGAGGGUUUACGCCGGGAAAACAACCGGCGUGCUCUGACUUGUUUCUGUGGACGCAGGAAUACUUGGAGAAGAAAGCAUACGAGGAGAGAUCCUGGUCGAGGUGAGGUUGAUCGAGCAGAUAUCCUGGUCGUAGGAAGAGCGUAACCAGAAUCUCGCAUCAACAAUUGUCUUUGCUCUCUAAUCUAUUCAAUUUUCUUUCUGGAGACAAGAUUUUGAUUCCUUUCAUCGUUACAAAAACGGAACCAUGGUUGAUGUGGGAGAGAUCUUACUCAACGCCUUCUUUUAGGUGAUGUUCGACAGGUUGGCUUCCCGUGAUUUGCUCAGCUUUGUCCGUCAACUUGGAGGGGGGGUCGAUUCCGAGCUCAAGAAGUGGGAAAGAAAGCUGAAGAUGAUUCAGGCGGUGCUCAACGAUGCAGAGGAGAAGCAACUGACGGACGAGGCUGUGAAGAUGUGGCUGGACGAUCUCCAAGACUUGGCUUAUGACGCUGAGGACAUUCUUGAUGAGUUUGCUACUCAAGCUUUGGAAAGCAAGUUGAUGGCGCAAAAUCAGGAUAGCUCUGGCCAACUUCUCAGUUUCAUCCAGGCUAGUUUGAAUCCGAAUGCUAUUAUGUUCAAUUAUAGCAUGGGGUCCAAGAUUAAAGAUAUCACUAGCCGGCUGGAGCAACUCUGCCAAGAAAGAAUUGAACUUGGACUGCAACGGAUUACUGGAGGGGCAUCAUCAACUACUGCUGCUGCACACCAGAGGCUACCCGGUUCAAUUGUCCCAACAGAACGUGAAGUAUUUGGAAGAGAAGAAGAUAAGGCCAAAAUUCUUGAUAUGGUAUUGGCCGAUACCCUAAGUGAUCAUGCCAACUUUGCUGUAAUACCCGUUGUUGGCAUGGGCGGGAUAGGAAAAACAACUCUCGCUCGGGAGGUUUACAAUGACAAGGCCGUUGGCGGUUCCAAGUUUGAUGUAAAAGCAUGGGUUUGCGUAUCUGAUGUCUUUGAUGUUUUGGGCAUCUCAAAGGCACUUCUCGAGUCAAUCACCCGCAGGCCUUGUCUUCUAAACAGUUUAAAUGAAGUGCAGGUUGAAUUGAAAGUAGCUGUGGAUAAAAAAAGAUUCUUGCUGGUCUUAGAUGAUGUUUGGAACGAGGACUACAGCUUGUGGGUAGACUUAAAAGCUCCGUUCCUGGCUGCUGCACCAAACAGUAAGAUGAUCGUCACCACACGCAAUUCAAAUGUUGCAUCAACAAUGGGACCAAUUGAACAUUACAAUCUCAAGAGUUUGUCAGAUGAUGAUUGUUGGUCCAUUUUCAUAAAGCAUGCAUUUGAAUAUAGAGAUCUUAACGCACAUCAAAUUUCAGAAUCGUUCCGCGGGAAAGUUGUUGCCAAGUGUGGAGGCUUGGCCCUGGCAGCAAAAACACUCGGAGGCCUUCUGCAUACGACGAGGCAUGAUGCGUGGGAUGAUACGUUAGAGAGCAAAAUAUGGGAUUUACCUCAACAAAGUGGGGUUCUCCCCGUAUUAAGAUUGAGUUACCAUCAUCUUCCUUCUCAUUUGAAAAGAUGUUUUGCUUACUGUGCAAUCUUUCCAAAAGAUUAUGAAUUCAAUCAGAAGGAGCUGACUUUCUUAUGGAUGGCUGGAGGAAUUAUUCGACAGUCACGAAACAGUGAGCAGCUGGAAGAUUUGGGCAGCAAGUGCUUUCAAGAUCUAGUGUCAAGGUCUAUUUUUCAACAAACCAGCUCUGGUAGUUCUAAAUUUGUAAUGCCCUAUCUUAUCCAUGAUCUUGCUGAAUUGGUUUCUAGAGGGACCAUUUUCAAGUUAGAGGAGUCCACCAACUUGUCGUCGAGGAGAUUUGAAAGAGUUCGCCAUUCUUCCUAUGCCCGCGGUUGGCAUGACGGUAAAAAUAAGUUUGAGGUUUUCUAUGAAAUUGAACAUCUACUAACAUUCUUGCCAUCACGCAUAAGAGGUGGCACUAAUACGAGUUACAUAACUCGAACGGUUCUAUCUGAUUUGUUGCUGAAUUUCAAAAGUUUGAGGAUGUUAUCUUUACAAGGAUACUGUAUUGGUGAGUUACCAAUUUCAUUUGAAGAUUUGAGACUUUUAAGGUUUCUCAACCUUGCUUACACUGACAUAAGAAGUUAUCUGAGUCAACAUGCAAAUUGCUGAACUUGGAAAUUUUGAUAUUAAGAAAUUGUUCUCGUUUGAUAAAGCUUCCACCCAAAAUGAGGAAUUUGAUCAAUUUACGCCAUCUCGAUAUAAGAGGUGCGAAGUUGCUGAAGGAGAUGCCAUUCGGAAUGAAAGAGUUGAAGAAGCUUCAAACAUUGUCCAAUUUUAUUGUGGGCAAGGGUGAAACUGCAUCUUGUUUGGAAGAUUUAAAAUGUUUAAACUUUCUUUGUGAUAAACUUUGCAUUGCUGGAUUAGAGAAUGUUAAUAAUCCACAGAAUGCAAGAGAAGCCGCAUUAUGUGAGAAACACAAUCUUGAAGCAUUGACUCUGGAUUAGGGGUUUCAAUUUGACAAUUCCUGAGGAGUAGUAGAAGAGCAUGUACUGGAAAAUCUACAGCCUCAUAAAUGUAUAAAAAAGGUGGCGAUCCGGAACUAUGGUGGUGCAAGAUUUCCCCUUUGGAUAGGAGAUCCUUUGUUCUCCAGGAUAGAGCUCCUAAAAUUGGAGAACUGUGACAAUUGUGUAUCUUUGCCAUCGCUUGGCCUAUUGAGUUCACUUAGACGGCUUGCUGUUAAAGGGCUGAAUAAACUAAAAAGCAUAGGGUCUGAGGUUUAUGGGGAGGGUUUCUCAAUGCCUUUUCCAUCAUUGGAGAUUCUAAGUUUCGAGAAUUUGCCAGAAUGGGAGCAUUGGGACACCGAUGUCAAAGGAAAUGUGCUUGUUGAAAUAUUUCCUCGUCUCCAUCAACUUUCCAUUGUGGAAUGUCCCAAACUCUCGGGAGAACUGCCUGAGCUCCUGCCCUCCUUGGAGACACUUUUUGUUAGUAAAUGUGAAAAGUUGGUAGUUCCAUUGUCUUGCUAUCCGAUGCUCUGCAGAUUAGAAGUUGAUGAGUGCAAGGAACUAGCAUGCGGGACUCCAAUUGAUUUUAAGUUGAUAACGUCUGUGACUAUUUCAAAUAGUUCCUUAGACAUGAAUGGAUGCAAGGGGAUGCUAUACGAUGGUCCAGCUGGCUCUUCACUACCAAAGCCUAUGAUUACUACAAAUGUUUCGGAGUUUGGAAAAUUAUUGAAGCCUGGAUUUCAGAUAUUAGAAACUUUGGUAAUUGCCAAUUCUGAACAGCUCAAGUCAUGGAGGCAGAAUGGGGAUUUUCCGGAAAAAUACACGGCCCCUGAACAUAGGUUUAAGAAACCAGUACGAGGGCUGAAUAUGCUCGCUUCCCCUGAAGAGGUAACAAUUGAAGAAAGUUGCGUACGUCUUGUUUUGUUUCCAGAGAUCAAUUUCUUUCCCAGAAAUCUGCGCUCUCUUCUAAUUAACAACAACACUGCUUUCAAAUCCUUACCCGAGGAAAUGAUGGAAAACAAUUCACAACUCGAAAGGUUGUAUAUCAGAGAUUGCGACUCUCUAACAUUCAUCGCAAGACGGAGGCUACCAGCAUCUCUUAAAAGGCUUGAGAUAGAAAAUUGUGAGAAAUUGCAACGUCUGUUCGAUGAUGAAGAGGAUGCUUCUUCUUCUUCACCUUCACCCUCGUCUUCCCCAGUGAUGCUGCAACACCUGAGUAUAGAGAACUGCCCAGAGCUCACCAGUUUAUCAUCGGGUGUCCAAUUCCUUGAGGCGCUUGAAGACCUCGACAUACAGGGUUGUCCAAAGCUGGAGUCAUUACCGGAUGGCCUGCCCAAUCUUAAAUGUUUACAGAGCAUUUAUAUACGGGGAUGUCCAAGUCUUGUUUCCUUCCCAGAAAGAGGGCUUCCCAACACGAUUUCAAGGGUUGACAUUUGCAGUUGUGACAAGCUCAAAGCCUUGCCCAAUGAUUUGCACAAACUCAACUCUCUUCGAGAUUUAAGAAUACGGCUGUGUCGAAAUCUUGUAUCGUUUCCAGAAGAAGGUUUUCCUACCAAUCUAACAUCACUUACAAUUGGAAAUUUCAAAAUGUAUAAGACACUCGUCCAGUGGGGGUUGCACGGGCUUACCUCUCUUAAACGCCUCUCGAUCAGUGGAUGUCAUGAAGCAGAGUGUUUUCCAGACGAGGAGAUAGGAAUGACGCUGCCCACCUCUCUCACUCAACUGCUCCUUUAGGGAUUCGAAAAACUGAUAUCUCUGUCUUCGACGGGUUUUCAAAGCCUCAACUCUCUUCAAUACUUAUUGAUCUGGGGUUGCCCAAAUCUCACAUCAUUCCCAGAGGCGGGUCUUCCAUCCUCACUUUUGGAUUUAGGCAUUUACAAUUGUCCAAAGCUUAAAAGAGCGUGCAAAAGAGAUCAAGGAAAAGAGUGGCCCAAAAUUGCUCACAUCCCUCGCAUUGAGAUAGACAGAAAAUUCAUAUACGAUCCAGAAUCAGAGGAGUAGAUUCUAUUACAAAGGUCAGUUGAUUUCUAUUAUCCUCUAUAACAAGCUCCUCUUAAUUUUUUUUUUCUAAGUAAUAAUUUUGCAGUUCUGUAUAAUUAUUAAUCGUCUGCUCUUAAUUGAAAAUGUCACUCACUUGAUUCCGUUUUCACUAGUCAAAUUGUAUGUUGAGGCUAUUUGCUUUUUAAUUAUAACACUUAUCUUAAAAUUUAAUACCAAAUUUUUUUGAUUCACUUCAAUUAGCAUUUUGUUUUCCCCAAAUUAGGCAAGCCGAGAGCUUCAUUAACUAGAGUUUUUUAUUUUUCGGACCUUGCAUCUGAAAGGUUCAGUGUAUUUUUUUUUUUUUCAAAUUUAUUGUUCAGAUCUCAGACGAGUAUACGGUUUAGAUUACAAAACACCUAUGAUUAAUUUCUUUUUUUUUUUUUUAAUUUCAGGGAGAAGAAGUGGUCAGUUUCAAUCCGGAAUUGGAAUAUGGCAAUUUGGUUCAAGCACACACACCUGGUCACUUGGUCAGUGAACCUGAACUUUACGCAGUUUUUUCAACUCAGUGAUUUUUGGAACGCAUAUUGGUGUAAGGAAAUCAAUAGAAAUUUAUGCAUAGUCAAAUUCUGAUAUUUGCUAUAAUAUUAUACAUUCUAAAGUUUCUCCAGUUUGUUCUCAGAUUACCAUCAUUUUUUGCCUUCACCAAAAAAAAAUCGAGUGGCUUUCCAGUGGAUAUUUAAUCGGAGGUAUGACUGGAUUUUUUUCACUUCUGUAAAUCUUGCAUUUUAAACUGGCAAAUUUAACUUUAAUUUUAAUACGACUUGUUUGAGGGAAAUACUCCGACGAGACCAGACGUGAUGAGCAGAUGUUUGGUGGCAGAAGUCUGCGAGCAGGUGUGUCCUGUAAGAGCCAGGUAGCAGGGAAACAGGGGCAGAAAUAUCCUGCUCAUCCACGAGCAUGUCAUCCGCGAGGCCAAUUUCCUGUAAGAAACAUAAAGCCAUUCCUGCUGUAUUCUUGCUAAGGGUUGAUUCGAGGAGACCCGGUCAACGACAGUUGGCGAGGCAUGCUCUCCAGCCCGAGAAUCUAGGCACGAAGGCCACGCAACCACCCACGACUACGGAAAUGGGGAAUCCACGUUCGAGAGGUGGGAGGAUAACAGACGUAGACUGCGGAAAACUGGGAUUCAGAGGAAGCCUAUAAAAAGGUAGCCAACGAAGGUAAAAGGGUUAGCAAUUUUGAUUCUAAAAGAGAGAAAACAACCUAACAACCAUAAGAUUUUUGGCAAGCGUUCCCCGAACCUUCAUAUCUGACUUGAGCGUCGGAGGGUUUGCGCCGGGAAAACAACCGGCGUACUCUGACCUGUCUGUGUGCGCAGGAACCUCUGGAGAAGAAGCUUUACGAGGAGAGAUCCUGGUCGUGGUGAAGUUGAUCGAGCAGAGACCCUGGUCGUAGAACGAGGAGAACCAGAAUCUCGCAUCAACACGACUUUGUUGGUGCCUUGUGUUCCAGAAACUAGAAUGAUGUGUAGUUUUCAGAUUAAGGGGCUUGUAAAUUCUCUAGUAAGAAUCCAAUAAUUUGCUUUUGCACAUUCAUUUUAUUUGUGGAUCCUUGCAUCUGAAUUUGAUCAAUCCAAAAGGAAUUGCUUUUAGACAGAAGAAGAAUUGCAGUACCUAGCCUACGACAUAGUAAAUGGACCUGCAAACCUGUAACUAUUAGUUUGAGGUAAAAAAUUCAUGACCCUCACAUGUUAACUUCUUCUAGUUACUUUCAUCAAAAACACAUUUAAGAAAUUUGCAAUUUUUUGUUAGUUUUGUAUACCGAUGUUGUUUUCUGUUUUAGCAUUUGUAUAAUCUACUGUAUUAUAUUUUGGCGGUUGCAGUAUCUGAGGUAUCUUUUGCAUUUAACUUGCUUUAUUUGUUUUGCUUGUGACUUAAGAACACCAAUAUUUGCCAGAGAUUUAGAGAAGCAUAUCAAGAUGCUUGGCAAACUUGACAAACUUCAAGAUCCUUCAUUCUUCACGACCCAAAACUUGUGAGUACACUUAUGCCCGCAAUUAUUGUGAAACGCUUGCAAUUUUGAUGCAGCGAAAUGGUUUGUUGAUGCAAAGGUUUAAACUUUUAAGAUUUACACUGCAGGGUAGUUGGAUGCUGUAUAGUCGAACGGCCACCAACAUCAAGAACUAUAACUCCAAGACCGGGUUUGCAUUAAUUCAAUCAGCUGAAAUAAUGAUGCAAAUGACACUAUCAGCUGGACUUAGAGACCAGUCAGAUCAAUCAUCCUUUUAUCAACAGUUAAUGUCAUGAUGGUGUCUAUCGGAGGAAACAAAGGAUGUGUCGGAAUCAAUAUGAACAGUGAGAAGAAUGAGAGGAGCUUUGAUUAUAAGUAGGCUCAAUGAACUCAUGCUGGUAAGUGGUAAUUAAAGAAAUUUGUGCGCUUAGUAGCAUUCAAUAUUUUCUGUUUGGGAUAUAGUUGAUGAGUUGAUACUCUGAUUAAGAAGCCUGAUUAUAGUAGCUGACUUUUUUUUUGUGGUUUGCUGUUGUUUAUUCUUUCGAUUAAUUUCAACAUUAGGUUGAUCUGUUGAAGAACAAACUUGGGUUUGAUUAUGCUUUAACUACAAGGAAGAGCCAGACUUGGAUGCAGGCGUUCAGCUUUUAAUGGGUAAGAACAAAUGUAUGCUUUAACCAUGUUUCUCACUUAUUACAAUGCACACAUUGAAGGCAUCUGAGCUGAUCCUGAAAAUGUGAUGGAAAUACUUCUCUGUUUACAUAAAACAGACAAAUAGAGAUCUCUGAUCAUGCCUGAGAAUUCGUUGCAUUUAAAAUUUCUACCAUUGCCAAAAAUAGAAUAAACUACGGAUACAUUAGCUUAAGACUCAAUUUUGAGAAGGAAGUUUGCACAUGCAGCCUAAAAAAUCACGUCCGUGUUGUAUACUUGUAUGUUUCUUUGGGAAAUGAAAGAUUCUGUGUUCUUUUAUUUCAAGUUUGCUGAAAUCACAUUUGUUUUCUUAGAUGCUUUUGGGAAGGUAACAACAUCAAUUUCAUAAAUGCUGGGGUAAGAUGCAUCACGCAGUGCUACUCAACAUGAGAAUUCCCGGCCGCAUUACCUGUAUGUUGAGUGAUCGCACAGUACAACCUUUAGAAGCUUGUAAGGAGUAGACAACUAGAUGCGAAUAGUUUCAAUAUGGAUUCGCAUCAAAUGAUCUCUUGCCAGUGAUUACUAUAACCUCUAUCCCAAAAUUCUUGGAACUGGUCAUACCAAUAAUGAAGUAUUGUGUACGUUGAAGACGUAGCUCAAGGCCUUGCGAAAGCUCCGUCAGCCUUUGUAUUGGAAAACAGUUGGUUGUAGUUGCUUCUGAAUGAUAUUAUUAAUAGAUACUGUAAAAAUGAAGUGUGCCACUCAUUUUCAGAGCCCUGUUAAGAUGUGUUGGUAAUGUGUUUGAAGGUUGUUUGAUUUGUGUUGUAUUCAGCUAUAAAUCAAAGAUUCAGAACAUGGUUAUGUUACUGGUUUCCAAAUAAAAAAAUUGCCUUGUGAUGUUAGUGUUCAUUGUUUUCACAGGAGAUCAGGUUCCCUGUUGAUGAAUCAAGAAGGCAAACGCAUCCAUGCCUUAAGUUCAAAUGUGUCUCUUCUAUUUUCUAUUACUGACUCCUUUAUUUUGAUUUCUUCAUUGUAAUGGAAUUGGUUUUCAUUCCAAAUUAGUCAAAACCUCCUAGAGUCAUUAAGUUCUGUUAGCAUUUGAAGAUAGAACUAGAACUAAAUGAUUGACUGGAUUAAAUUCCGAUAAAGAAUUAAGUUAUGUAUUUAGAGAUAUUUUGUUUUUUUUUUCAUUUGUUCAAUUUGGUUAGUGGUGAUUUCUUAAAGACUCAAUCCAUGUGCGUUUAUGCAUUUUUCUUUUGCCUUAAUUUCUGUUUCUUGGGGAGUUUAUACAGAUUCUUAUUUUAUGCUUCACAUGCCACAUGAAAGAUCGAAGCAUUUUGUGUGAUUAGAACUGACUUGCAUCACAGUAACUUUAAACCACUGCCACAUUUUUAUAAUAACAGUCUGAGAUCUCCCUGAAGGAUUCAAAGCAUUUUAUUUUAUAUUAACCUCCUUUAAGUGGGUUUCGACACUACCACAAGUUCUUUAAAUACUAAAACGAUUUUGAGUCUUUUGUAUCAUCUGAUUGAAAUACCUGAAAGCACUCGUGGCUGCAAAAAUAUAUCGAUUUUGAGUAUGGCGUGCAUGUAAAUUAUAUCGAUUUUUUCUAUAUGACAAGUAAGACUCUCUUUUACAAUGGCACGGAUGCGUCAUUGAGUAAUCAUGAUUCUUGCUGGUAGUGCUUUGUUGUAUCAAUCUGCUAGCUAUUCAGCUUUCUUUCUUUCUUUCUUCUUUUUUUUUUUUUUUUUUUGUUUUCAAAUAGCUUGUGGUUGUAGAAAUAUUUCAAUUAAACUAUACUUAAGUACUUAUUUAGUAUAACUUCUUUACUAGCCAAAAUAAUUUUUUUUUGGUUUUUUAUAAUUUAAUUAUACUUUAACUAGAGUUUUUGGGAUUAAACAAGUGAUAAUUUCUCUCUAUUAAGAAAAACUCAAAAUUUUUUAAUUACUAGAAUGCGUCUAAAUUAAAUUACAAUUAUAGACACUAAAAUAUAGUAAAUUUUUUUUUUUACUCUUUAAAACUGUCUUUACAUUCGAUAUCAUAUUUUUUUCUUAAAAUCUAAAUUGAUAUUUUUAUUUUAUUUUUGAUUAAUCUUAGAACACAUAUAAAGUGAUUCAUAUUGAUUUUAUACUAACAAACUAUCAUAGCACAUUCGAAAAUAAUUAACUCGUUCUUAUUUGCAUAGUGAAAAAGGCAAAUAGCUCACCCAAAUGUUAAGGAACUGGAGAGCUGCUGCUGGAGACGAAAGGAUGUGAAAAGCAUGGUAAAGAAAAAUUGCAUAAUUCUCACUUAGAAGAGGAAGAAAAAAAAAAUACAAUUAGAAUGAGAGGUAGCCAGUAGCCAGUAGCCGCCACCACCACCAGUCAAACUAUUUCGACACACUAAUACUGUAAUACAUAUCAAAAUGCAAUAUCGGUCCUAACAAAAUGAAAAUAAAAAUUCAUUACGAAUAUGUGUUAAAGAUAUCCCAAGUAUUGAUGUGAUUGAAAUAUUUGAGAUUGAAGUAGAAAUAAGACUCAAAAUCAAUUGAGAGGAAUAAAUGAGAAACUCUAAUACUAAUAAAAUAUAUUCACAAAUCCUAAUGCUAAUUAAAAUCACGGAUUAAAAAAAAUAAUAUGAAUGAAUUACAGGCGCAACUGUUUCAUUAAAAAAUUAAUAAAAUCGUGUAUUAAUAUUUUGUACACAUACAUUUUUCCAUAUAUAACUUUUGGUAAUUUAGUUUUCCACUUAUCAUUUUUACUCCAAAAAAAUAAUUGAGAAUAUUAUUUAUGUUUUGGUGCAAAAUAUUUAAACAACAUAAAAAUUUUCAGUUUAAUAAAUCUAAACAAUUCUCAAGUUAUAAAUGAAUUUAAUGGGUUUAAUUAGUAAAAAUACUAUUAUUUUAUAAAUUGGGUUUAGUAAUGGUAUAUUGGGUAUUUAAAUGGGUUUGUUGAGUAAAUUUUAAAAUUUUAAAGUUCAAGGGUAGGUUUAUUUAGUAAAUGGGUUAAUGCAGCAAUUUUCAAACUAAAUUUUUGGAAAAAGAGGCUAUUGAGUUUUUUUUAAGAAAAAGAAUUAAAAUGUUGAGAAUACCUUUAUUUAAUUUUAUAAUCUAAUUUUAAAAAAUUUACCCAAUAAAUUUUAUAAUUUUUUAUAAAAAUUAUCAUUAACAUCCAAACAGCUGAAGAUUAAAAAAAAAAAAAGAAGGGAACUGUACUAGCAAAAGUUAGAUUAACAAUAAAUUUAGUCCAAAGAAUAAAGUUAUAGCUAAAAAGUGCUCCUAUCCUAUUUUUCUCUAUUUUAACAAUAAUCUUCCAAUCCAUUUUACAAUGGACUUAACAAAUGGGCUCAAUCUCUAAACUUCAUUUUCUUUUGCUAACCCAUGGCCAUUAGCCAGAAAGCCUAAAACAAUUUUAGGAUCACAUGUGUAAAUGGAACCCCAAGAUUGAUCAAGAAUUAACAAGACAAGAUGAAGAGAUGAUCUUGUAACUAAGAAUGAAGAAAUUGAAUCAAGACAGUACUCUAGUAAAACCCAGAAAACAGAGCUUGAAGAAUCACGCACAAAGCAGUAAAUUUGUAAAACCAGAAUUGGAGCUUCACUUCUCAAGAUAGACGAAACAGGAUACAAUCUAGCUUUGGUCAACUUCGUUUGGCCACGUCAUAAAGUCUUCCCCCACAGUCUUUCCCGCCAAAACAGAAAAGCUUUAAAAGCCAUUUACCCUCCUGAGUUACUUGCUCCUAUUACAUCAAGGCCCUGUAAGUCUAUAUUUAUUAUUACAAAAGCACCCUUAAACCGAGAUUUGAGAUAUUUUUUCAAAGAUCGAAGCGCAUGAUUUCACGGCUAUGUUGCAUAGUGAAUUUUAGUGCUUUACAGUUAAGGGAUAGUUUAAAUUCAUUACAAAGCAUUCGCAAAGAAAUUGUUUUUAAAUGAAACUCCUCGUCUUGACCAGAUUAUUUAUUAUUAUUAAAAAAAAAAUGUUCAAAACUUAGCCAAAGUGAUAAACUCGUAAUUAUUCUACAAAGGGAACAAUUUUGAACGGUGGGAAAUUCCAUAAUUAUGCUUUUCUGUGAAUUAUUUUAAAUAAAAUUAUAAAAAUUAAUAUAAAAUUAUAAUAAUGAUAGAGCCACAAACUCUUGUACAAAUUUAUUUUAUACAAACUCAUGUGGCAUGAUAAGAUUGGUUGAAUUAAAUAUUACUUGGCCCACAUGAUUUGUUUUUAUUAUUUUAUAUUUUUAUUCAACCAAUAAAUUAAUACCACGUCAGUUUGUACAAAAUAAAUUUAUACAAAAAUUUGUGACUCGAUCAUCACUCAUAAAAUUAAUACCCGGUAAAGACUGUAGAGAGACAAGUGCCCCCAACAGAAUCAAGUGAAUAUGCCCCACAAAGAUCACAUGAUCAUUUCUGUUCUUUUUCUUUUUGAUAAUUUUAUCUGUGGUUUCAACUUUUAUGCUUUAUUGUCGUAUCCCGUUGAGGGCUCCGCUGCACCCAUUACAACUUACCCCUAAAUUGCCUCUUACUAACUAAACCGUUAGAUUUUAUGGAAGCACGUUCAAUGUUGAAUUUUAAUUAUGUCAUCGAAUUUCGUUUAGCUCCUUAAACUCCAUUUUAUUUGUAAUUUCUUCAUAAAAUAUUCAAAGCUUCAUCAAGCUCCUGAUGGACCAUCAUGGCUAGGGGUGCAUUAGAGCCGAACUGAAAUAUGUUAGUUCAGUUCAGUUUGGUCAGUUUAAAUCGAAUGGUUUAGAAUAUAUAAACUGAUCAAUUUUAAUUUUGAAUUGAACCGAACCGAAAAUCAAUUGGUUCACUAUUAGUAUUUUUGUAUAAACAAGAAUGAUUAGUGAUUAUAAUUAAAUUGGACUAAAAAAAAUUCAAACUAAGGUGAAAAAUAUCAAAUCUUAGACAAUAUAAAAAAAAAUAUUAAAUUUUUUUAACCGAAACGAACCGAAUUAUUUUGACUCAGUUUGGUUCAUAAUUUUUUAAACCAAACUGAUUUAUUCCCACCCCCUAAUCGUGGCUCUCUAUCUUUAGUCAUUCACCCUUGAGUUUGAUGCCAAUUGUUGGGUUUCAAAUGAUUAUACACUCAAAUGGAACCCUCAUAACAAAAAACUAACAGAAACAAUAAGAACACGAUGUUAAAAUCUUAAAUCAAUCGCAAAAAAGCACCCAAAACAGAUCGAUUAGGAACAGUUAAGAACAAAAGAUUUGAUGGUUCAAAAUCAUAAUGUGACCUACGUACUUUCAUCCAAGAAUCAUACUAAUUGCUUUACUAGUUGUCAAACUCAAGAUCACAAGAUUGUUUAUCACUCUACAUAAAAAUUUUUUUUAGAAGAAAUACUCCCCAAUUUUUCUCUUAAUAGUUAUGAAUCAACACCCCUAGGAAGCCUGUUGAUUUACUUUUCCUUAUUUCCUAUGAUCGGUUGCUGCAACUUAAUCCUUGCCAAGCUCCAACAUAGUCCAAACACUUUUAACGGUACAGGCAUAGUGCACCUUCAGAAACUUUACAGCUCCUCUUAAAACCUCAGGCAUCGUAAGCACAUUAAGCAGCCGACAACACUCUUCUUCAUUUCUUCAUUGUCAAUUUCCUUCUUGGAACAUUGCUCCAUUGAGAGUCUGCUAGAAUUGCUCCAAUUAUUAUUAUUAUUUAAAAAAAAAAGAAAACCCUGCAAUAAGAGUAUAAGACUAAGCAACGGUCCUUUUUUUUUCCCCAUUCUUGAACCUAAAGUAUUUGAGUAUGCAAAUUAAUAAAUAAAUUCAUUUAUUUUUAUUAAAAUUUUGUAAAAUUAUAAUUUUUAAUAAAAAUAAUUAUUAAAAUUUUGUAAAAUCUAAAUUUAGAAAAAUUCAGUUGGGCACCUCUAUUUGAGAUUUAUUUUUUAUUAAAUUUAGGGAUAUUUUUAUAAUUAUAAUUUUUAAUUUUAAAAGUUUUUAUAAGAUAAAAUAGUCUUUUAAUUUAUUUAGGGGGUAAAAUUGGUGUUUUAUUAAAAUUAUUUAAUUGUGUUAAUGCAAAAGUGGCUAUUUGAUACAAAUGUGAAAAGAAAGGUGGUGCAAAAUAUAUGUUAAAAUUUUAUAUUGGUUGGAUGAACAUAAGCUAAAAUAAAGGUGGUGCAAUGAUAAUUUCCCUAUCCUAAAACUUAAUUGACUUAAUUCUUACGGUGCAAGGAAGAGGUUUCCAAGUUUAAAUCUAAAGGCUUGUAUUUAAUUUGGGGUUGGGAAAGCACUGAGAAAUAAAUGUAACUAAGGAAAAAAAAAAAGUCACGCAGUCCAAAUAAGUAGAUAUAUUUAAUAUGAGGUGGGGAUGGGUGAACUGUAAUUCAGAAAAAAAUAAAAUAAAAUUUUAUAUAAAGUUGAGGGUGUGUUUUAAUGGUUUCUUAUGCUGCGUUUAUUUUUUGGACUAGAGUGAGAAUUCUAAAAAGUGAGAAUCCUAUGAUUAGGUGUGUGGAGUGGGAGUGGGAGUAUGGUAUUUACUUAGACUAAAUAAAAGUAUGGAUUGUCAAUCAGAAUCUCAAUUAUUUGUUACUUUGUCUUGGAUUGAGAGUAAAUUAUUUUAAAUUACAAUUUUAUCCUUAUGUAAAGAAUUAUAAUUUGUAAUUAAAAAAUUAAUAAAAAUAUAUUGGAAAAUAAAAUAAAUAUUUUAUUAUAUUUAUAAAAUAAUAAUAAUUAAUAAAAUUCUUAAUUAUGUAAAUCAUAAUUUUUUAUUAAUUUAAAUUUAAAUUAUGUGAAUAAAAUUAUUAAUAAUAGCAACACAAAUGAAACAUUAUUAUUAAUAAUAUAGUAUAAAAUUAAUAUUUUUUUAGAAUAAAAUAUUUAUUAUUAUUAAAUAAAUAAAUAAUAUUUAUUAAAAUUAAUGUUUAAUAUUAUUAAUUUAAAUAUAAUAUUUAUUUAUUUUUAUUUUAUUUUAUUAAAUUUAAUAAAAUAAAUAUGUUAUAAUUAUUAUUUUUAAUAAAUAUGAUAUUAUUUAUUUUAUUAAAUAUUAUUUAUUUAUUUUAAUUAUGAGGGUAAAAAUGGAAGAGGGGGAGUGGAUUCCCACUCCCACCUCCCCCCAUGGGAGUGGGAAUCCCACUCUCCCCUUAAAAAUGGUAAGUAAAUAUUAGAAUGGGAAGAAUCUACACUCUACACUUUCUAGAAAAUAAACACUACCUUUAUUUAAAUCGAUUUGUUGGAUAUUUAGCUAAAAUGAGAGUAGCUCUCUAAUAAUUAUUGCAUUAUUACAAACAUAUCCAACGGUUAUAAUAGCGCGCUGAAUCAAUGCUUCAGAAGGAUGACAGUCUGAGUGAAAAGGAAAUAAACGCUUUCAAUUGAAUUACUACCACUACACUCCAAUACUCUAUUAUUGUUUGUGUGCUUGCUUGUGGACCUUUUUACUUCUUACUAUCAUUAUUGAAUUCCAUUUCCAAAUUUUCAGCAUACUUUUGCUUUCUUUCAGUAUCUUCAGUUUCUCUUUUGCUUGCUAUCAAUUCAGUUUUCUUCUUGUGAAGAUCGAACGGAACCAUGGUUGCUGUGGGAGAGAUCUUACUCAACGCCUUCUUUCAGGUGUUGUUUGACAGGUUGGCUUCCCGUGAUUUGCUCAGCUUUGUCCGUCAACUUGGAGGCGGGGACGAUUCCGAGCUCAAGAAGUGGGAAAGAAAGCUGAAGAUGAUUCAGGCGGUGCUCAACGAUGCAGAGGAGAAGCAACUGACCGACGAGGCCGUGAAGAUGUGGCUGGACGAUCUCCAAGACUUGGCUUAUGACGCUGAGGACAUUCUUGAGGAGUUUGCUACUCAAGCUUUGGAAAGCAAGUUGAUGGCGAAAAAUCAGGAUCGCAUUGGCCAGGUUCUUAGUUUCAUACCGGCUAGUUUGAAUCCGAAUGCUAUUAUGUCCAAUUAUAGCAUGGGAUCCAAGAUUAAAGAUAUUACUAGCCGGUUGGAGCAACUCUGCCAAGAUAGAAUUGAACUUGGGCUGCAACGGAUUGCUGGAGGGGCAUCAUCAACUACUUCUGCUGCACAUCAGAGGCGAGACAGUUCGAGUGUCCCAACAGAACGUGAAGUAUUUGGAAGAGAAGAAGAUAAGGCCAAAAUUCUUGAUAUGGUAUUGACCGAUACCCCAAGUGAUCGUGCCAACUUUGUUGUAAUACCCAUUGUUGGCAUGGGCGGGAUAGGAAAAACAACUCUUGCCCGGGAGGUCUACAAUGACAAGGCCGUUGAAGAUUCCAAGUUUGAUGUAAAAGCAUGGGUUUGUGUCUCUGAUGUCUUUGAUAUUUUGGGCAUCUCAAAGGCACUUCUCCAGUCAAUCACCUCCGCAGCUAGUGAUCUCAAGACUUUAAAUGAGGUGCAGGUUCAACUGAAAAAAGCAGUUGACGGAAAAAGAUUCUUGCUGGUCUUAGAUGAUGUUUGGAACGAGAACUACAACUUGUGGGAAGACUUAAAAGCUCCGUUCCUGGAUGCUGCACCAAACAGCAAGAUGAUCGUCACCACACGCAAUUCAAGUGUUGCAUCAACAAUGAGACCCAUUGAACAUUUCAAUCUCAAGAGUCUGUUGGAUGACGAUUGCUGGUCCAUUUUUAUAAAGCAUGCAGUUGAAGGUGGAGAUCUUAACGAGGAUCAAAUUUCAGAAUCAUUCCGCAAGAAAGUUGUUGGCAAGUGUGGAGGCUUGCCUCUGGCAGCAAAAACUCUCGGGGGCCUUCUGCGUACGACGAGGCAUGAUGGGUGGGAUGGUAUAUUGGAUAGCAAAAUAUGGGAAUUACAUCAACAUAGCAGCAUUCUCCCUGUGUUAAGAUUGAGUUACCAUCAUCUUCCGUCUCAUUUGAAAAGAUGUUUUGCUUUUUGUGCCAUCUUUCCAAAAGAUUAUGAAUUCACUGAGAAGGAGCUGACUUUCUUAUGGAUGGCUGGAGGUAUUAUUCGACAGUCAAGAAACAAUGAGCAGCUGGAAGAUUUGGGCAGCAAGUGCUUUGGUGAUCUAGUGUCAAGGUCAAUUUUUCAACAAACAGCAAUCUCUGAUAGUUCUAAAUUUGUAAUGCACGACCUUAUCCAUGAUCUUGCUGAAUUGGUCUCUGGAGGAACCAUAUUUAGGUCAGAGGAGGCCAAUACUCUAUCAAGAAGAUUUGAAAGGGUUCGCCAUUCUUCCUAUACCCGUGAUUGGUAUGAUGGUAAAAAUAAGUUCGAGGUUUUCAAUGAAAUUGAACAUCUACGAACAUUCUUGCCGUUAAGAGGUAACUAUUGUACUAGUUACAUAACUCGACCGAUUCUAUCUGAUAUGCUGCCAAAGUUCAAAAGGUUGAGAACGCUAUCUUUACAAGGAUACUGUAUUGGUGAGUUACCAAUUCCAUUUGAAGAUUUGAGACUUUUAAGGUUCCUCAACCUUGCUGACACUGACAUAAGAAGUUUACCUGACUCAACAUGCAAAUUGCUGAACUUGGAAAUUCUGAUAUUAAGAAAUUGUUCCCGUUUGAUAAAGCUUCCGCAGAAAAUGAGGAAUUUGAUCAAUUUAUGCCAUCUGGAUAUAAGAGGUGCGAAGUUGCUGAAGGAGAUGCCAGUCGGAAUGAAAGAGCUGAAGAAGCUUCAAACAUUGUCCAAUUUUAUUGUAGGCAAGGGUGAAUCCGCAUCUGGUUUGGAAGAUUUAAAAAGUUUAAACCUUCUUUGUGAUGAACUUUGCAUUGCUGGAUUAGAGAAUGUGAAUAAUCCACAGAAUGCAAGAGAAGCCGCAUUAUGUGAGAAGCACAAUCUUGAAGCAUUGACUCUAACAUGGUGGCCUCAAUUUGACAGUCCUCGAGGUGUAGUAGUGGAAGAGAAUGUACUUGACGUUUUGCAGCCUCAUAAAUGUAUAAAAAAGGUGGCAAUCAGGAACUAUGGUGGUGCAAGAUUUCCACCUUGGAUAGGAGAUACUUUAUUCUCCAAGAUAGAGCUCCUUGAAUUGAAGAACUGUGACAAUUGUGUGUCUUUGCCAUCGCUUGGCCUAUUGAGUUCACUUAAACACCUUGCUGUUAAAGGGCUGAAGAAACUAAAAAGCAUAGAGUCUGAGGUUUAUGGGGAGGGUUUGUCAAUGCCUUUUCCAUCGUUGGAGGUUCUAAGUUUUGAGAAUUUGCCUGAAUGGGAGUAUUGGGACACCAAUAUCAGAGGAAAUGUGCUCGUUGAAAUGUUUCCUCGUCUCCAUAAACUUUCCAUUGUGGAAUGUCCAAAACUCUCUGGGGAACUGCCUGAGCUCCUGCCCUCCUUGGAGACACUUGUUGUUAUUAAAUGUGAAAAUUUGGUAGUUCCAUUGUCUCGCUAUCCGAUGCUCUGCAGAUUAGAAGUUGAUGAGUGCAAGGAACUAGCGUGCGGGACUCCAAUUGAUUUCAAGUUGAUAAAGUCUGUGACUAUUUCAAAUAGUUCCUUAGACAUGGAUGGAUGCAAGGGGAUGCUAUACGAUGGUCCAGCUAGCUCUUCACUGCCAAAGCCCACGAUUACUACAAAUGUUUUGGAGUUUGGAAAAUUAUUGAAGCCUGGAUUUCAGAUAUUAGAAACGUUGGUAAUUGGCAAUUCUGAACAGCUCAAGUCAUGGAGGCAGCAUGGGGAUUUUCUAGAAGAAUAUAUGGUCGCUCGCCAAAGGUUUAAGAAACCAGUACAAGGGCUGAAUAUGCUCGCUUCCCCUGAAGAGGUAACAAUUGAAGAAAGUUGCGUACGUCUUGUUUUGUUUCCAGAGAUCAAUUUCUUUCCCAGAAAUCUGCGCUCUCUUCUAAUUAACAACAACACUGCUUUCAAAUCCUUACCCGAGGAAAUGAUGGAAAACAAUUCACAACUCGAAAGGUUGUAUAUCAGAGAUUGCGACUCUCUAACAUUCAUCGCAAGACGGAGGCUACCAGCAUCUCUUAAAAGGCUUGAGAUAGAAAAUUGUGAGAAAUUGCAACGUCUGUUCGAUGAUGAAGAGGAUGCUUCUUCUUCUUCUUCUCCUUCAUCCUCGUCUUCCCCAGUGAUGCUGCAACGCCUGAAUAUAAAGAACUGCCCAGAGCUCACCAGUUUAUCAUCGGGUGUCCAAUUCCUUGAGGCGCUUGAAGGCCUCGAGAUAUGGGAUUGUCCAAAGCUGGAGUCAAUACCGGAUGGCCUGCACAAUCUUAAAUGUUUACAGAGCAUUCAUAUAGAUGGAUGUCCAAGUCUUGUUUCCUUGCCCAAUGACAUGCACAAACUGAACUCUCUUCGAGAUUUAAACAUACGGGCGUGUCCAAUAUCGUUUCCAGAAGAAGGUUGUCCUACCAAUCUAACAUCACUUACACUUGGAUAUGUCGAAAUGUAUAAGACACUCGUCCAGUGGGGGUUGCACAGGCUUACCUCUCUUAGAAGCCUCGACAUUUUUGGAUGUGAUGAUGAAGCAGAGUGUUUUCCAGACGAGGAGAUAGGAAUGACGCUGCCCACCUCUCUCACUCAUCUGCACCUUUUUGAUUUCGAAAAAUUGAGAUCUCUGUCUUCGACGGGUUUUCAGAGCCUCACCUCUCUUCAAUCUUUGGAUAUCUGGUUUUGCCCAAAUCUCACAUCAUUCCCAAAGGUGGGCUUUCCAUCCUCACUUGUGGAAUUACGCAUUAGAGAUUGUCCAAAGCUUAAAAAAGCGUGCAAAAGAGAUCAAGGAAAAGAGUGGCCCAAAAUUGCUCACAUCCCUUGCGUUGAGAUAGACGAUAAAUUCAUAUACCAUCCAAAAUCAGAGGUGUAGAGUGUAUUAUUAAGGUCAGUUGAUUUAUGUUAUCCACCAUAACAAGCUCCUCCUUUUUUUUUAAAUAAUAAUUUUGCAGUCACUCGCGUGAUUCCGUUUUCACAAGUCAGAUUGUAUGUUGAGGCUAUUUGCCUUUUAAUCGCAGAUUAAAUUAUAACACUUAUCUUAAAAUUUAAUACCAUAGACAGAUAGACGAUUUUUUAAUCCAAAGUUUUUUUAUUCACUUCAGUUAGCAUUUUUUUUUUCCCCAAAUCAUGCAAGCCGAGAGUUUCAAUCAACAGAAUUUUAUUCACUCAUUGACUUUUCAACUGCUGUGGUUAUUUAUGGGUGAAAGAUAAAUUUCUUAGAUGGUAGAUAUAUCGACAUUUUAGAUUUCAGAUAUUUGUCACCAAUUUCAUUCCUUUUUUUAAAAUUUUUUUUAAGCAAGUUUGACUAAUUUUAACCAGAAUUGGAGUAUAAUAUUUUGGAGCAAGCAUACUUGAAAUUUCUGUCUUCAAUUUUUUUGAUGCUUUUUUAAUUUUGAUCUAGUAAAAAUACAUAGCCUUCACCGGCAGGAUUCUAGUCUUGGCUUUCACCUCUCUAACUCAUCUGUCCCUAUUGGGAUUCCAGAAAUUUAAAUUUCUGUCUUCAAUGGGUUUUCAAAGCCUCACCUCUCUUCGAUUUUUGUGGAUUGGGAAUUGCACAAAUCUCACAUCAUUUCCCGAGGUCGAGGAAAAGAGCGGCCCAAACUAUCAGCGGUGUUGAUUCUCUUAUUAAGGUCAGCUGAUUUCUAUUAUCCACUCUGACAAUCUCCUAUUAGUGUUUUUUUUUUAAAAAAUUUGCAGUUCUGUAUAAUUGAAAUGCCACUCACUUGUUUCCUUCUUCACAGGUCAGAUAGUAUGUUAAAGCUAUUAGUGCUGCCUCAUAGGUUGAUUACUCACAGAUGAAAUCAUAACUUUUAUCUUAAAAUUUAAUAGCAUACACAGAUAGACGAUUUUUAGUCCAAAGUUUUUUUUAUUCACUUCAAUCAAAAUUUUAGAUUGCAGAUUUUUGUCGAGUAUUUUCAUUCCAAUUUUUUCAUUUUUUAUUUUAAACCAGAAUUGGAGUAUAAAAUUUUGGAGCGCGCAUACUCUGAUGCAUGCAAUUAACUGUUUUUAAUCGUUGGAUUUUGAAAUUAAUGAUGGUAAGAUGUGUACUUAUUCUUUCUUCCAACAACCUUGCCUUCUUUCUUCGGUCGCAUAUCUAAUGAAUAUUUCUCUGUUUAGUUAAGGAUGAAUGCUUGGAGUGGGGUACUUGGUAACAUUUCUGCCUUAGAUGAAUCCUUGAAGAAAUGCCCGCAGUUCCUGAGACCAAAUACAGGUCUGAUUCAAAACAGCACCUUUCCCAGAAAAUAUGAUCCAAGGCAAAGUCAUGUUCUGAUAAUGUUUCCUUAAGUACUAAGUUGCAAGGAAACUUGAUUCAUUAACUACAGUUUUUUAUUUUUAGGACCUUGUAUCUGAAAGGUUCAGUGUUUUUUUUUUUCAAAUUUAUUGUUCAGAUCUCAGAGGAGUAUAUGGUUUAGAUUACAAAACACCCAUGAUUAAUUUCAUUUUUUUUUUAAUUUCAGGGAGAAGAAGUGGUCAGUUUCAAUCCGGAAUUGGAAUAUGGCAAUUUGGUUCAAGCAAACACACCUGGUCACUUGGUCAGUGGUCACUUGGUCAGCGAACCUGAACUUUACGCAGUUUUUUCAACUCAGUGAUUUUUGGAACGCAUAUUGGUGUAAGGAAAUCAAAAGAAAUUUAUGCAUUGUCAAAUUCUGAUAUUUGCUAUAUAUUAUACAUUCUAAAGUUUCUCCAGUUUGUUCUCAGAUUACCAUCAUUUUUUGCUUUCACCAACCAAACAAAAACAAAAUGAGUGGCUUUCCGGUGGAUAUUUAAUCGGAGGUAUGACUGGAUUUUUUUCACUUCUGUAAAUCUUGCAUUUUAAACUGGCAAAUUUAACUUUAAUUUUAAUAGGACUUUGUUGGUACCUUGUGUUCCAGAAACUAGAAAGAUGUGUAGUUUUCAGAUAAAGGGGCUUGUAAAUUCUCUAGUAAGAAUCCAAUAAUUUGCUUUUGCACGUUCAUUUUAUUUGUGGAUCCUUGCAUCUGAAUUUGAUCAAUCCAAAAGGAAUUGCUUUUAGACAGAAGAAGAAUAGCAGUACCUAGCCUAUGACAUAGUAUAUGGACCUGCAAACCUGAAACUAUUAGUUUGAGGUAAAAAAUUCAUGACCCUCACAUGUUAACUUCUUCUAGUUACUUUCAUGAAAAACACAUUUAAGAAAUUUGCAAUUUUUUGUUAGUUUCGUAUCCGAUGUUGUUUUCUGUUUUAGCAUUUGUAGAAUCUACUGUAUUAUAUUUUGGCAGUUGCAGUAUCUGAGGUAUGUUUUGCAUUUAACUUGCUUUGUUUGUUUUGCUUGUGACUUAAGAACACCAAUAUUUGCCAGAGAUUUAGAGAAGCAUAUCAAGAUGCUUGGCAAACUUGACAAACUUCAAGAUCCUCCAUUCUUCACAACGCAAAACUUGUGAGUACACCUAUGCCCGCAAUUAUUGUGAAAUGCUUGCAAUUUUGAUGCACUGAAAUGGUUUGUUGAUGCAAAGGUUUAAACUUUUAAGAUUCACCCUGCAGGGUAGUUGGAUGCUGUAUAAUCGAAAAGCGACCAACAUCAAGAAUUAUGACUCCAAGACCGGGUUUGCAUUAAUUCAAUCAGCUGAAAUCAUGAUGCAAAUGACACUAUCAGCUGGACUUAGAGACCAGUCAGAUCAAUCAUCCUUUUAUCAACAGUUAAUGUCAUGAUGGUGGCUAUCGGAGGAAACAAAGGAUGUGUCGGAAUCAAUAUGAACAGUGAGAAGAAUGAGAGGAGCUUUGAUUACAAGUAGGCUCAAUGAACUCAUGCUGGUAAGUGGUAAUUAAAGAAAUUUGUACGCUUAGUAGAGUUUCAAUAUUUUCUGUUUGGGAUAUAGUUGAUAAUUUGAUACUCUGAUUAAGAAGCCUGAUUAUAGUAGCUGACUUUUUUUUUGUGGUUUGCUGUUGUUUAUUCUUUCGAUUAAUUUCAACAUUAGGUUGAUCUGUUGAAGAACAAACUUGGGUUUGAUUAUGCUUUAACUACAAGGAAGAGCCAGGCUUGGAUGCAGGCGUUCAGCUUUUAAUGGGUAAGAACAUAUGUAUGCUUUAACCAUGUUUCUCACUUAUUACAAUGCAUGCAUUGAAGGCAUCUGAGCUGAUCCUGAAAAUGUGAUGGAAAUACUUCUCUGUUUACAUAAAACAGGACAAGAGAUCUCUGAUCAUGCCUGAGAAUUCGUUGCAUUUAAAAUUUCUACCAUUGCCAAAAAUAGAAUAAACUAGGGAUAGAUUAGCUUAAGACUCAAUUUUGAGAAGGAAGUUUGCACAUGCAGCCUAAAAAAUCAUGUCCGUGUUGUAUACUUGUAUGUUUCUUUGGGAAAUGAAAGAUUCUGUGUGUUCUUUUGUUUCAAGUUUGCUGAAAUCACAUUUGUUUUCUUAGAUGCUUUUGGGAAGGUAACAACAUCAAUUUCAUAAAUGCUGGGGUAAGAUGCAUCACGCAGUGCUACUCAACAUGAGAAUUCCCGGCCGCAUUACCUGUAUGUUGAGUGAUCGCACAGUACAACCUUUAGAAGCUUGUAAGGAGUAGACAACUAGAUGCGAAUAGUUUCAAUAUGGAUUCGCAUCAAAUGAUCUCUUGCCAGUGAUUACUAUAACCCCUAUCCCAAAAUUCUUGGCAUUGGUCAUACCAAUAAUGAAGUAUUGUGUACGUUGAAGACAUAGCUCAAGGCCUUGCGAAAGCUCCGUCAGCCUUUGUAUUGGAAAACAGUUGGUUGUAGUUGCUUCUGAGUGAUAUUAUUAAUAGAUACUGUAAAAAUGAACUGUGCCACUCAUUUUCAGAGCCCUGUUAAGAUGUGUUGGUAAUGUGUUUGAAGGUUGUUUGAUUUAUGUUGUAUUCAGCUACAAAUCAAAGAUUCAGAACAUGGUUAUGUUACUGGUUUCCAAAUCAAAAAAAUGCCUUGUGAUGUUAGUGUUCAUUUUUUUCACAGGAGAUCAGGUUCCCUGUUGAUGAAUCAAGAAGGCAAACGCAUCCAUGUCUUAAGUUCAAAUGUGUCUCUUCUAUUUUCUAUUACUGACUCCUUUAUUUUGAUUUCUUCAUUGUAAUGGAAUUGGUUUUUUAUUCCAAAUUAGUCAAAACCUCCUAGAGUCAUUAAGUUCUGUUAGCAUUUGAAGAUAGAACUAGAACUAAAUGAUUGACUGGAUUAAAUUCCGAUAAAGAAUUAAGUUAUAUAUUUAGAGAUAUUAUGUUUUUUUUUUUUUCAUUUGUUCAAUUUGGUUAGUGGUGAUUUCUUAAAGACUCAAUCCAUGUGCGUUUAUGCAUUUUUCUUUUGCCUUAAUUUCUGUUUCUUGGGGAGUUUAUACAGAUUCUUAUUUUAUGCUUCACAUGCCACAUGAAAGAUCGAAGCCUUUUGUGUGAUUAGAACUGACUUGCAUCACAGUAACUUUAAAUCACUGCGACAUUUUUAUAAUAACAGUCUGAGAUCUCCCUGCAGGAUUCAAAGCAUUUUAUUUUAUAUUAAACUCCUUUACGUGGGUUUGGACACUACCACAAGUUCUUUAAAUACUAAAACGAUUUUAAGUCUUUUGUAUCAUCUGAUUUAAAUACAUGAAAGCACUCGUGGCUGCAAAAAUACAGUUGGGGCUAUUUCUAAAGUCUUCAACAGCAUUUUCUUUUUAACCUUUAUCCUCAUGGUUGUUUUUGCAGUUGUUCUUUAAGAAAACAUUUAAAAGGUUCUCUUUAUGGAUUUUUGAAAAUAAUUUUAACAUGAGCAAUUUUCAGAAGCACUUUAGAUGUCUGGCAUUUAGGAAAUUUUAUUUCGGUGUCACAUAAAAUACUUAGGAAGUUAAAUUUAUUUAUUUAUGAGCAUGUGCCAGUGCCCAGUGGCAUCCUCUUCACUUGUGAUAGUCAAAUGUAUUAUACGAUACAAUAUUAGCUUGACUGUAGCACAGAGGAGAAUAGGGUUGGUGUUGGUCUGAACCAGCUUAUGUAACAGCUGCCAAAGGAUAAUUUAAUUGUACUUUGAGUAAAGCUUUUGCGAAUUAAACAAGUGAUAAUUUGUUUUUAUUAAGAAAAACUUAAGGAAUUAGGCUAUUUUAACUGACCAAAUUACACAUUAAAAAUUCAUUUACAAAAAUAGUUUUUAGUUAUUAAAAUAUUCCUAAAUUAAAUUAUAAUUAUGGACACUAAAAUAUUUUUUUUAUAUUUUACUCUUUGAAACUGUCUUUAUAUUCGAUAUUAUAUUUUUUUCUUAAACUCUAAAUUGAUUUUUUUUUUUGAUUAAUUUUAAAACACCUAUAAAGUGAUUCAUAUUGAUUUUAUACUAACAAACUAUUAUAGCACAUUCGAAAAAUAAUUAAAUCGUUCUUAUUUACAUAGUGAAAAUGCAAAUAGCUCGUUCAAAUGUUAAGGAAUUGGAGAGCUGCUGCUGGAGAUGAAAGAUGUGAAUUAAACAUCAGAAAAAAAAUUAUGUUUACUAUCUUGCCAGACCAAGCACCGAAAAGCAUCGUAAAGAAAAAUUAGAUAAUUUAGAAGAUAAAGCACGUGGAAUGGAGGCAGAAAGCAAGUAAUGAUAACUCUUUCGACAAACUAAUAUAUACCAAAAUGCAAUAUCAAAAAUGAAAAUAAAAAUUCAUUACGAAUACGUGUUAAAGAUAUCCCAAGUAUAGAUGUGACUGAAAUAUUUGAGAUUGAAGAAGAAUUAAGACUCAAAAUCAAUUGGGAGGAAUAAAUGAGAAACCUCAAUACCAAAAAAUACACGCGCAAAUCCUAAUACUAAUUGUAAUUGCAGAUAAAUAGCAUAAUACGAAUAAAUUCCAUGGGCAACUAUUUCAUUGAGAAAUUAAUUAAAUCGUGUAUUAAUAUUUUGUAUACAUAUAUUUUUCUAUAUAUGACUUUCGGUAAUUUAAUUUUCCACUUAUCAUUUUUACUCCAAAAAAAUAAUUGAGAAUAUUAUUUAUGUUUUGGUGCAAAAUAUUUGAACAAUAUACAAAUUUUCAGUUUAAUAAAUCUAAACAUCUAUUAAGUUAUAAAUGAAUUUAAUGGGUUUAAUUAAUAAAAUUACUAUUAUUAUAUAAAUUGGAUUUAGUAAUGGUACAUUGGGUGGGUUUGUUGAGUAAAUUUUAAAAUUUUGAAAUUUAAGGAUGGGUUUAUUUAGUAAAUGAGUUAAGGGAGUAGUUUGUUGGGAUUCACAUAACGCCACCAAAUUCAAAUGUAAAAUUUAUGGAAAAAGAAGCUAUUGAGUUAUUCUUUUUAAAAAAAGAAUUAAAAUGUCAAGAAUACCUUUAUUUAAUUUUAUAAUCUUAUUUUAUAGUCAUAUUUUAUUUCCACCUUAACAUAAUUUUAAAAAACCUUAACUAAUAAAUUCUAUAUUUUUUUUAUAAAAGUUAUCAUUAAUAUCCAAACGGCUAAAGAUUUUUUUUUUUAAAAAAAAAGAAACUAUGCUUACAAAAGUUGUAUACAUUAACAAUAAAUUUAGUCCAAAGAAUAAAGUUAUUCCAAACAAGCACUCCUAUUCAUCUUGCUAAUGAAUCAAGAUGACUGAAUCCAUUCUCUAAGCCAAAUCUAUUUUCACUUCUAGGUCAGAAAUUGUCAUUAAAAAAGUGUUUGAUAAAAUAUGCUCUGGGAACACUAAUUCGUCAGAUGGUUACUCCAAGUUUAUGAAAUCAAUGGGGUUUCAUCAUAUUCAUAACAUUCUUCUUUAAUGUCUAUUCUAACAAAGAAAUUACUAGAAAACUUUUACUAGAAAAACUAACCACAAUUCAUCAUUCAUUUAUAUCUUAAGUAAGCGUAAGAUUUUAUCAUUAAAAUCUCAUCAUGAAAAAACUCAUGGGAGAAAAACUAUAAAAAUUGAAGAAAAAAGAGUAUGGCGUGCAUGUAAAUUAUAUCGAUUUUAUCUAUAUGACAAAUAAGACUCUCUUUUACAAUGGCACGGAUGCUUCAUUGAGUAAUCAUGAUUCUUGCUGGUAGUGCUUUGUUGUAUCAAUCUGCUAGCUAUUCAGCUUUCUUUCUUUCUUUCUUCUUUUUAUUUUUUUUGUUUUCAAAUAGCUUGUGGUUGUAGAAAUAUUUCAAUUAAACUAUACUUAAGUACUUAUUUGGUAUAACUUCUUUACUAGCCAAAAGAUUUUUUUUUUGGUUUUUUAUAAUUUAAUUAUACUUUAACUAGAGUUUUUGGGAUUAAACAAGUGAUAAUUUCUCUCUGUUAAGAAAAACUCAAACGGUAGGGUUAUCUCAAUCCACCAAACUAUUUAUUAAAAAUCCACUUAUGAAAAUAAUUUUUAAUUAUUAGAAUGCCUCUAAAUUAAAUUACAAUUAUAGACACUAAAAUAUAGUAAAAAAAAUUUUUUUUUACUCUUUAAAACUGUCUUUACAUUCGAUAUCAUAUCUUUUUCUUAAAAUCUAAAUUGAUUUUUUUUUUAUUAAUCUCAGAACACAUAUGAAGUGAUUCAUAUUGGUUUUAUACUAACAAACUAUCAUAGCACAUUCGAAAAUAAUUAACUCGUUCUUAUUUGCAUAGUGAAAAGGCAAAUAGUUCAUCCAAAUGUUAAAGAAUUGGAGAGCUGCUGCUGGAGAUGAAAGAUGUGAAAAGCAUGGUAAAGAAAAAUUACAUAAUUCUCACUUAGAUGAGGAAGAAAAAAAAAAGAAUACAAUUAGAAUGAGAGGUAGCCAAUAGCCACUAGCCGCCGCCACCGCCACCAGUGAAACUAUUUCACAUAAUAGAAGAUAAAGCACGCGUAAUGGAGGCAAAAAGCAAUUAAUGAUAACUCUUUUCGACACACUAAUACAUAUCAAAAUGCAAUAUCGGUCCUAACAAAAUGAAAAUAAAAAUUCAUUACGAAUAUGCGUUAAACAUAUCCCAAGUAUUGAUGAUGUGAUUGAAAUAUUUGAGAUUGAAGUAUAAAUAAGACUCAAAAUUAAUUGAGAGGAAUAAAUGAGAAACUCUAAUACUAAUAAAAUACAUUCACAAAUCCUAAUGCUAAUUAAAAUCACGGAUUAAAAAAAAUAAUAUGAAUGAAUUACAGGCGCAACUGUUUCAUUAAGAAAUUAAUUAAAUCGUGUAUUAAUAUUUUGUACACAUACAUUUUUCCAUAUAUAACUUUUGGUAAUUUAGUUUUCCACUUAUCAUUUUACUCCAAAAAAAUAAUUGAGAAUAUUAUUUAUGUUUUGGUGCAAAAUAUUUAAACAACGUAUAAAUUUUCAGUUUAAUAAAUCUAAACAUUUCUCAAGUUGUAAAUGAAUUUAAUGGGUUUAGUUAGUAAAAAUGCUAUUAUUAUAUAAAUUGGGUUUAGUAAUGGUAUAUUGGGCAUUUAAAUGGGUUUGUUGAGUAAAUUUUAAAAUUUUAAAAUUUAAGGGUGGGUUUAUUUUAGUAAAUGGGUUAAGGCAGCAAUUUCCCAAACUAAAAUUUUUAGAAAAAGAGGCUAUUUAGUUUUUUUUUUUAAAAAGAAUUAAGAUGUUGAGAAUACCUUUAUUUACUUUUAUAAUCUUAUUUUAAAAAAUUUACCCAAUAAAUUUUAUAAUUUUUUACAAAAAUUAUCAUUAACAUCCAAACAGCUAAAGAUUAAAAAAAAAAAAAAAGAAGGGAACUGUACUAGCAAAAGUUAGAUUAACAAUAAAUUUAGUCCAAAGAAUAAAGUUAUAGCUAAAAAGUGCUCCUAUCCUAUUUUUCUCUAUUUUAACAAUAAUCUUCCAAUCCAUUUUACAAUGGACUUAACAAAUGGGCUCAAUCUCUAAACUUCAUUUUCUUUUGCUAACCCAUGGCCAUUAGCCAGAAAGCCUAAAACAAUUUUAGGAUCACAUGUGUAAAUGGAACUCCAAGAUUGAUCAAGAAUUAACAAGACAAGAUGAAGAGAUGAUCUUGUAACUAAGAAUGAAGAAAUUGAAUCAAGACAGUACUCUAGUAAAACCCAGAAAACAGAGCUUGAAGAAUCACGCACAAAGCAGUAAAUUUGUAAAACCAGAAUUGGAGCUUCACUUCUCAAGAUAGACGAAACAGGAUACAAUCUAGCUUUGGUCAACUUCGUUUGGCCACGUCAUAAAGUCUUCCCCCACAGUCUUUCCCGCCAAAACAGAAAAGCUUUAAAAGCCAUUUACCCUCCUGAGUUACUUGCUCCUAUUACAUCAAGGCCCUGUAAGUCUAUAUUUAUUAUUACAAAAGCACCCUUAAACCGAGAUUUGAGAUAUUUUUUCAAAGAUCGAAGCGCAUGAUUUCACGGCUAUGUUGCAUAGUGAAUUUUAGUGCUUUACAGUUAAGGGAUAGUUUAAAUUCAUUACAAAGCAUUCGCAAAGAAAUUGUUUUUAAAUGAAACUCCUCGUCUUGACCAGAUUAUUUAUUAUUAUUAAAAAAAAAUGUUCAAAACUUAGCCAAAGUGAUAAACUCGUAAUUAUUCUACAAAGGGAACAAUUUUGAACGGUGGGAAAUUCCAUAAUUAUGCUUUUCUGUGAAUUAUUUUAAAUAAAAUUAUAAAAAUUAAUAUAAAAUUAUAAUAAUGAUAGAGCCACAAAUUCUUGUACAAAUUUAUUUUAUACAAACUCAUGUGGCAUGAUAAGAUUGGUUGAAUUAAAUAUUACUUGGCCCACAUGAUUUGUUUUUAUUAUUUUAUAUUUUUAUUCAACCAAUAAAUUAAUACCACGUCAGUUUGUACAAAAUAAAUUUAUACAAAAAUUUGUGACUCGAUCAUCACUCAUAAAAUUAAUACCCGGUAAAGACUGUAGAGAGACAAGUGCCCCCAACAGAAUCAAGUGAAUAUGCCCCACAAAGAUCACAUGAUCAUUUCUGUUCUUUUUCUUUUUGAUAAUUUUAUCUGUGGUUUCAACUUUUAUGCUUUAUUGUCGUAUCCCGUUGAGGGCUCCGCUGCACCCAUUACAACUUACCCCUAAAUUGCCUCUUACUAACUAAACCGUUAGAUUUUAUGGAAGCACGUUCAAUGUUGAAUUUUAAUUAUGUCAUCGAAUUUCGUUUAGCUCCUUAAACUCCAUUUUAUUUGUAAUUUCUUCAUAAAAUAUUCAAAGCUUCAUCAAGCUCCUGAUGGACCAUCAUGGCUAGGGGUGCAUUAGAGCCGAACUGAAAUAUGUUAGUUCAGUUCAGUUUGGUCAGUUUAAAUCGAAUGGUUUAGAAUAUAUAAACUGAUCAAUUUUAAUUUUGAAUUGAACCGAACCGAAAAUCAAUUGGUUCACUAUUAGUAUUUUUGUAUAAACAAGAAUGAUUAGUGAUUAUAAUUAAAUUGGACUAAAAAAAAUUCAAACUAAGGUGAAAAAUAUCAAAUCUUAGACAAUAUAAAAAAAAAUAUUAAAUUUUUUUAACCGAAACGAACCGAAUUAUUUUGACUCAGUUUGGUUCAUAAUUUUUUAAACCAAACUGAUUUAUUCCCACCCCCUAAUCGUGGCUCUCUAUCUUUAGUCAUUCACCCUUGAGUUUGAUGCCAAUUGUUGGGUUUCAAAUGAUUAUACACUCAAAUGGAACCCUCAUAACAAAAAACUAACAGAAACAAUAAGAACACGAUGUUAAAAUCUUAAAUCAAUCGCAACGGUCCUUUUUUUUCCCCAUUCUUGAACCUAAAGUAUUUGAGUAUGCAAAUUAAUAAAUAAAUUCAUUUAUUUUUAUUAAAAUUUUGUAAAAUUAUAAUUUUUAAUAAAAAUAAUUAUUAAAAUUUUGUAAAAUCUAAAUUUAGAAAAAUUCAGUUGGGCACCUCUAUUUGAGAUUUAUUUUUUAUUAAAUUUAGGGAUAUUUUUAUAAUUAUAAUUUUUAAUUUUAAAAGUUUUUAUAAGAUAAAAUAGUCUUUUAAUUUAUUUAGGGGUAAAAUUGAUGUUUUAUUAAAAUUAUUUAAUUGUGUUAAUGCAAAAGUGACUAUUUGAUACAAAUGUGAAAAGAAAGGUGGUGCAAAAUAUAUGUUAAAAUUUUAUAUUGGUUGGAUGAACAUAAGCUAAAAUAAAGGUGGUGCAAUGAUAAUUUCCCUAUCCUAAAACUUAAUUGACUUAAUUCUUAUGGUGCAAGGAAGAGGUUUCCAAGUUUAAAUCUAAAGGCUUGUAUUUAAUUUGGGGUUGGGAAAGCACUGAGAAAUAAAUGUAACUAAGGAAAAAAAAAAAGUCAUGCAGUCCAAAUAAGUAGACAUAUUUAAUAUGAGGUGGGGAUGGGUGAACUGUAAUUCAGAAAAAAUAAAAUAAAAUUUCAUAUAAAGUUGAGGGUGUGUUUUAAUGGUUUCUUAUGCUGCGUUUACUUUUUGGACUAGAGUGAGAAUUCUGAGAAGUGGGAAUCCUGUGAUUAGGUGUGUGGAGUGGGAAUGAGAGUAGGGUAUUUACUUAGACUAAAUAAAAAUAUGGAUUGUCAAUCAGAAUCUCAAUUAUUUGUUACUUUGUCUUGGAUUGAGAGUAAAUUAUUUUAAAUUACAAUUUUAUCCUUAUGUAAAGAAUUAUAAUUUGUAAUUAAAAAAUUAAUAAAAAUAUAUUGGAAAAUAAAAUAAAUAUUUUAUUAUAUUUAUAAAAUAAUAAUAAUUAAUAAAAUUCUUAAUUAUGUAAAUCAUAAUUUUUUAUUAAUUUAAAUUUAAAUUAUGUGAAUAAAAAUUAUUAAUAAUAGCAACACAAAUGAAACAUUAUUAUUGAUAAUAUAGUAUAAAAUUAAUAUUUUUUUAGAAUAAAAUAUUUAUUAUUAUUAAAUAAAUAAAUAAUAUUUAUUAAAAUUAAUGUUUAAUAUUAUUAAUUUAAAUAUAAUAUUUAUUUAUUUUUAUUUUAUUUUAUUAAAUUUAAUAAAAUAAAUAUGUUAUAAUUAUUAUUUUUAAUAAAUAUGACAUUAUUUAUUUUAUUAAAUAUUAUUUAUUUAUUUUAAUUAUGAGGGUAAAAAUAAAAGAGGGGGAGUGGAUUCCCACUCCCACCUCCCCCCAUGGGAGUGGGAAUCCCACUCUCCCCUUAAAAAUGAUAAGUAAACACUAGAAUGGGAAGAAUCCACACUCUACACUUUCUAAAAAAUAAACACUACCUUAAUUUAAAUUGAUUUGUUGGAUAUUUAGCUAAAAUGAGAGUAGCUCUCUAAUAAUUAUUGCAUUAUUACAAACAUAUCCAACGGUUAUAUAUGCUUGCCUGUGGAAAUAAAAGUCCCAAGUUUCUUUGAAAGGUAAGCUAGUGUGAAUGUUUUCAUCCGUGCAACUUACUUGAUGAAUGAAGUUUUCAUCCCUGACCUUGAUGUUUCUGGUGGCUACAAUCAUUUCAGCUGAUCUAUUCCAUUUUGUUAAGGUGAGAAUUUAGAGUGGCUUUAACUGUUAGCAAAUAGCCUAAUGUAAGACUUGAUCAACUUCCUGCCCUGUUGUAUGCUUAUGAAUUUUGAUAGAGUUAUGAGUUUGCAGAAGCUACUGUAUUAUAUGUUGUUAGAGGCUGUAAAAAUGAGGCAGAUCAAACACACAUUUAAAUUUCAAUGACAAUUUACUAGAAGUAAAUUUCCUAUGACCCUCCAGGUGACUAAUCAAUGAGAACUUGACAAUAACAAAAGAAAGUGUAUGAGCUUUGCAGGCGGGCACGCCAAUCUUGACUGCAUGGCACCAUCCGCCAUUUGCAAGUGAAUAUCAUUAUUGUUUAAUCAACAUGGUGGAGUCCACUGGGACCACACCACAUGGUCAGUCUUAUCUCUAUUCCUCAAUUUUCAGUAUUCCAUACAUCAAAACAAUUUCAGUUUUGUUAUCAAUUAUAAUUUCAUUGUUGGAGACGAUUCUGAUUCCUUUCUUUCUGACAAAACGGAACCAUGGUUGCUGUGGGAGAGAUCUUACUCAACGCCUUCUUUCAGGUGUUGUUUGACAGGUUGGCUUCCCGUGAUUUGCUCAGCUUUGUCCGUCAACUUGGAGGCGGGGUCGAUUCCGAGCUCAAGAAGUGGGAAAGAAAGCUGAAGAUGAUUCAGGCGGUGCUCAACGAUGCAGAGGAGAAGCAACAGACUGACGAGGCUGUGAAGAUGUGGCUGGACGAUCUCCAAGACUUGGCUUAUGACACUGAGGACAUUCUUGAUGAGUUUGCUACUCAAGCCUUGGAAAGCAAGUUGAUGGCGCAAAAUCACGAUAGUUCUGGCCAGGUUCUCAGUUUCAUCCCGGCUGGUUUGAAUCCGAAUGCUAUUAUGUUCAAUUAUAGCAUGGGGUCCAAGAUUAAAGAUAUCACUAGCCGGCUGGAGCAACUCUGCCAAGAAAGAAUUGAACUUGGACUGCAACGGAUUACCGGAGAGGCAUCAUCAACUGCUGCUGCUGCUGCACACCAGAGGCCACCCAGUUCGAGUGUCCCAACAGAACGUGAAGUAUUUGGAAGAGAAGAAGAUAAGGCCAAAAUUCUUGAUAUGGUAUUGGCCGAUACCCCAAGUGAUCAUGCAAACUUUGUUGUAAUACCCAUUGUUGGCAUGGGCGGGAUAGGAAAAACAACUCUUGCCCGGGAAGUCUACAAUGACAAGGCCGUUGAAGAUUCCAAGUUUGAUGUAAAAGCAUGGGUUUGCGUAUCUGACGUCUUUGAUGUUUUGGGCAUCUCAAAGGCACUUCUCGAGUCAAUCACCCGCAGGCCUUGUCUUCUAAACAGUUUAAAUGACGUGCAGGUUGAGCUGAAAGCAGCUGUGGAUAAAAAAAGGUUCCUGCUGGUCUUAGAUGAUGUUUGGAACGAGGACUACAGCUUAUGGGUAGACUUAAAAGCUCCGUUACUGGUUGCUGCACCAAACAGCAAGAUGAUCGUCACCACACGCAAUUCAAGUGUUGCAUCAACAAUGAGACCCAUCGAUCGUCACCACACGCAAUUCAAGUAUUACGAUCUCAAGAGUCUGUUAGAUGAUGAUUGCUGGUCCAUUUUCAUAAACCAUGCAUUUGAAUCUACAGACCUUAGCGCACAUCGAAUUUCAGAAUCAUUCCGCGAGAAAGUUGUUGGCAAGUGUGGGGGCUUGCCUCUAGCAGCAAAAACACUCGGGGGCCUUCUUCGUACUAAAACGCAUGCUGAGUGGGACGGUAUAUUGGAUAGCAAAAUAUGGGAUUUACCUCGGCAAAGCAGCAUUCUCCCCGUGUUAAGAUUGAGUUACCAUCAUCUUCCUUCUCAUUUGAAAAGAUGUUUUGCUUUUUGUGCCAUCUUUCCAAAAGAUUAUGCAUUCACUGAGAGGGAGCUGACUUUCUUAUGGAUGGCUGGAGGUAUUAUUCGACAGUCAAGAAACAAUGAGCAGCUGGAAGAUUUGGGCAGCAAGUGCUUUGGUGAUCUAGUGUCGAGGUCAAUUUUUCAACAAACAGCAAUCUCUGAUAGUUCUAAAUUUGUAAUGCACGACCUUAUCCAUGAUCUUGCUCAAUUGGUCUCUGGAGAAACCAUAUUUAGGUUAGAGGAGGCCAAUACUCUGUCAAGAAGAUUUGAAAGGGUUCGCCAUUCCUCCUAUGCCCGUGAUUGGUGUGAUGGUAGAAAUAAGUUGGAGGUUUUCAAUGAAAUUGAACAUCUACGAACAUUCUUGCCAUUUUGCAUAAGAGGUGGCGUUACUUCUGGUUGGAUAACUAGCACGGUUCACUACGAUUUGUUGCCGAAGUUCAAAAGGUUGAGGAUGCUGUCUUUAGAAGGAUACCAUAUUGGUGAGUUACCAAUUCCAUUUGAAGAUUUGAGACUUUUAAGGUUCCUCAACCUUGCUGACACUGACAUAAGAAGUUUACCUGAGUCAACAUGCAAAUUGUUGAACUUGGAAAUUCUGAUAUUAAGAAAUUGUUCCCGUUUGACAAAGCUUCCCCAGAAAAUGAGGAAUUUGAUCAAUUUACGUCAUCUGGAUAUAAGAGGUGCAAAGCAGCUGAAGGAGAUGCCAUUUGGAAUGAAAGAGUUGAAGAAGCUUCAAACGUUGUCCAAUUUUAUUGUAGGCAAGGGUGAAUCUGCAUCUGGUUUGGAAGAUUUAAAAAGUUUAGACCUUCUAUGUGAUGAACUCUGCAUUGCUGGAUUAGAGAAUGUGAAUAGUCCACAGAAUGCAAGAGAAGCCACAUUAUGUGAGAAGCACAAUCUUGAAGCAUUGACCCUAGAAUGGGGGUCUCAAUCUGACAGUCCUCGGGAUGCAGUACUAGAAGAGAAGGUACUUGACACUCUACAGCCUCAUGAACGUAUAAAAGAGCUGGCAAUCAGGAACUAUGGUGGUGCAAGAUUUCCACCUUGGAUCAGAGAUCCUUCGUUUCCCGAGAUGAAGGUCCUUAAAUUGGAGAACUGUGACGAUUGUGAAUAUCUGCCAUCACUUGGCCUGUUGAGUUCACUUAAGCACCUUGCUGUUAAAGGGCUGAAGAAACUAAAAAGCAUAGGGUCUGAGGUUUAUGGGGAGGGUUUGUCAAUGCCUUUUCCAUCAUUGGAGGUUCUAAGUUUUGAGAAUUUGCCUGAAUGGGAGUAUUGGGACACCAAUAUCAGAGGAAAUGUGCUCGUUGAAAUGUUUCCUCGUCUCCAUAAACUUUCCAUUGUGGAAUGUCCCAAACUCUCUGGGGAACUGCCUGAGCUCCUGCCCUCCUUGGAGACACUUGUUGUUAGUAAAUGUGAAAAGUUGGUAGUUCCAUUGUCUCGCUAUCCGAUGCUCUGCAGAUUAGAAGUUGAUGAGUGCAAGGAACUAGCAUGCGGGACUCCAAUUGAUUUUAAGUUGAUAGAGUCUGUGACUAUUUCAAAUAGUUCCUUAGACAUGAAUGGAUGCAAGGGGAUGCUAUACGAUGGUCCAGCUGGCUCUUCACUGCCAAAGCCUAUGAUUACUACAAAUGUUUCGGAGUUUGGAAAAUUAUUGAAGCCUGGAUGUCAAAUAUUAGAAACUUUAGUAAUUGGCAAUUCUGGACGGCUCAAGUCAUGGAGGCAGCAUGGGGAUUUUCUAGAAGAAUAUAUGGUCGCUCACCAAAGGUUUAAGAAACCAGUACAAGGGCUAAAUAUGCUCGCUUCCCCUGAAGAGGUAACAAUUGAAGAAAGUUGUGUGAGUUUUGUUUUGUUUCCAGAGAUCAAUUUCUUUCCCAGAAAUCUGCGCUCUCUUCUAAUUUGCAACAGCACUGCUUUGAAAUCCUUACCCGAGGAAAUGAUGGAAAACAAUUCACAACUGGAAAGGUUGUAUAUCAGAGAUUGCGACUCUCUAACAUUCAUCGCAAGACAGAGGCUACCAGCAUCUGUUAAAAGGCUUGAGAUAGAAAAUUGUGAGAAAUUGCAACGUCUGUUCGAUGAUGAAGAGGAUGCUUCUUCUUCUUCUUCUUCUCCUUCAUCCUCGUCUUCCCCAGUGAUGCUGCAACACCUGAUAAUAGGGAAAUGCCCAAAGCUCACCAGUUUAUUAUCGGGUGUCCAAUUCCUUGAGGCGCUUGAAUUCCUCAAGAUAGAGCAUUGUCCAAAGCUGGAGUCAAUACCGGAUGGCCUGCCCAAUCUUAAAUGUUUACAGAGCAUUUAUUUACUCAAUUGUCCAAGUCUUGUUUCCUUCCCAGAAAGAGGGCUUCCCCACACCAUUUCAUUUGUUUGCAUUUGCGGAUGUGACAAGCUUGAAGCCCUGCCCAAUGACAUGCACAAACUCAACUCUCUUCGACAUUUAAGCAUACAGCUCUGUCCAAAUCUUGUAUCGUUUCCAGAAGAAGGUUUUCCUACCAAUCUAACAUCACUUACAAUUGGAGAUUUCAAAAUGUAUAAGAUACUCGUCCAGUGGGGGUUGCACAGGUUUACCUCUCUUAGACGCCUCUAUAUCGUUGAUUGUGAUGACGAAGCAGAGUAUUUUCCAGACGAGGAUAUAGGAAUGACGCUGCCCACCUCUCUCACUCAACUGGAACUUUCGGGAUUCAAAAAAUUGAUAUCUCUGUCUUCGACGGGUUUUCAGAGCCUCACCUCUCUUCAAAGAUUGCGGAUCUGGGAUUGCCCAAAUCUCACAUCAUUUCCAGAGGUGGGCCUUCCAUCCUCACUUUUGGAAUUACACAUUUACAAAUGUCCAAAGCUUAAAAAAGCGUGCAAAAGAGAUCAAGGAAAAGAGUGGCCCAAAAUUGCUGACAUCCCUUGCGUUGAGAUAGACAAUAAAUUCAUAUACGAUCCAGAAUAAGAGGAGUAGAUUCUACUAUUAAGGUCAGUUGAUUUGUAUUAUCCGCUAUAACAAGCUCCUCCUUUUUUUUUUUUAAAUAAUAAUUUUGCAGUCACUCACGUGAUUCCGUUUUCACAAGUCAGAUUGUAUGUUGAGGCUAUUUGCCUUUUAGUCGCAGAUUAAAUUAUAACACUUAUCUUAAAAUUUAAUACCAUAGACAGAUAGACGAUUUUUUAAUCCAAAGUUUUUUUUAUUCACUUCAGUUAGCAUUUUUUUUUUUCCCCAAAUCAUGCAAGCCGAGAGUUUCAAUCAAGAAUUGGAGCAUGGGAAUGGAAUUUUUGUGAAAACAUAAUGGAUGAACGAACAUUUCAUCUGUGAUCUCAAAGUCAACAGAAUUUUAUUCACUCAAUGACUUUUCAACUGCUGUGGUUAUUUAUGGGUGAAAGAAAGAUAAGGGCAAUUACAAAAAAUUUGCAAAAUUUGUCAAUUUCUUAGAUGGUAGAUAUAUCGACAUUUUAGAUUUCAGAUAUUUGUCACCAAUUUCAUUCCUUUUUUUUUAUUUUUUCAAGCAAGUUUGACUAAUUUUAACCAGAAUUGGAGUAUAAUAUUUUGGAGCAAGCAUACUUGAAAUUUCUGUCUUCAAUAUUUUGAUGCUUUUUUAAUUUUGGAUCUAGUAAAAAUACAUAGCCUUCACCGGCAGGAUUCUAGUCUUGGCUUUCACCUCUCUAACUCAUCCGGCCCCAUUGGGAUUCCAGAAAUUGAAAUUUCUGUCUUCAAGGGGUUUUCAAAGCCUCGCCUCCCUUCGAUUUUUGUGGAUCGGGAAUUGCACAAAUCUUACAUCAUUUCCCGAGGUCGAGGAAAAGAGCGGCCCAAACUUGCUCGCAUCCCUUGGGUUAUGAUAGAUGGAAAAUUCAUAUACGAUCCAGAGUCAGAGGUGUUGAUUCUCUUAUUAAGGUCAGCUGAUUUCUAUUAUCCACUCUGACAAUCUCCUAUUAGUGUUUUUCCCUUUUUUUUUUUCAAAAUUUUGCAGUUCCGUAUAAUUGAAAAUGCCACUCACUUGUUUCCUAUUAGUAUGUUGAGGCUAUUUGCUUUCUAUCGGUGUUUGUUAAGGUAAUUACUCACAGAUGAAAUUAUAACUUUUAUCUUAAAAUUUAUUGCCAUUGACAGAUGGACGAUUUUUAGUCCAAAGUUUUGUUAUUAACUUCAAUCAAAAUUUUAGAUUGCAGAUUUUUGUCAAUUAUUUCAUUUUUUAUUUUUAUUUUAAAGCAGAAUUGGAGUAUAACAUUUGGAGCGCGCAUACUCUGAUGCAUGCAAUUAACUGUUUUUAAUCGUUGGAUUUUGAAAUUAAUGAUGGUAAGAUGUGUACUUAUUUUUUCUUCCGGACAACCUUGCCUUCUUUCUUCGGUAGCAUAUCUAAUGAAUAUUUCUCUGUUUAGUUAAGGAUGAAUGCUUGGAGUGGUCUGAUUCACAACAACACCUCUUCCAGAAAAUAUGAUACAAGGCAAAGCCAUGUUCUGAAGCAGAAAUGAUACAGCAGUUGCGGUACCCGAGGUACCUUUUGCAUUUAACUUGCCUUUAUUUGUUUUGCUUGUGACUUAAGAACACAUCAUUUCCCAGAGAUUUGGAGAAGCAUCUCAAGAUGCUUAACAAACUUGACAAGCUUCAAGAUGCACUUGCUCCCAAGCAUUGAUUCUUCACAAUGGAAAACCUGUGAGUACACUUAUGCCCGCAAUUAUUGUUAAGUGUUUGCAAUUUUGAUGCAGCGAAAUGGUUUGUGGAUGCAAAGCUUUAAAACUGUUAAGAACUACCCUGCAGGCUUGUUGGAUGUUGUAUACUUCAAAAGCCACCAACACCAAGAACUACAACAGCAAGACUAGGUUUGCGUUGCUUCAAUCAGCUGAAAUAAUGAUGCAAAUGACACUAUCAAGCUGGACUUAGAGACUUGUCAGGUCAAUCAUCCAUUUCAUCAACAGUUAAUGUCAUGAUGGUGGCUAUCAGAGGAAACAAAAGAUCUGUUGGAAUCAAUUCAAACAGUGAGAAGCAUGAGAGGAGCAUUGAUUAUAAAUAGGCUCAAUGAGCUCAUGCUGGUAAGUGGUAAUUAAGAAAUUUGUGAGCUUAGUAUAGUUUCAAUUUUUUUCUGUUUGGGAUAUAGUUGAUAAGUUGAUACUCUGAUUAAGAAGCCUGAUUAUAGUAGCUGACUGUGCUAACUGCGUUCUUUUAUUUUUUAUUUUUUUGGUUUGCCGUCGUUUUUUCUUUUGAUUAUUUGUUCAACAUUAGAUUGAUCUGUUGAAGACUACGAGGAAGAUCCAGACUUGGAUGCAGGCGUGCAGCUCGUAAUAGGUGAGAACAAAUGAAUGCUUUAACCAUGUUUCUCACUUAUGACAAUGCACGGAUCAAAGGCAUCUGAGUUGAUCCUGAAAAUGUGAUGGAAAUAGGUCUCUGUUUUCAUAAAACAGAACAAAUAGAGAUCUCUGAUCACGCCUGAGAAUUCAUUGCAUUGAAAUUUCUACCAUUGGCAAACAUAGAAUAAACUGGGGAUACAUUAGCUUUAGACUCUAUUUUGAGGAGGAAGUUUGUACUUGCAGCCUAUAAAAUCAUAUCCCUGUUGUAUGUUUCUUUGGGAAAUGAAAGAUUCUGUGUGUUCUUUUAUUUCAAGUUUGCUGAAAUCACAUUUGUUUUCUAAGAUGCUUUACAGAAGGUACCAACAUCAUUUUCAAAAAUGCUGGGGUAAGAUACAUCGUGCAGUGCUCCUCAACAUGAGAAUUCCUGGCCGCAUUACCCAUAUGUGGAAUGAUCUGAGAGUACAACCGUGAGAAUGUUGUAAGGAGUACACAACCAGAUGUGAGUAGUUUGAAAAUGAAUUCGCAUGGAAUGAUUUCUUGCCAGUGCAGAAAUGGCUUGGUUCAAAAUAUGCUCAGCUUCAUUGACACUCUUCGGUAGGCCUCUCCGUCCUUCCAUUCUUAACUACAAUACUACUCUUGUCUGUCUAGUUAUGGAAUCUCUCUUUUAAUCCUCAAAGUUUGAAUUAUAUUAUAUUGCCUCUGUGUUACCGCAGAAACUGAGUCAGUUGGUGAUCCUUCAAAACAAGAAAAACCAAAAACAGAUACAGCGCGCGAUAAGAUAAUGAGACAGAUGGCUCCCGUUGCUGCAUGCCACUUGCUUGUGUGCGUAUUGGGACCAUCAUCAACAACAUUGACGUAAACCCAGCUCAAGGUGGGAAGCUAGUUCGAGCUGCAGGGACGUUAACCAAGAUUUUGAGAAAGAACCCACUUCAAGGUGUUGCUUAGUUAGGCUACGUUGUGGAAAUGAGAAAGUGAUUGACCCUAGAUGUCGCGCCACCAUUGGUACAGUGUCUAACCCCAGCCAUGGAGCUAAAAAGCUUAGUAAGGCAGGUCAGAGAAGUUGGUUGGGUCGAAGAGCUGUGGUUAGAGGAGUAGCCAUGAUUCCAGUUGAUCACCCUCAUGUUGAACAAAGCAAAAGUAGCGGUAACAAUGGAAGGUGUUCACUCACACCUUGGGGCAAGCCUUGUAAGUCUGGGAAUUAAACUGCAUCUCCUAAGAAGAAAGAGAAAUCAGCUGUCUGAUAAUAUUGUCCUUUUCUGCUAUUUGGUCUUUUUAACAUUGUUACACUGUUUUUACAUCUUUGAGGUUAGUUUUAGACCAAUUUUUAACUGAUCCAUAAUGAAACUGAAGUUUAAUUUUUGAUUAAACUUUCACUGGUUUUACUCUUCUGUCACUUCAAUUUAGCAUUGAUUUAAGAUACUGAAUUCUGUGCUUGGAGCUUGUAAAUUGGAAAGAGAUAUUUUGGGAUAGAAUGUAGAUUUUGUGUUUUGCUUUCUCAAGCUAGUUGUGACUUCUUAAAAGAGUCAAUCCAUGUCUUUAUAUAUUUUUCUUUUGUCUUGAUUCUGUUUCUUCAUACAGAUUCUUAUUUUAUGCUUCACAUACCACAUGAAAGAUGAAAGCCUUUUCUGUGAUUAGAAUUGACUUGCAUUAUAGUAACUUUAAACCACUUGGAUAUUUUUAUAAUAGCAGUCUGAGAUCUCCUUAAAGGAUUCAAAAGCAUCCACUGGCAUCCACUUUACUCGUAUCGGUCAAAAGUUUUGUGCAAUACAAUAUUAGCUUGACUGUAGCGCAGAGGAGAACAGGUUGGUGUUGGUCUGAAUUCUGAUAUUUGAAUAAAUAUAACAGCUCAUGUGACUCCACCACUUUUUACUUGUUCUGUAGUCUGUACCUACCUCCAUUGUCGGCACUGCCCAUACAAGGUCUUUUAGCUUUUUAAAAAGUUUCAUGAUAUUCCAUAGUUCACAUGGAUUUCUACAGUUUGUAGAAAACCUAAUUAGGGCACAUUUAAUUACUAUGCAGAAGAUUCUUUUAUCUUGCUCACCAAUAAUUCUUUGUACUUAUUUGAAAGAUGUGUUUCAAAAAAAUAAAAAAAAACUAUUUGAAAGAUGAGAAAUCCCUUAGCCGAACGACAAACUCAUCUAUCAGUCCUAUCAAAAAAAAAAAAACUCAUGUUUUAGUGGUUUUUUUUUUUCACUUGUAUUCAGUCGCACAAGUGAAGAUUGUGGGCAAUUUUUUCCUUGAGUAAAAUUGGAAUAGAUGUUUUUAUUGACACAAAUUUUUGAGCUAUGUUUGGGAAACCCUUAGACUUAAGACUUUGUUACGAUGAUAUGUAUCUAAGCUUUCAACAGACCGUUGAGGUCUUAUUAUCAAAAUACUAGAAAUUUACAAUUCAAUUUUGGUAAGGACCAAUUUAAUAAUGCUGUAAUUUUUAAAAUAAUUACCGUUAACUGUGUUGUAAAAAUAAUCAAUUAUGAAGAAAAUUAAUUAAACAUUUAGUAAACUUUAUUUUUACAAGUGCUUUGAAUUUUAAAAAUAGUCAUAUGUGUUCAGAAAAUCUCACUUCUAAAAUAGUAUAAGAAUGGAAAAAACUUAAAAAGACAAAUGUAUAAUAUUUAUUUACACAUGCAUUUAUAAAUAUGUGUAUAUAAUAACAUUUUAUGUGUACAUAUAAUAAUUGAUAACUAAAAUAAAUAUUUUUAUUUAUUAAUUAUUUUUUUGUCUCAAUGUAAUUGGUAAUACUUUUUUUUAAUCUUCUCAUCCUAAGUUUUUUUAUUGUUUUGUACAAAAUUCAAGGUUUGGACUUUUAUAAAAUGUCCACUCAAAAAUAAAUUGUUUUCUAACUAAGAUUUGUUGCUAAUGUAUAACUCAAAGUAAUACUAGCUAUUUGUAAUUUUAUUUCAAAAUUUUUAUUCAAAUGAUAUGGUAACUAAUGUACAUUAGUUGAUAGCAAUUUUUUUUUUUUUACAAUAUUCAAAUCAAUCAAUUGCAUCAUCUCAACAUUUUUAUGAUGUCGUGUUAUUUUAAACGAAUUUUUUAUUUUUAUAUAAAAUUUAUUAUGUUUAACAUCAUUUGCAUAACUUGACCUUUUUUUUUUCCUACAAAUAUUAAGUCAAAUUUACUCACCCUAUAUUUCUAUCUAAAAUCUACCUAAAACUCAUGCAUCACUGUAAAACAAAUCCAAAGAUUGCGGUACGUUUUUCUUGGUAACAAAUCAAUAAUUAGGUCAAGUACUACUACUAAGCGUGCUCAAUUAAUUCUAAAAUACUACGGUGAUCAAAAUCAUACUUGACGCAAGAGGAUAAGGGCUAAACCUCAAUUAGGCAUUAUUCAUCCAAAAUUCGUUGACCCGGCAUUCUUUGCAAGUUGUAGCACGGGACAGCUAAGAUUAGCAAAUGCUGUGGACCAUAUGCCCCCAUACAUUUGUGACAUGUGAAACUUGGCAUUAAAGGAAAGGCAACGUGUUAAAAUUUAAUAGCGCCCAAUUCUUCAUUGAAUGAUUAUCAGAUCCAAUGAGCAUCCUUUGAUUGGAUUAUUUUAAGUCAAUUAUUGGUGGAUUGGGGCCCACUUGACUCUACCAAAUCGGGCUCCACCAUAUCACCUAUUAACGACCACCUGUCCUUAUCAUAAAUAGCAAAUGUCACUUGUUUUAUUUUGUAUUUUACCAAAAGCAAAGUCACUAUGAACCCAAAUGAAAGUGACCCCAAUUUUGGGGGUCAUGAGCUUUGGAUUAUUAUGGACACAAGAGACAAGCGCAAAGUUUCUCAUUUAUCACCGGAUAAGAUUUAAGUUAUCAACCCAACAUUAAUAAAUUCUGCUUAAAGUAAAGUUUGAAGCUUCAUUUUGCGAAUAUUCAAUGGUUAACAUUUAAGUAAUUAACCUGAUAUUAAUCCAAUUAAACUUUUUAUGUAAUCCAAGUCAAAAAUAUGUUGAUAAACCUAAAUUAAUCUAAUUGGACAUAUUAUUUCAACUUGAAAAGGCGAAUCUAUCAUUUUUCAAUUAAUUUUGAAUCAAGCUAUGUAAAAUAUAAGCUUAUUAAAGACAUAUUUUUAUCAUGUUAAAAUAUCGAAAUACUUCUUACUCGUUUCGUAAUAACAUUAACAAACCUUUUGGUAAAUUUGACAGUCCAAUCAAUUCAGUUGGUUUUUUGUUAUUGAAACUCCAACAAAAUUCAUCACGAUUAUUAAAAACCCAUUAAAAAAAAAUGAAGGUAACUAUUUAAAAAAUUCUAAUUGAAUUAUUUAACAACUACAUUUCAACUAAAUUGUGUUGCUAAUUAACUUCCUCAACUUAAACUAUAUUUUUCUCAAUUAAUUCAUAACAAAUAAUGUUAGAUAUUUUAUUCGAAUAAUAACAUUCAACAUCCUUAUUCUUUAUGAUUAUUGCAUAAAAACAUAUUUUAUCCAUUUACAUCACAUAUGUUCCUAAAUUGUAUAAGAAAAUCACCAAAUUUACUCUUGUAAGUUACUAUAUCAAUGAACAUGAAAUUCACUAAUCAUUAAAGUCUCGGAAUGACAUCAUGAGAGGGAUUCAGUUACAUUUAUUGAUAGGAUUAGAUAUAUGUCUUCUCAAAUAUUAGUAGGAGCAAUUUAACAGAUGCAGCUACUAAAAAUAUAGAAUUACUUAUCUCGUCAAUAACUAACGAUAUUUUUUAUCUAUGCUCAAUAAAUUGUAAUAUUUGUAGAUUGUAACAAUUGUUAAAAAAAAAGAGCUCCCUGAGACUAAAUGACAAAAGGACUGUUUUGAAAUAGAUAGAUAAAAUAUGCCCUUAUUUGAGAAAAUGUAAAACACUAGGGAUCUAAAUGUUAUUAUAAUCCCAUGCACAAAAAUACCAAAAAUAACUAAUAACAACUAACCGAAAAUCCCAGGCGUCAUAUUCCUUUUUUCCGCGUUUUAAAAUGCCCUCUGAUUCAUUCACAGUCAGACGCUGUCGGCAUUUCUCUUCUCUCCCUCUCUCUCCACGUAUUAAAACAUGUAAAGUACGGAAAAAUUUAAAAAAAAUUUUAAAAUUACAUAAUUUAAAAGAUAUAAAAUUAUAAAUUUUUAAAAUUAUACGGUUUUAAAAUUUUUUUAAAUUUUUUCGUAUUUUAAAAUUUCAGACUAAAAAAUUAUUAUACGAAUACUUCGUAUAACCGCUUUGCGCUUAAAAUCUGUGCCUAACAAACUCACGAAAUCACUCCUCAUUUUCCUCUCUCCCUCUCCUCCUCUCAUUCCCUUUCAAAUCCUUCCACCACCUUCCCCGCCUCUCUCUCUUUCUCUCUCCCCUCACCGCCACAGCUCAACUUUUCCAUGUAAACCACCACGGGCGCCGUCGUUUCAACCUCCCACUCAUCCGACGUCGUUUUGUGUGAAUAAGAUAACGAUUUAAAUUAAAAUACGAAAAUGGAGAACUUAACGGCGCAGUUGAAGCGAGGGAUAUCGCGGCAGUUCUCGACGGGAUCGCUGCGGCGGAGCCUGACGAGGCAGAUGUCGAGGCAGUCGUCGUUCGAUCCGAGGAGGAAUAACAUGAGGUUUAGCUUCGGGAGGCAGUCGUCGUUGGAUCCGAUACGCAGGAGUCCGGUUCAGGACGAGUUGACGGUGCCGGAGAACCUUGACUCGACGAUGCAGCUGUUGUUUAUGGCAUGCAGAGGUGACGUCAAGGGAGUCGAGGAUUUGCUGAACGAAGGCAGUGAUGUCAACAGCAUUGAUCUUGACGGACGGUUUUGGCGAGAAAUCAAAGAAUUAAGAGACAAUAUUUAGUUAAGCUAAUAGUAUUUGUUCUGUUUAGUACGUCGUUUUACCAACAAGCAUCCCGGCAUUGCACGCAUUAAUAAAUUUUUUUUAUCUGUUUGGACUGAUGGUGGUAAAAAAUUCCACAUACUUUAUAUUAAAAAGGAAAAAGGACAAACACACCCCUAACGUCAACUUGGAGGGGGGUCGAUUCCGAGCUCAAGAAGUGGGAAAGAAGAAAGCUGAAGAUGAUUCAGGCGGUGCUCAAUGGUGGGUAUGACGGCAAAAAUAAGUUGGAGGUUUUCUAUGAAUUUGAACAUCUAAGAACAUUCUUCCCAUUACACAUAAGAGGUGGCUCCAAAACUGGUUACAUAACUCGUAUGGUUCUAACUGAUUUGUUGCCGAAGUUUAAAAGGUUGAGGGUGCUAUCUUUACAAGGAUACCAUAUUGGACCAAUUCCAUUUGAAGAUUUGAGACUUCAAAGUAUAAUUACCCAAAGUGUAUACAAUAAAAGCCAAAUUUAAGAAAUUCCUGAACCUUGCUGACACUGACAUAAGAAGUUUACCAGAGUCAACAUGCUCAAUGUUGAACUUGGAAAUUUUGAUAUUAAGAAAUUGUUUCCGUUUGAUGAUACUCCCACCCAAAAUGAGGAACUUGGUUAAUUUACACCCAGACUCUUUUCUUUUGACAUGGGGUUAACGAUCAAAGUUGGUUUCGUGCGGUAUAUAUUUACAAAUUGAUAGGUAUGCCUGGUGUUGAUGCAGGAUUCCGGUUCUUCUCGUUCUACGACCAGGAUCUCUGCUCGAUCAACUUCGUCACGACCAGGAGGUCUCCUCGCAAGACUUUUUCUCCAGAGAUUCCUGCGCACACAGACAAGUCAGAGUACGCCGGUUGUUUUCCCGGCGCAAACCCUCCGACGCUCAAGUCAGAUAUGAAGGUUCGGGGAACGCUUGCCACCGAUCUUAUGGCUUUUUCGUGGUUUUCUCUUCUUUUUAAUUCCUUUUCUAAUGAGAAAAAUGCCAACCCUUUUACCUCGUCGGCUACCUUUUUAUAGGCUUCCUCUGAAUCCCAGUUUUCCGCUCUUUUCGAGACGGUAUGGGACUCUGACUGCUGUGUUAUGGGCAAACGUGGGAUCUUGCGUGUUACGCCACCGUUCUGGGAAAAGCGCGGCAGUCGUGGUUCUGUGAGAUCUUGCGUGUUACGCCACGGUUCUGGGGAAAGCGUGGCUGUCGUGCUUAGGUUCUCGGGCUGGAGAGCAUGUCUCGUCAACUGCCGUCGACCGGGUCUCCUCGCCUCUCGACCUCUAGCCGGAAUGACCUUAUGCCUCUUACAGGAAAUUGGCCUCGCGGAUGACCUGCUCGUGGACGAGCAGGAUAUUUCUGCUCCUGUUCCCCCGCGUACCAGGCUUUUACGGGACACACCGGUUCGCAGAACUCUGCCAUCAGAUAUCUGCUCACCGUGCCUGGUCUCGUCGACGUAUUUCUCCCAAACACCGGUCCCCCAGUUUCUGGUGUUGGGUAAUGUAGUGGACCAGCAGUAGAAACUCGUUAGUACUCGCCCGCGUGGGAUUGGAAAAGGCUGCCAAGAGUCAUGUCGCAUUUAAUUGCGGACGAGGUGACGUGGCAGAAAUCCCCCCCUCCAUUUGAAUUUCAAACCGACGGUUAUGAGAUCCUCGGGAUUCAGCGCCGUUAAAUGCUGGCAACCCAAGAGUCCGUCCUCAUUAGGAAAACCAAAUCCUCUCGAACGGCAUAUUCGUCAUUCACUCCGUCUCCGUCUCUGUCUCCCCGGCAAAGAGGUUCCGGCAUAAAAGCCCUCCAUCUCUGAUUUUCACCGACUGAACCGUUACUUCAGGUAUUUCUUCUAUCUCCUUGGUCUCGGAUAGUUGUAGAUAAUUUCUCUUCUCUUCUGUUGGGUAGUAGUUGGUGGUGUUGUGGUUAGAGCUUAGGGAAUGUCGAAAGGCAAAGAGAAGGUCAUUGAGGUUGGUGACGACGAGUUGGACUUCCUGCCUAGUCUGCUCACCGAUCCUGCUUUUGACCCCGGGAUCCCCUUAGAGCCCAUUAGGUCUAGUGUCGGGACUAGUGCUAGGAGGAUGUCUCCCCAAACAACCUCUACGAGCGGAAGUAAUGGUGAGGAGAGAUCUUCUGGCUCCGAGGAUACUUUGAGUGAGAAUGGCGAAGGUGACUCUGGUGAGGUGUCUCCAUCUGGAACAUCACGACCAGAAGAACGGGGUAUAGUAGGAGGCAGAGCCUUGUCGCGCGAUUAUGCCAUUGAUUACAUGACGUGCACGACCUCGUUUGACGAGCUCAAUGACCUCCGGCUUAGGUAUAGCAUUCCUGGUGAGAUACCUCUCAAGGUCCCAGGAAAGAAGGAUGCUCCCAGCCGGCCUCCUAGGGGAUAUGUUACCCUGUAUCUGGACAGCUUUAAGUACGGGCUGAGGUGUCCCUUGCAACCUUACUUUGCCCGGAUACUUAACGGGCUAAAUCUAGCUCCUGGUCAGCUGAAUCCCAAUGGGUGGAGAGUGCUCUCUGGUCUGUUCAUAUUGUGGGACAGAUGUUGCCAAAGCGAGCCCACGGUUGAUGAGGUGAAGCACCUGUACCAGCUAAAGAGCAGCCCCAAAGAUGCCGUCUGGUACUACUUCCAAUCUAGCACCAAGAGCAGGAAACCUAUAACCGACCUCCCUACUGGUGGUGGUGGGAAUUGGAAGAGAAAAUUCUUUUUUGCUGGGGGUCCUUGGGGUCAGGUUGCACAAAUGGACGGGAAGGAUUAUCGGGUCCCACCCCGUUUCACGGUCCCAGGUUGCCUGCUCGCUUUAGAUGUCUUGUAUCCACAAUUGUUAUUGCUUUAUUGGCUUGUCUCUAACCAAGUGUCUGUUUGCGUUGUAGUUUCUUGGGGUGUUCACUUCCCGCUCCCACCUGACCAGCUCAAACGGGUCAAGGCUGUGCUCGCCAAUUCCUGCUCGAGUCGAGAACUGCUAACUACAUACAACUUGCUCGAAUCUCGCUUGAUACUUCCUGGCCAUAGGAUGGAGGACGCCGUGAUUGGGGCUCUGACCCGAAAACGUUCUCGACCUCCAACCACGAAGAGGGACCAGGGUAAGGAUGCCCCUGCUGCAAAGCGGGCCAGCAUCGUGCAGCAGGUCCCACCCUUGGAGAUUUUACCUCCUGCUCCUGAAAAAGUCGGGGAAGCUAGUGGAGCAGCCACAGAUCCUGCUUCCUCAUCUGUUCCUGUCGGGCCUCGAUCUCGCUUACCUGACAGCCGAGCAGAACACCUGGUCCCCUACCUCAAUGAGUUGUCUAAACUCGUGAGCAAGAAGGACCUGGAGGACUUCGACGGCUGCACCUUGGGUGAGCUGGUGGGGGCCAUGCAGCAUAGCGCUUUCCACCUCAGCUGCAUGACCACCUAUUACAAGGCUAAGGUUGGUCGAUACGAUCGGAAAAUGAAGGGGGAUAUUCAAUCGGCGACGACCAGAGCUGACAUUGCCGAGAAGAAAGCAGGGGAGCUGAACCUCGAGAAUCUGAAGCUGAUAGAGCAAGAAUCACUUGCUCAAGCAAAGACCAUUACCCUCGAGGAGGAGCUUACCAAGGUCAAGGAGGAUCUGCAAAGGCAGAAGGCUAUGUAUGAGGCCCAGCUCGAAUCUCUCCGGGACUCCAACCGAGCUCAGGUCGAGAACUUGGAGAGGGAGGCAGAGAAUCAGUACGACCAGGGACUUCGGCAUUCCUAUCGUUGCAUCAUGGCCGUCCUCGGGAAGCAACACCCUGAUCUGAAGAUGGAUGACCUUGCGGCUGGUGUUGCCCAACAUAUGGACGAGGAGGCGGCCAAGGAAGAUGCUGAAGGGGUAGAGCCGAUCGUGAUCGAGGAGGAAAGCUCUCCUCCUCGUGCAGUCCCUGCUGAUGUUGGCGAGGCGAGCACCCCUCCGGACGCAACUGGCGAUACCCCUCCCGCACCUGAGGAGGUCCAGUCAACCGAUGCUGCUCGGCUCACUGAUCUACCAUCUUUUUGAUAUAUUUCUUUUUGUAUUGUAAUAAACAACGUUUAUGAAAUUUAUCCCCUCUGUUAGCCAUUAACACAUUAAUAAAGAUGUUUUUUGAUUACUUUCUCGUCUUGUAAUCAUCACUUAUUUUCCGUUUGGGAAUCUGCUCGUCUCGUCUGGUCGAGCAGGUUCUGGUUUGGCAUAUGGUUUUGCAACAUGCCUUAGAAAAAUUUCUUUUUUUUUUUUUUUUUUUUUUUUUUUUUUUUUUUUUGCUUGGGGAUUCUGCUUGCCUUCGCGUGGUCGAGCAGGUCCUGGCAUGCUUGGCUUCAGUCUCGCCAUAAAAAGGCUUUGAGACUUGGUGAGGCCUUUGCAUGCCUUAGAAAACUUUUUCGAUGCUUGGGGAUUCUGCUCGACUUCGCUCGGUCGAGCAGACCCUAGCAUGCUUGGCUUCCGUCUCGCCAUAAAAAGGCUUUGAGACUUAGUGAGCCUUUGCAUGCCUUAGGUGGCUUCUUCAAAGCUUGGGAUUCUGCUGCCUUCUCGUGGCCGAGCAGAUCCGGGCAUGCUUGGCUUCUGUCUCGCCAUAAGACAGGCUUUGAGACUCGACGAGCCUUUGCAUGCCUUAGAUGGCUUCUUCGAAGCUUGGGAUUCUGCUGCCUUCUCGUGGCCGAGCAGAUCCGGGCAUGCUUGGCUUCUGUCUCGCCAUAAGACAGGCUUUGAGACUUGACGAGCCUUUGCAUGCCUUAGAAAUUUUCUUGGUUUCAAGCGAAAGGAAUUCCUCGACGUUCCAUUAAUGGCAGGAUUCGGCUUACAUGAACUUGUUUGGACAUAAAGCGUGAAAGAUAAACGAUAAUGAUCAUGAGCAAAAAUAGCUUUCAGAUGUGAACAAAUCUUACUGGAAGUAUUUUCGGAGGUGUGCUGCGUUCCAUGGGCGUUUCAGCUCGUGGCCGUCCGUGCGAACCAGCUUGUAAGCUCCGGGUCCCGCUAUCUGCUUGACUCUAUAUGGCCCUUCCCAAUUCGGUCCCAGCACUCCUUGAGUCGAAUCUUUGGUGCUCUGAUUCACUCUUCUCAGUACCCAGUCUCCGACCUUGAAUUGCCGUAUGUUCACCUUCUGGUUAUAAUACCGAGCAACCCUCUGUUGGUAAAGGGCUGAUCGCUCGGCUGCUUGCUCCCUCCUUUCCGUUAGCAGAUCAAGAUUCAAACAUAUCUGCUCGUCGUUCUCCUGCUCGUUGAAAUGACCUGUCCGGUGUGUGGUCGUUCCUAUCUCAGCCGGCACGACCGCUUCAUGUCCGAAAGCCAAAGCGAACGGUGUCUCCCCAGUUGCGGUUUUGUGGGUUGUUCUGUAUGCCCAUAGCACACCUGACAGCUCGUCAACCCACGCACCCUUUUUUGCUCCAAGCCUGGUUUUCAAAAGCCUCUUGAUGGUCUUGUUGGCUGCUUCUACUUGUCCAUUCGAUUGAGGGUGAGCAGGCGAGCAAUACUUCAGCUCUAUCCCGAGGUUCUGGCAGAAAUCCCUGAAGCUGUGAUUAUCGAACUGCCUGCCAUUAUCCGUUACCAAGGCAUAAGGGAUCCCGUAUCGACAGACCAGGUUUCUCCACACGAAGUCUGUUGUUUUCUUCUUUGUGAUCCUGCUAAGGGCUUCUACCUCUAUCCACUUCGUGAAGUAAUCUAUAGCAACUAUUGCAUGUGUUGCUGCUCCUUGUGCCUUUGGCAAUGGGCCGAUCAGAUCAAUUCCCCAUUGAGCAAAUGGCCAAGGGGAGGCCAUGGAGGUGAGCUUCUCUGGGGGUUGGUUAGAGAAAUUUGCAAAACUCUGGCAGCUUACACAACUCCUGGUCUUCUCUUGCGCAUCCUGGUGCAUUGUCGGCCAGAAAUAUCCCUGCCUAAGAACCUUGUGGGCCAGGGACCUCCCGCCAGAAUGAUUUCCGCAAAUUCCUUCAUGUACUUCUCUCAGUACGUAAUCCGCGUCGUCCUCAUCCAAACACCGAAGGAACGGUAGUGUAUAUCCUCGCCGAUACAGCGCCCCAUCAAUCAUCGUGUAUCUCGAGGCCUGGGCUCUAAUCUUGCGAGCUCGCAGCUUAUCUGGUGGUAAUACUCCGUCUCUAAGGUAUGAAACUAUCGGGUCCCUCCACGAGCAUUUUUGUUCUAUCCGCAACACCCCCGAAUUCUGAUCGAUACUUGGGCUGGACUUCACCUCCAGAGGGACCGACUUUGGCAUUUUUGGGUCGGCUACUGCUGCCAUCCUCGCCAAAAUGUCUGCUCGACUAUUCUGCUCCCUGGGGAUCUGUACCACCUCCACUGCUUCGAACUUCCCCAUCAUCUGCCUGACUAUCUUCAGGUACUGCUCCAUCUUCUCCUCUCUUGGUUGGAAUCUUUCACUGACGUGAUUCGCAACCAGCUGGGAAUCAGUUCUGAUCUUAACUCUGUCUUCUUUCACGGCCUUAGCCAAUUCCAGACCUGCUAUCAAGGCUUCAUACUCUGCCUGGUUAUUUGUGGCUGCAAAUUCCAACUUUACAGCAUAAGAGAUCUCCUCCCCCUCAAGGCCUUCCAGGACAAUCCCUGCUCCUGAACCCCGCUCCCCUGAUGACCCGUCCACAGACAUCUGCCAUACUUGAUUUUCGUCAUUGCCUAUAACUGCAUCCUGUUGAUCUGAGCAUACUUCGGGCUCUGUGAAUUCAGCUACGAAAUCGGCCAUUGCCUGGGCUUUUAUCGCUGCGCGGGGUUUAUAGUCUAUGUCGAACUCGCUCAGCUCUACAGCCCACUUGACGAGCCGACCAGAGGCAUCUGGCUUGUGCAGAGUUUGACGCAAUGGCUGGUUUGUUAUUACCGAGACCGGGAAUGCUUGAAAAUAUGGCCUCAACUUCCGAGCAGCAACCACAAGGGCAAGUGCCCAUUUCUCCAACAGUGGGUAUCUAGUCUCAGCGUCGAGUAGGGCCUUGCUGGUGUAGUAUAUCGGAUACUGAACUCCUUCUUCCUCUCUCACCAGAACAGAACUGGCGGCCCGAUCCGACACCGCCAAAUACAGAUACAACUUGUCCCCAUCCCUUGGUGUGGACAGCAGCGGAGCUUGCUGCAAGUAUUGCUUCAAGUUCUGGAAGGCUUCCUCGCACUCUGGGGUCCAUUCUGUUUUCUUUCCCCUCCUUAUCACUUGAAAGAAUGGCUGACACUUAUCUGUAGCCUUGGAGAUGAAUCUGCUCAACGCCGCCAACCUCCCUGUGAGGCUCUGCAUCUCCUUCAGGUUACGAGGAGACGUCAUUUGCACAAUCGCCUGGAUUUUCUCGGGAUUUGCUUCAAUCCCCCUAUGGCUCACCAUGAAUCCAAGGAAUUUCCCUGACUCGACCCCAAAAGCACACUUUUCCGGGUUGAGCUUCAUCUUAUACUUCCUCAAAAGCUCGAAUGUCUCCUCGAGGUGUCUGACAUGUUCCUUCGGGAUUUUGGACUUGGUGAUCAUGUCAUCCACGUACACCUCCAUGGUUUUCCCAAUCAACGGCUUAAAGACUUUGUUCACCAGCCUUUGAUAGGUGGCCCCAGCAUUUUUGAGACCGAACGGCAUUACCCUGUAACAGAACAAACCUUGGUUAGUGACGAAAGCCGUGCUCUCCUCAUCCUGCUCGUACAUGGGGAUCUGGUUGUAUCCCGAGAACGCGUCCAUGAAGCUGAGCAGACCAUGUCCAGCCGUUGAAUCUACUAGCUGAUCGAUCUUUGGUAGAGGGAAGCUGUCUUUUGGGCACGCCUUAUUGAGGUCUGUGAAAUCCACACACAUCCUCCACUUGCCGUUUGCCUUCUUUACCAACACCACAUUCGAUAUCCACUCAGGGUAACUGACUUCCCGAAUGAACCCUGCUCUCAAGAACUUCUCCACCUCGCUAUUUAUUGCCUCAUACAUCUCCUGGUUGAAGCACCUCCUCUUCUGCCUUACUGCCCGAGCACCUUUCUUUAUUGCCAGCUUAUGACAUGCUACCUCAGGGUCAAUCCCUGGCAUGUCUUCAUGUGUCCAAGCAAACACAUCAGAAUGAGCCUGUAAGCAUUUCACCAACUCCUGCUUUUGCUCUCCCUCAAGCCUCGACCCGAUUCUGAUCAUCUUUCCCGGAUUCUCUGGUCCCAGGCUUACUGUUUCCAGAUCUUCUACAGGUUCUUGUCUGCCCUUCUUGUUUUCCACUCGGGUAUCGAGGGAUGUUAUCUGCAUUGCUUCCCUUGCUGCCGAGGAGUAGCAGCUUCUUGCGAUCCUCUGGUCUCCUCGUACCACUCCUACUACCCCAUUCACCCGGUACUUCAGAGCGAGAUAGUGGUUGGACAACACCGCUUUGCUCAUCCUUAAAAAUGGCCGACCUAGGAUCAUCUGGUAAGGACCUUCCUCGUCCACUACGACAAAGUCCAGUAUCAUUGUUCUUUCUGUCAGGGAGCUCCCAAUUGUGAUAGGCAGCUCGACCACGCCCAGAGGGACCAGCUUCCCUCCUCCGAACCCCUUCAAGGAGGUAUUGGUGUAUUCCAACUUUCGGUCGGCUAUUCCCAUCUCUUCCAGGGUUGACUUAAAUAACACAUCAACUGAGCUCCCUGUAUCAAUCAGUAUCCGGUCAAACUUCUUGCUAGCGACAGUAGCCUUGAUGACUAAAGCAUCAUCGUGGGGGUAUAGAAUCCCUUCCUCAUCCUCAUCCGUCCACAUGAUUGGCACUUGCCUGACCCUUGCUCGUUUGGCUGCUGGGGUGUUGAAGAGUACCUCUUUACUGGUCAUGGCGUACCUAGCAUAAUUUUUUCUCGAUCUGUUGGAAUCUCCGGCCAAUGUUGGGCCCCCAGCUAUCACCCUUACUGCGGGCUGCUCGCGCCUCAAGUUUCUACCACUCUGCUCCCCUUCACCUGUUGUGGCCACCAUCGGGAAAGUCCCAUCCAUAAACUCGUCCAGGUACCGAUUUCUCACCAAAUCUUCGACCUGGAUCUUGAGAUCUCUACACUCUGCCGUGGUAUGGCCAUGGGUGCCAUGGAACUUACAAUAACGUCUUCUAUCCCUCCUGUUGGGUAGCUUUGUUAUUGGUGUAGGGAGGUGCAGCAGACCUCGAUCCUUUAUGGCCUCGUACACCUCAUCCAGGGACAUCUUCAAGGAAGUGUACCGCCCAUAGUCCGGGUCCUGGUCGAUCAGGUGCACUGCUCUUUCUCUGUUUGCCCCGCUUUGAGUUGGGGGCGGUGGAAGUAAUUCUGGUCUGCUCGCUCUGCUACCAUGUUGGUGAAGACCACCAGAUGCCGACUCAUGCCUUCUCCAAGGCUCCCUAGCUGGGGAACGAGGAGGUUGCGCCCCGCUGCGCUGAUACUGUGGUGGCCUCUGAUGAGGCUGGUAAGCAGUUACCCGACCUCCUGCUCUACUACCGGAGGCCUGGUGGUCUCUCCUCCUGAUCGGCCCAUUCCCCGGUAAUGCUUUCUUCUCUUUCCUCCCCAACCCUUCCAACUGGUCUGUCUUAAUCCGUGCAGCCUUCUCCUCUUCAAUCUCGAUGUCUCUCUUAGCCUGUUCGUAUGCGGCUGCAUACGUUUGAAUAGCUGGGCUUCUCAAAUUGUACCACAACCUUCCUAUCUUCACCCCUUCUUUCAAUCCCCUUAACGCCUGAGGGUGGUUGAAGGCUCCCAAGUCGAGGACAGCCCGAUGAAACCUCUUGAUGAAUUCCCGAAGGGUUUCUUGCUCCCCCUGUUUCAUGCUUUUCAGCUCCAUCAUGUCGUCUUCCGGUGCCAUUGCCCCACUAAACUGCUCCGCGAAUUCCUGGCACAUCUGCUCGAAGGUUUUAAUGCUGCCCCGAGGAAGUUUCCUGUACCAUUCUCGUGCACGUCCCUCAAGGGAUAGUGGGAACACCCUGCACCUUUGGGAUUGAGAUAAUCCUUGUACCCCAGUUAUGUCGUUGAAGCGCUCUAUAUGCACCAGCGGAUCAGUUCUUCCCGAGUAUCUGAGGUCUGGGAGGCGGAAAUCUCUCGGAAUAACUGCCCUCAUGAUUUCUGUUGCGAGCGGCGAUUCUCCGUCCAGCAUUAUCCUCCAACCAGGGGCUCUGUUCCUUCCUUGCAUGUCGUCAAUUAUCUGCGCUAGUCUGCGCACUUCCCCCUCCAGCUGCAACGCACGACCAGGGUCACGUGCUGCAACUUGAUCCCACUCUUGCUCUACAUCAUGCAAGUGUUGCCUCAACUCUGUUUCCUCUGCAUUCACCACCCCGUCGCCCUCGUCACCAGUCUGUCUUGCUGGGGACUGCUCUCUUUCUCUAUGAAAUUCUCCCUGCAGAGGUACGUUACCUCUCUCACCACCAAAUCUCCCGGGGGUUUGACUUCUCCCCGCACUAUCGGGACCUGGUGCCACUCCACCGCCUCUCACCCUUCCCUCUUGGGUUACCCUUCGCUCGCUCCGCAGCUCAUGCAGGAUGGUUGUCAAGGUCUCCAUCUGCUUUUCCAUCCGUUCCAUCUGGUCGAACAUGACUUUUUCCCGUGCUUCGCUGACUAUCUCCCUCAGCGUCACGGAAUCGUUAAGCCUCCUAUCACCCCCUUGUGCACUACUUCUUCCUGUCUCCAUUGCUUUUCACUUGCUUCACCCCUCUUCUUGCUAUCAACAGAAGCUUUUUGCUCUGGUCCCCACAGACGGCGCCAAAAUGUUGAUGCAGGAUUCCGGUUCUUCUCGUUCUACGACCAGGAUCUCUGCUCGAUCAACUUCGUCACGACCAGGAGGUCUCCUCGCAAGACUUUUUCUCUAGAGAUUCCUGCGCACACAGACAAGUCAGAGUACGCCGGUUGUUUUCCCGGCGCAAACCCUCCGACGCUCAAGUCAGAUAUGAAGGUUCGGGGAACGCUUGCCACCGAUCUUAUGGCUUUUUCGUGGUUUUCUCUUCUUUUUAAUUCCUUUUCUAAUGAGAAAAAUGCCAACCCUUUUACCUCGUCGGCUACCUUUUUAUAGGCUUCCUCUGAAUCCCAGUUUUCCGCUCUUUUCGAGACGGUAUGGGACUCUGACUGCUGCGUUAUGGGCAAACGUGGGAUCUUGCGUGUUACGCCACCGUUCUGGGAAAAGCGCGGCAGUCGUGGUUCUGUGAGAUCUUGCGUGUUACGCCACGGUUCUGGGGAAAGCGUGGCUGUCGUGCCUAGGUUCUCGGGCUGGAGAGCAUGUCUCGUCAACUGCCGUCGACCGGGUCUCCUCGCCUCUCGACCUCUAGCCGGAAUGACCUUAUGCCUCUUACAGGAAAUUGGCCUCGCGGAUGACCUGCUCGUGGACGAGCAGGAUAUUUCUGCUCCUGUUCCCCCGCGUACCAGGCUUUUACGGGACACACCGGUUCGCAGAACUCUGCCAUCAGAUAUCUGCUCACCGUGCCUGGUCUCGUCGACGUAUUUCUCCCAAACACCUGGUAUGACUGCUUAUGCUGGAUUUUAUGAGGUGUGCUCUCCUAAGCAAGGAGAGUGGGUCUUAAUAUGGGCAAGGGUGCAGUUGGUCAGCUUAUGGGGCAGUUUGCAAAGUUACUGGGCUGCUAUGUUGUCGGAAGUGCUGGAAGCAAAGACCAGGUAUACAAACAAACAAUCCGUAUCAGUUGCUUGAUUGUUCCCAUUUUGCUUUCAAAAUAUCUAACUUACAUAAGGAAAAUUUUCACCAUCUCGUCUUUUCUUUGAUUUUGAACGCUAAGAUUGAUCUACUGAAGAAUAGGUUUGGGUUCGAUGAGGCGUUCAACUAUAAAGAAGAUCCUGAUUUGAAUGCAGCCUUGAUAAGGUUAGUAUAUCAGCAAACUACAAAUUAGAAGACAUUUUUUCCUGAAAAUCAAAUAAUGUUUCUAAUUUGACAGGUGGUUUCCUGAAGGCAUUGACAUAUACUUUGAAAACGUUGGUGGGAAAAUGCUCGAUGCGGUGCUGAUCAACAUGAAAAUCGGUGGUCGAAUUGCUGUGUGUGGGAUGAUCUCGCAGUACAACCUUGACGAACCCAAAGGCGUACACAACUUGACGCGUCUUAUUUCGAAACGGGUUCGGAUGGAAGGAUUCCUCGUAUCGGAUUACAAUAAACUCUAUCCGAAAUUUCUGGAAAUGAUCAUUCCUCACAUCAAGGGGGGAAAGAUUGUAUACAUUGAAGACACGGCUGAAGGUCUUGAGAGUGCUCGGGCAGCUCUCGUCGGUCUGUUCUCUGGCCGGAAUCUCGGGAAACAGGUGGUUG
rnacentral:lncRNA from 1 species